UGUUGGAAUAUUGCCAAUUAUGUGGCUGCCAUUGUCAAAGAAGAUGGCUGCCAUGUGAGAGUCAAAGAGGGCUGCUGAUGCAGCAUUUGCAGCCCCUUGACAUUGUCAAAGAAGGAGGCUACAAUGGUGGGUUGUUGGUGGCAGCCAACAACCAUUGUCCAAUGUCAAAGUUUGGUAAGUUUGGCAGCCACCAUUGUUGACAAAGGAGCAAGAGGAGCUGUCAUUGAAGCCUAUAAAUAGACACCAAGAGUGCAGCAUAAAGAGAGAGAGAGUCCAGUAGUAGAGCUACAAAAGAGAGAAGAAGAGAGAAAGAAAGAGAAGGGCUGCCACCAGCAGCCCUGCUGCUGUAUGCAGCUGCUGCCCUAUGUAGCAAUGAGAGAUGGGAGUUGAGUGGAUGUGAUCCUCCUCCGUGUGUUGUAUUCUUUCUCUAUCUUUAAUAAUAUCGAUCUCUCCCGUGGAUGUAGGCGAUUUGCCGAACCACGUUAAAUAUUGUGUUAGUGUGCUUAGUCUCCUUUGAGCAAUGAUCAUGAACACCACCGUUCCGCAUGGGGAGCAGGAAUCCCCAACAAUGAGAUGGUCGGAUCCCACCAAAUUGCAGCAAUCGGAAAGGUUACCUGAUCAAGAGUAAAGUACUGACGCCUGAAGACCAGUAGAGCCAAUAUUGUUACAGAGACAGAAUAUGAGUUCUUGCAAAUUAUUAGUAAUGCAAUAAUUACCAAAGAUAAAAAGGUAACGUGUAAAGGAAAAGGAGAAAGGAAAUUUCUUUAUAGCUCUUGCUUGAGCAUCUAAAUGUUUUCUUGUAUUCUAUCAACCGGGUUGUUGGUUGUUGGGGAGGUUUUGACAGCAUCAGAGUCAAAUGGCACGAUUUCCACACGGCAAUUAAUACGUUAUUAUCAUGCAUUCGGCUGUCUCCAUCUCUCAGCAGUAAUCGGGUCUAACCCAAUACUCACAAAAUCAAAUGAUAUAAAUUUCCACGAACCUUUUUUCAAAGCCUGGGAGCUUUUUUCCCAAGGAAGACUUUGACCAGGCGUCAUCUGAACCUUCUGUUUUUAUAGUUAUUUUUUAAAGUGUUUUUAUUUAAAAUAAUAUUUUUUUUAUUUUUUUAAAAUUAUUUUUGAUAUUAACGUAUCAAAAUAACUUAAAAACACUAAAAAAAUAUUAAUUUAAAGCAAAAAAAAAAAAAAUUCAAAAUUUUUUAAAAAUACUUUUGAAAUAAAAAACAAACAGCAUAGUUAGACUUCCCAUAAUAUAUUUACAGAUUUUUUGAUGCCAUGUUUCCAUAAUGAUUAAAAAGAUAUUACAACGUAGUAAUAUUAUCUUUGUUCAUGGUUUAUUAGAUAUAUUAACAUAAAACCCACAUAACAAUGCUAAAACCUAACAUCAAUCAUGUCGUAGUGUACGGCGUCGUGGCGAUCAUCCACUCUUAAGGAAAAAAUUAGACGUGGAAUUGUGUAUUUUUUAAAAAAUAUGAAGAGAUAAGGAAUUCUUGUAUCUCUUAUCAGUGGAACAUUUGAAUGGGAUUCGCCACCUAGUAUUCUGGUCACUAGGAACCCUAACUAGUCUCAGAGAUCAGGUACGGAAACUGGUUGCGUAAAAAGAAAGUAUUAGCACCCCAAAUACGCCAUACCUAAGGUAGGUUGCAUUGUUUUGUCUGAUAAAAUUUAAAGUCGUGUUGUGGUUUCUAAUUGUUGGUCUGUCUAAGGUUCAAGACAAAUCCUCCUUAAUAAGGAGGUUAAUGGAAUAAGAAGCUAACUGUUCUUGCCGUUAAAAAAAUAUCUUUUUAAUAUCAGGAAUACGUUUUACAUAUAAAUUCGUAAUCCCUGAUACUAAAACAAAACAAAAUAAAAUUUUUGUUGUUUUUGAAAUUUUAGCCAAUGUUCUCUUGACGUUAAUAAACUGGUUAUUAAAGUCAAAAUGCAUACUAAAACAUUGUUUUUUUGUGUAUGAAAAACACAAUAUGAUUUUUUAGCUUUGAGACACUUGGCCGCAUGCACACAAAUAUUUUUUUAUUUUUAUCAAUUUUUUGGUACUUUUGGAAGUUUUUUUUUUAUGAAAACCGGGUAUUUUAAUAUUGAAUUUGUAUUUUUACGAUAUAAAAAUACUGCCCGACAUUAAGCAAAAAAUGCAUAAAACUAUGUGGAAAAAUUGUAAAAAUUCUAAAACAAGCAUUUUAAAGUGGUCGGCGUCUUUUUGACGUUGAUGGCGGUGACAGAGGAAGGAAGAAAAAUCUUCUUCUUCCCCUGCUUCACGCGUCCAGGGGAAGAAGAAGACAUAUAGUGCCUUCAAAACGGCACCGUUUCGGGCCUUCAUCAUUUUUUUUGUUACAUUAACAGUGCAUGAAACGGCGCCGUUUUGGUCAAAAUGCGCCGUUUCAUUUAAAAGGAAAAGGCGGCAAAAUAUGUUAAAAUUCACAAUGGUCCUCAAUUUGUACUUUUUUCAAUCAAGUUCUAAAUUGCAAUUUUUUAUUUAAAAAUCAAUGCAAUUGCACCCCUGCCAAAAAUCCAACAACGGCCCUGAAGUUGGCCGCCUUUUUCACUUUGAUCCUUGGUUUCGGAUGCAUGUAAUUUGACCAUCAAUUGAGCAAUAAACUUUUAAUUUCUUCAAUUUGGCCUCUGAUCCAGUUUUAAUUACAACCCCUCUAUUUACACGCCUUUUCCAAUUAAGUCCCUAAUUGGCCAUCAAACUUUAAUUUUUAUGCAAUUAAGCCCUUGAUUUGACCAAAUUAACUUCCAAAAAUUAUAAUUUGACCCCAGAACUUAAAUUUCUUCCAAUUAAAGCCCAAAUUAACUCAAAAAUCAAUUUUUCUUGCAAUCAAAACCUCCAUAAAUUCAAUAAAAAUUUAAUUGAGCCCAUAAACAUCUGAUUUUGGACUUUUCUUCCUCAAAUUGAAUUUUCUUGGUCAACAGGGCUCUCAUCAGUCAACAAAAUACUGCCAAAUUUUAUCUUGGUAAUUUUGAACCUCCUCAACCAAUUUUUAACCAUUUUUAGGGCGCUUUGGCAUCCUUUUUUUUCAAUGUUAUAUUUUUUUGAUUUUUUUGUAUUUUAUUAUUUUUUAUGCGAGGACCCAAAAAUAGAUUACAACAAAUCACACCAUAUUAUAAUUAAGUAAGAUAACUAAUAUAAAUCAUGAUAGUUGAACAUCAUUGAUUCAACAUAGUUCCUUCUAUCUACUAUAAUAUUAGUCUUUACUGAACACAUGAUUUCUAAAUAAGAAACAUAUAAUUGUUCCAACAAAAAUAUCUUUGUUAAAGACAAUUCAUGUUAUCAAUAAUGAUGUCUGUCAUCAUCUAAUUUUUUUAUUUUUUUAUUUUUAUUUUUAUUUUUGCUAUAUUUUCUAUAAAAAUAAUGAAAAAAUGAUGAAAAAAUGAAAUAAUAAUAAUAAUAAUAGUAAAAUGAUGAAAAAAUGAAAAACAAAUAAAAAUGAAAUGAAUGAAGAAUAAAUUAAAAUCUAGGUUAAUUCAAUAUAAUUGGAAGUUUGAGGACUUAAUUAAACUUUGGAUUAUUUAAUUAACCAAAGCAAGGGCUUAAUUGAAGAAUUGAUAAGUUUUGGGACUUAAUUGAACUUGAAAUUAAUUUAAUUAAUGGAAUCAGGGGCUUAAUUGAAUAAUUAUCAAAGUUUUGGGCUGAUUUGGGUCAAAAUUACAAGGAAUGAAAAUACGAGGACAAAAGUGAAAAUACUGGGUAUUGGAGGGAGCUUAAUUGAUUUUUCUAGGGGUAAAUUUGAAAGAAUUAAAGUUGAAGAGUCAAUUAAGGACUGAAUUGAAAAACUCAGAAACUAAGGACUGGUUCGUACAAGGGGCGAAAAUGCAGGGGUCCAAUUAAAUGUUAUCCAGGGCUUCAUUACAAAAUAUCAAAACCUAAAGGACCACAUUGCAAAUGGCCGUUCCCAUCCCAAAAACGGCAUGGUUUCAAUAUACACUAUUAAGGAAAAAAAAACGGGGAGAGUGGGGGUGAACAAAACAUAACCAGAGGAGAAAAACCCAGAAGUGCACAGGGGACGCAAACAGGAGGACGAACAGGGGAGGAGGCUUUUCCCAGAAAAUAGAAGAAAACGCAGGAAAACUAGAGAGAACAGAAAAACCCAGGAACACACAGACAGACAGACAGACAGAGAAGAAAAACUGAAGCGUUGUCCAGAGCACGCCAUCACCAUCGUUUUCGACCUCGUCUCCCCGCAUCAGGUGAGUUUUUUAUUUUUUCAUUCCCCGUUUUCCUUUGCAUUAUAAUUCACAUGCUAAGUAGCUGUGAAUUAUAAUUCAUAGCUACAGUAGCAGUGAAUAUUCAUUAAUGUCUAAAUUAAAAAUAUUAUAAGCAGACCAUAAUAACAUAAUUCCAUUCAGGACUUUGUGAACAACACAGGCUGUAAUAGGCAACGUCUAACUUCCCAGUCUGGUGGACGCAUUGUUUUUAUGAACUGAAUGGUUCCUUGCCUUAAAAAUUUGUGUUGCGAAACUGAAAAAUUAAUGAUGUAAGAUAUUAUUUGAAAUGGUUUUAUGAUGCAGUUCUGAAAUUAUCUUCUUGCCUAGUUCAAUGGAAUCCAUAGCAAGUGUCAGCGAAAUUGAGGAUGAUAAUGAAAGAGUUGAUGCCUCAGAGGAUGAAACGAAUGACCAUGAGAAUAAAUUCUCCGAUAUCUGUGAGUUUCCAUCAUUAGCUUCUUUCGAAAGUAACAAGUCUGAUUUUCAGACAUCAUCGUUCUCUCCAGAUGAUUAAGGAUUUCUUGCUCGACUCAGAAGCGGGCAUUGAUCACUUUUGCAGCAGAUCGUACUCAGGCUUUAAACGAUCAAGCUAAACAUAAUAAGCCAAUGUUAUCGAUUCCAUAAAGAUAUGCUCUAUUCAUGAAAGGGUUCAUCAGCAACUUCUAAUUUCUACUGCUUCGUUUUAUACAUGGAUACUGUUCAGAAACUUCCUACAAUUGAUCGGUUAAAUAAGAUGAAUUGAAUUAUUAUUUUUAACUUUUUUUAUGGCAACUAUAUAAUUACUAGUUUCAUCCAUUUUUCAGAUUUUUCAUCCAUAUUUCCAUUCAAUUCUGUUUUUUCUCUCAGAAACAAUGCCAUUUUACACUUUCCAUUGAGUGAUUUAAACAAAAAUCAUUACUUAAAAAAUCAAAAUAGCAUGAUACAAAAGACUGUUUGGAUGCAAAAUUUGAUACCUCCUCACUUCUCCCGCAGACGUAUCCGAUUCUAGUUUUACUUUUUCUUUCAUUUUUCAUGUCAGAUUAUUUUAUUUAGGAUUUUCUUAUGCUUAUUUUGUUUUAUGUCAGAAGUUUCACGCUCUUUAUCAGGUCAAACAACAAUGUUCUCUACGUUCCAUUGGAGCAGAGCACAAAUAAGAACAAAUAAUGCAAGAGCCAUUUCCGAUUGCAACCCAAAAACACCACCAUCAAAUUACACAAGAUUUUAUUAACAAGGGGCUUUUCUCGAGAACCUCUAACUUCCAAUACAAGAUGCAUUGCUUACAAAUCAUACACCAGUCCUGCGAAAUGCAAUACGUUAACACAGCUUCACUUCUGGCAAAGAAAGUGGAACGAAUGGAAGAAUCUUGAUCGUAUCUGUACUUUUGUGCACAUUUCAAUCCACUUAUCAUCUUGUUAGUACGGCGGAACCAUCUCUCUGUAAGGAAUAGACUACAACUCAAUCUCGGGCAACGGUAUUUUCCAAAAAAUCCACGAGUUACAAUCUUCCUGCUGACAUGAGGGACAUUGUUGCAGAGCAAUUACAGAGUAGGAAAAACACUAUUUAUAACAAAGACUUUAUAAGGUUACAUUACACUUACUAAGUGGACGAGUUGGUAGAAGAAUGAUAGAAGAAUUGUUGAGUAUAGAAUGAUAAAAGAAUUGUAUGAUCAUGCUGGUGAUGGUAUUCCACCUGCUUACUGUCUCAAGUUUAAUUAAAACAGGGCAAUGUCCCAAUCAAAAAAGCUGAAAUUAAUGAACUUCUGUUACCCUUUGUUAUGUCAUGUUUUGUAAUGCCAUUAUCGUCGUUUUGCAAAUGAACACAGGUCUGAAAGAAGAUAAAUUCAAGAAAAACAGAAACAAAACUACUUUGGACUAGCCAGGUUACAAACUACUUUGAAAUCUUUCAGAUCAAUUGUGACUAAUCCAAAGUUAAGGGCAGAUACAGAGAAAGGAAUGAAAACAUGCUCACCAAGACGGUGGUAGUGAAACAUAGUGGGGUCCCAAAACUACAAAGUGUAAAAGAGCAUCCUUAGCAUUAGGAUGCUUCCACUCUUCCACUGACUUCCACCAUUCUCUCUUUUUUUUUGUUUUGCAUAGAUUUUUUCAAGAGGAGAUGGCUAGUUAUUGUCAAGCAACUGAAGAAAUAUUAGAUGCUUUAAUAUGUUGGAGAGAAUCGCAAAUCAGUUUUGCACUACAAAUGCUUUCAAGUUCAGGCAAAUAUCCCCAUCUCAGAAUCCUUAACUUUGGGAGACUGAACUUUGUGAUGGAACAGCAGCUACUUUCUUCUCCCAUAAUCCCUUCUUCAUCUCAUGUUGCUAUUAUAUCCUCCAUUUUGUCGCAGCAGUAUACUUUAAUUUCUUCCAGGUUUCAUCCAUAACAAGCAAAGCGAUUCAGACCAGAAAUCAUACCACUAGAUGGCAAUGGUGAUGAAGCUCAACAAGACCAAGAAGAUGAAAGCAAGCUCUCCAUGAUAUCACAGUCCUUAAUGUUGAUCAUGACUUCCAGUUCUGUUGCAUGCUUCAAUGAUGAAACAUCGCAUAAACCUGAAAAUCUCCACUGCUGAUUCUGAAGUCAUUCAAACCUGAGUGUUUUACUUGUGUGAAAAUUUGUAUUCAUAUUCGUUCCACAAUCGAACAAAAAAUUUGUAUAUGCCCAGUGCUUGAGAUUUGAGAAACGCUGCGAAGUCAGAGACUUGUUCAAAAUGGCAUUCCAAAGUUUCUGACUUCCUCAGGCAAGCUUCUCCUGUUCCUUUAAUUAUAACUGGAGCAUGUACUAAGAAUACACAGGAAUAUCUUUCCUCUAUUUUCCCCUUUAUAUUUGUAUAUUCUACUUUGAAAAAAUAAUUUAUUACUAGUUGGUGAUUUAAGGUGACUUACAGAAUAGAUCUAUUCUUUUAUUAGGUUACUUUAAUUAUAAAUCAAUAUAAUGUUUUUUCAGAUGUUCAUCGUGGAGAAAUUUGAUAGGAUGGAUAUAUAAUGUUAAAUUUUAAUUACAAAAAAAAAUAUUUGUGCUCAUUAUAAACUGACAAUAUAAAUAAAGAAUAUUUCAUUUGAACCAAUCUGGAUGUUUGAUGUAGGCAGAAUUUAAAAAAGGUUUACGUGUUUUUUUACAGGCUAGGAAAAUCAACCUAGACAAUGAAAUAAAAUCAGAAUCGUAACACAGAAAAUUAACAAGGAAUUUAAAAAUAAACAAUAAUUCCAAAAAUAUCUAGAAAAAAUAAUAAAAUUAGUGUAAACAGUAAUCUCCAUUUAUCUCCUCCAUUUUCUCAUAUUCUCUAACUGUAAUCUCCAUUUGAGGAGAUGACCUGUAAAUCUCCAUCUCUGUUGAUAUUCAAAUUAUCCAAAACAACCAUUUUACUUCCCACGGACCACUGUACUUGAAUUCCCAAAGUUCAUCUUCCCUGAACUGUCCUACCACAAUCUUCCAAAGGUAAUAUCAACAGGAUUAGCCUACCAGAUUAUGGAAGGCUAAUGUUAUCAACAGGAAGAUGUUGAUAUCGACAUUAAAUGAAGGCUAAUAAUAUCAACGAGAUUAUAUUAAUAUCAGCAUUACUAAGUGAAAUGUUUCCUUCCGAGAUAAUGGAAGCUAGGAAUACGAAGAAGGUUAUAUUGAUAUAAAUACUUUUACAAUUUGAUUAGCCUUAUCAAGUUAUAAAAGCUAAUAAUAUUAGUACGGUUGUAUUAUAUCGGCAUUAUCAAAAUAAAUGAAAUGAGUAAUAAUAUCAACGAGAUUAUGUUAAUAUCAGCAUUAAACAAAGAUUUGGAUUUUAAAGACUAAUAAUAUCAACAAGAUUAUGAUAACAUCAGCAUUACUAAGUAACAUGUUUUCUUCCGAGAUAAUGAAAGCUAGAAAUAUUAACAAGGUUAUGUUAAUAUAAAUACUUUUAUAAUUUGAUUAGCCUUAUCAAGUUAUUAGUACUGAUGGAAUUAAUUUGAUUGAAAAUAAGGAUUUUUUUAUUACAGAAAUUAAUGCAUGGCUAAUUAAAGAAAUAAAUUAAAAUAGUAGUUAAUUACAAGUAAUGUAAGGAAAAGAUAAUGUAUUAUUUUUUAGCUCAUUAUCAAACUUUGAAAUUUUAUUCAUCUUGGGAAUGAGUUCUAUACAUAUAACGUCACAACCAAAAAGAGGGACUUGGUGGUAAUUGUCUAAUGAAUGCAAUUCUAUAUAUAUAUAAUUAUAUAAAUAUGAAUCCACGGGUAAAGGAAUUAACAAAUGUUCUGCAUUGAAUUGUUAGAAUUUAGAUUGGAUUAUAUUUAUUUUGAAUUAUGAUAGCUUGAAAUAUUGUAAAUACAUAGAAAACUCUACUAAAAUUUUGAGCCUAAAGGACACCAAGACACAAUUAACAAAAUUACAAAAAAAGCCUAAAGCUCACAAGUUACUUAAUGUAUACAAACACACAAUUUAUUGUAGAUUAUAACAAUAAAAUAAUUAUUUCACCCUUCUAAAAAAACCAACAGCCUUCAUAUAAAAAGGACUUGGUAGUAAUUUUGCUAACAUACACACACAGCUUCAUAUAAAAAGGACUUGUAAAGCUGCUUCUUGAACGUCUUCAGGCACUUUACUACAAAUUGCAACACCACGUGGAAGCGGAGGUGGCAUACCCAAUUCCGAAGGUGGAUCACUCUGCAUAACCAUUUCCAAACACCUAAACUUAAUUCGAUAUUUUAUUAUAUUUAUAUUUAUAUAAUCAGAGUAUAAAACCAGUAAGCACCUAAACUUAGUUCGAUAUUAUAUUAUAUUAAGGGCAGACUCAUAUCAUACCUGAAACUCUACAAAGGGACGAAGAACAUCCUUGGCGUUAGGAUGCUCCCACUCCACUACUGACUCCCACCAUUCUUCUGGAUAUGCUGUAAUUGUUCUAAGAGAAGGGGGAGGAGAUGGCUGGCCAUUUUCAAGCAACGGAAGACAAAUUCCCAUCCUCUUUAGCUUCUCACAUUUUAUUAUACAAAUGAAUUGGAGAGAAUUGCAAAUCAGUUUUGCACUACAAAUGCUUUUGAGUUCUGGUAAUCCCCUCAAUCUCAGAUGUCUUAACUUUGGGAGGUUAAAUCCAGUGUUGGUGAUGCUUUCUUCACCCAUGACCCCUUCUUCAUCUGAUCUUGUUCCACCUGUUAUCACCAUUCAACUUCAAUCACUUCUACGUUUAUAAGGUUUGAAAGCAAGACAAGAGGGAACAGCUUCAUACAUUUACACCAAUAAAACUCUUGAAGACUAGCAAACAUACCAUUAUAAGAUGGAGAUGGCAGCGCAGCAGAGCAAAACCAAGAAGAUGGAAACAAGAUCUCCAUGCUUUUGCAAUUGUAUACUUGAAUUACUUCCAGAGAAUCGCAAAUCAGUUUUGCACUACAAAUGCUUUUCAGUUCUGGUAAUCCCGUCAAUUUCAGGUGUCUUAACUUUGGGAGGUUAAAUCCAAUGUUGGUGCUGCUUUCUUCACCCAUAUCCCCUUCUUCAUCCGAUAUUGCUCCACCUAUUAUCUCCUCCAUUUUCUCACAUUGUUCAACAUCAAUCCUUUCCAGGUUUACAAGGUAUGGCAGCAAGACAGGAGGGAACAACUUCUUCAUACCCUUACAACCAGAAAAACAAAACCAUUUAAGACCAGAAAAUAUACCAUUAUAAGAUGGAGAUGGCUGUGGUAGUGGAGCAGAGCAUAACCAAGAAGAUGAAACCAAGCUCUCCUUGCUAUUGCAACUACUUCUCGCAUCGAUACAUUUACAAAUUAGUUUUUGAAUGUCAUUUGAGGAGAUGACCGGAAAAUCUCCAUCUCUAUUGAUAUUCAAAUUACCCAAAACAACCAUUUUACUUCCCUGACCACUGUACUUGAAUUCCCAAAGUUCAUGUGCCUUGAUCUGUCCUAUAACAAUUUUGUAUGUGCUUAGUGAUUGGGUCUCAUCCCAAGAUUUGAGAUACUCCAGGUAGUUAGAGUGAUCUUCAAAAUGGCAUUCCAAACUCUAUAAAUAUAAUACUCUAUAAGGAGGUAAAUGGAAAGCACUGGCGAGGGCAUGUGCUAGUUCUGAUGUGCCUGCCUGGCCUGGUUUUGCAGUCUUCAUGUGGAGGACUGGUACACGACGCUUUCCUCGCUCUCUUAUGCUUUCUUUUCUUGUCUUUCUCAAUUUCCUCAGCUUGGCUUGCCUGUCCCCAAGCUAGCCUUUCUCUUACCUUUUUACCCCCACUUUCGAUUCAUGUUCUUAUAGUUAUGCACGUAAAAUUGGCUGUAUUCAACCUCGUUAAAAAAAUGCCACAGACAGGUUACACCCAAAAAUAAGCACUUGGGCAAUGUUGGUUUGUUCAGCUAGUUUUAAAUUUUUUGAAUUUUUUAGUUUUAAAUUAUUAUUUUUUAUGUUUUUAAAUUAUUUUGAUAUGGUAAUGUUAAAAAUAAAAAAAAUAAUACAUUUUUAAAUAAAAAUACUUUAAAAAAUAAAUUUUACUAUCAUUUAUCUCACAACUGCAGCAACAGCGGAUAUCAUUAUGCUUUUAAUAAAAACUUUUAUUUAUUUAUUUUAAGAAGAAAGCCGCAAUAUACUCUUAAAAUGACCUGGUUAAUUAAAUUUGCUUCCAAGAGUCAGCAUAAAACAAAUCAAAUGGAGCAAUUGGGAUUCCAUGGCCCAACCGAGGUGUGACCAUUAUAAAGGUGCCGCAGACGUAUCCGAUUCUAGUUUUACUUUUUCUUUCAUUUUUCUUCUCAGAUUAUUUUAUUUAGGAUUUUCUUAUGCUUAUUUUGUUUUAGGUCAGAAGUUUCACGCUCUUUAUCAGGUCAAACAACAAUAAUCUCUACGUUCCAUUGGAGCAGAGCACAAAUAAGAACAAAUAAUGCAAGAGCCAUUUCCGAUUGCAACCCAAAAACACCACCAUCAAAAUUACACAAGAUUUUAUCAACAAGGGGCUUUUCUCGAGUACCUCUAACUUCCAAUACAAGAUGCAUUGCUUACAAAUCAUACACCAGUACUGCGAAAUGCAAUACGUUAAGACAGCGUCACUUCUGGCAAAGAAAUUGGAACGAAUGGAAGAAUCUUGAUCGUAUCUGUACUUUUGUGGACAUUUCAAUCCACUUAUCAUCUUGUUAUUACGGCGGAACCAUCUCUCUGUAAGGAAUAGACUACAACUCAAUCUCGGGCAACGGUAUUUUCCAAAAAUUCCACGAGUUACAAUCUUCCUGCUGACAUGAGGGACAUUCUUGCAGAGCAAUUACAGAGUAGGAAAAACACUAUUUAUAACAAAGACUUUAUAAGGUUACAUUACACUUACUAAGUGGACGAGUUGGUCGAAGAAUGAUAGAAGAAUUGUUGAGUAUAGAAUGAUAGAAGAACUGUAUGAUCAUGCUGCUGAUGGUAUUCGAGCUGCUUAGUGUCUCAAGUUGAAUUAAAACAGGGCAAUGUCCCCAUCAAAAAAACUGAAAUUAAUGAACUUCUGUUAACCUUUGUGUUAUGCCAUGUUUAAUAAUGCCAUUAUCGUCGUUUUGCAAAUGAACACAGGUCUGAAAGAAGAUAAAUUCAAGAAAAACAGAAACAAAACUACUUCGGACUAGCAAGGUUACAAACUACUUUGAAAUCAUACAGAUCAAUUGUGAGUGGUUGUGGUUGUGACUAAUCCAAAGUUAAGGGCAGAUACAGAGAAAGGAAUGAAAACAUGCUCACCAAGACAUUGGUAGUGAAACAUAGUGGGGUCCCAAAACCACAAAGUGUGAAAGGACAUCCUUAGCAUUAGGAUGCUUCCACUCUUCCACCGACUCCCACCAUUCUUUUUCUUUUUUUUUACUUAGAUUUUUUUAAGAGGAGGAGGAGAUGGAUAGUCAUUGUCAAGCAACUGAAGAAAAAUUAGAUGCUUUAAUAUGUUGCAGAGAAUUGCAAAUCAGUUUUGCAUUACAAAUGCUUGCAAGUUCAGGUAAAUAUCCCCAUCUCAGAAUCCUUAACUUUGGGAGACUGAACUUUUGUGAUGGAACAGCAGCUACGUUCUUCUCCCAUAAUCCCUUCUUCAUCUCAUGUUGCUAUUAUAUCCUCCAUUUUGUAACAGCAGUAUACUUUAAUUUCUUCCAGGUUUCAUCCAUAACAAGCAAAGCGAUUCAGAACAGAAAUCAUGCCACUAGAUGGCAAUGGUGAUGAAGCUCAACAAGACCAAGAAGAUGAAAGCAAGCUCUCCAUGCUAUCACAUUCCUUAAUGUUGAUCAUGACCUCCAGUUCUGUUGCAUACUUCAAUGAUGAAACAUCGCAUAAACCUGAAAAUCUCCACUGCUGAUUCUGAAGUCAUUCAAACCCGAGUGCUUUAUGUAAUGUUUUGAAUUAAUGAGUAGGAAAAUACAAUAAAGCUCUUGGAGGCUUAAAAAUUGGAAUAAAUGAAUAAGGGGUAUAGUGGUAAUUCAACAAACUUGAUAUAUAUAUAUAUAUUGAUUAUUAUCCUUGUUAUGAUAAACAUAAUCAAUUGUUGAAUCCGAAUUAUUGAUAUGAACCAGUAUAUAUAUAUUCUGAAUUGACUUCUAAAUUGAUAGCUCCUCAUUUGAUUGAUGUCAUGAGUUGAGCCUUGAGAUAUGAAUAUAUAUGUUUGAUUAUGAUUAUGAACCUAUGGUAUGUCAGUCAGAAUACCCAUGCUAACAGGGUAGUGUUAGUCUUUGUGCACAUCGUAUCUAAACCCUAGUUGGUCGGGGGAGUCACCAACCUUUGUGGACUGAUCAUCCCACAGUACAGAGCCUCAUGCUCAUUGCAUUUUGAUUUUUUUGACAAACUUUACCAUUUGAUCUUCUUGUUAUGGCCUAUUUGAGAAACCUUCAUAUAAGAACCUAGAGCCAUAAUUGUAUAUAAUUCUCAUUGCUGUAUUACCUCGUGUGUGUGUAUUGAACGUUAUCUACUCACUGAGUUGUUGAACUCACCCUCUCAUUAUUAUUCUUUUCAGGCUUAUAGUUUGAUAGCAGGUCAUUUUGUUGAACCUUCAGAACCUGCUUUUUGGUUGUAAUUUGUAUCUUCCUUUUAUGUCAAGUUAGUGCUCCAAAACUAUGAAUUAUAUUAACUCUUGUAUUAAGACAAUUCAAUUAUAUUAUGAAGUUGAUUUUGUUAUUAAUGCUGCGUUGAACUCUGAUUGAGUUAGGAUAAGUUUGUAUGUAAGUUUGGGUUCACAUAGGUAUGGAACUUUGGAGGGAAACCUUGCCUAUGUGCCGGUCAUGGAUCCGAGAUUCGGGUCGUGACACUUUACUUGUGUGAAAAUUUGUGUUCAUUAUCUUAUAUUCAUAUUCGUUCCACAAUCGGGCAAAAAUUUUGUAUAUGCCCAGUGCUUGAGAUUUGAGAAACGCUGCCAAGUCAGAGACUUGUUCAAAAUGGCACUCCAAAGUUUCCGACUUCCUCGAGCAAGCUGCUUCUGUUCUUUCGAUUAUAAGUGGAGGAUGUAAUAAGAAUCCAGGACUAUCUAUCUUUCCUUUAUCUUAUCUUUUAUAUUUGUAUAUUCUACCUUGAAAAAAUAAUUUAUUACUAGUCGGUGAUUUAAGGUGACUUGCAGGAUAGAUCUAUUCUUUUAUUAGGUUACUUUAAUGAUAAAUUAAUAUAAUUUUUUUUUAGAUGUUCAUGGUGGAGAAAUUUGAUAGGAUGGAUAUAUAAUGUUAAAUUUUAAUUACAAAAAAAUAAUUGAAAAAGAUUAUUUGUGCUCAUUAUAUAUAAACUGGCAAUAUAAAUGAAGGACAUUUCAUUUGAACCAAUCUGGAUGUUUGAUGCAAAAAGGAAUGAGAAGCAAACAAACAUUUUGCAGUGCCAUAAACAUGAGAUCAAUAUUUGAUGAUAGUGAAUUGGGAAGAGGCAAUAUUAAAUAGAAAGAUCACCAAUUAGUAAUUUAAAGCCAUAAACUUUGAAGCCAAUAAAAGAUGAGAGAGAGUCAUUCAAUUCCACACCAAGUACAGUAGAUAAAUUCAGAAUUUUCCUGUCUUAGGUAUACACGCAACAAUUGAUUCUAAUUCAUUAAACUUAAAUUAAAAGCAAAUUGAGAGAUUCAGAAAGAACGAUGCUUACCCAUCUUAUCCAAACCUUACGAAACGACGAAGGACAUCCUUGGUGUUAGGAUGCUCCCACUCCACUUCUGACUCCCACCAUUCUUUGGGCGUUGCAUAGAUAUCUCUAAGAAAAGAGGGAGGAGAUGGCUGGCCAUUUUCAAGCAACGGAAGACAAAUUGGCAUUCUCUUCAGCUUCUGACAUUCUCUUAUAUGAAUUAAUUUCAUAGAAUCGCAAAUCAGUUUUGCACUACAGAUGCUUCUGAGUUCUGGUAACCAAAUCAAUUUCAGAGUUUUUAACUGUGGGAAGUUCAGUUCAGUGCUGCUGCUGCUUUCUUCACCCAUAACCCCUUCUUCAUCCGAUCUUGUUCCACCUAUUAUCUCCUCCAUUUUCACACAUCUUCCAACAACAAUCACUUUUAGCUUUACAAGGCGAAUCCAAGAAGAUGGAACCAAGAUUUCUCUGAUACUGCAAUUCCAUACUUCAAUUACUUCGAGAGAAUCGCAAAUCAGUUUUGCACUACAAAUGCUUUUUAGUUCUAGUAAAUUUUUCAAGUACAGGUGUCUCAACUUUGGGAGUUUGAAUUCGGUGUUUCUGAUGCUGCUUUCUUCACCCAUAACCCCUUCUUCAUCCGAUCUUGCUCCACCUAUUAUCUCCUCCAUUUUCUCACAUCCUUCAACAACAAUCUCUUCUAGGUUUACAAGGCCAAUCCAAGAAGAUGGAACCAAGAUUUCUCUGAUGCUGCAAUUCCGUACUUCAAUUUUUUGGAGAGAAUCGCAAAUUAGUUUUGCACUACAAAUGCUUUUUAGUUCUGGUAAAUCUCCCAAGUGCAGUUCUCUCAACUUUGGGAGUUUGAAUUCGGUGUUUCUGAUGCUGCUUUGUUCACCCAUAUCCCCUUCUUCAUCCGAUCUUGUUCCACCUAUUAUCUCCUCCAUUUUCUCACAUCCAUUAACAAUAAUCUCUUCUAGGUUUACAAGGUGAAUCCAAGAAGAUGGAACCAAGACUUCUAUGAUACUGCAAUUCCGUACUUCAAUUACUUGAAGAGAAUCGCAAAUCAGUUUUGCACUACAAAUGCUUUUUAGUUCUGGUAAAUCUCCCAAGUGCAGUUCUCUCAACUUUGGGAAUUUGAAUUCGGUGUUUCUGACGCUGCUUUCUUCACCCAUAUCCCCUUCUUCAUCCGAUCUUGCUCCACCUAUUAUCUCCUCCAUUUUCUCACAUUCUUUAACAUCAAUCCUUUUCAGUUUUACAAGGUGAAUCCAAGAAGAUGGAACCAAGACUUCUAUGAUACUGCAAUUCCGUACUUCAAUUACUCGGAGAGAAUCGCAAAUCAGUUUUGCACUACAAAUGCUUUUUAGUUCUGGUAAAUCUCCCAAGUGCAGUUCUCUCAACUUUGGGAGUUUGAAUUCGGUGUUUCUGACGCUGCUUUCUUCACCCAUAUCCCCUUCUUCAUCCGAUCUUGCUCCACCUAUUAUCUCCUCCAUUUUCUCACAUCCUUCAACAACAAUCUCUACCAGGUUUACAAGGUGAAUCCAAGAAGAUGGAACCAAGACUUCUAUGAUACUGCAAUUCCGUACUUCAAUUACUCGGAGAGAAUCGCAAAUCAGUUUUGCACUACAAAUGCUUUUUAGUUCUGGUAAAUCUCCCAAGUGCAGUUCUCUCAACUUUGGGAGUUUGAAUUCGGUGUUUCUGACGCUGCUUUCUUCACCCAUAUCCCCUUCUUCAUCCGAUAUUGCUCCACCUAUUAUCUCCUCCAUUUUCUCACAUUCUUUAACAUCAAUCCUUUCCAGGUUUACAAGGUAUGGCAGCAAGACAGGAGGGAACAACUUCUUCAUACCCUUACAACCAGAACAAUAUAACCGUUUAAGACCAGAAAAUAUACCAUUACAAGAUGGAGAUGGCUGUGGUAGUGGAGCAGAGCAUAACCAAGAAGAUGAAACCAAGCUCUCCAUGCUAUUGCAAUUCAAAAUCUUGAUAUACUCCAGUUCAGUUGCAUACUUUAAUGACAAAACAUCGCCUAAACUUCUCGCAUCGAUACAUUUACAAAUUAGUUGUUGAAUGUCAUUUGAGGAGAUGACCUGAAAAUCUCCAUCUCUAUUGAUAUUCAAAUUACCCAAAACAACUAUGUUACUUUUCUGAUUAUACUUAAAUUCCCAACCUUCAUCUUCCUUGAACUGUCCUACAACAAUUUUGUAUGUUCUUAGUGAUUGGGUCUCAUCCCGAGAUUUGAGGUACUCCACGUAGUUAGAGCGAUCUUCAAAAUGGCAUUCCAAACUCUCCAACUUCCUCAAGCAUCCUACUUCCUUUCCUUCAACUAUUACUGCAGCAUAUAUUUCCUUACCCAUUCUACCAUCAUUAAGAACCCUAUCCACCCAAUCCUCUAGUAUCAAGACUUGCAGGUGAGAGAGUUUAGGUAUUAUCCCACAUGGAAACUUCUUUUCACCACAUCCAUUCAUUCUUAGAUAUCUCAGGUUGGAUAGACAUUUCAUGCCAUGUGGAAUCUUUUUAAGUGGAGUACGAGAGAGAUCUAACCUCUUCAGUGCCCUGAGCUUUUUCAAUGAUGGUACACGGCUUAACCUCUGACAAUUGUUGAGCAACAAUGAAGUGAGACCCACCAAAUCAGAGACAGAAUCAGGCAAACAUUCAAUAGCUGUGUUAGACAGAUCGAGGACCUUGAGCCCAUGCAUUUGCUCGAAAAAUGAACCCGCAAUGAAUCGCAACCUAUGAUUACUACAUAGCAAUAAGGUUGACAGAUUUGGACACCUCACUGAAUGGCUGGAACAAAUCUCUUCAAUUCGGUUGUGCAUUAGUGAAACGGUCGUAAGUUUCUCAGUCCACUCCUCUGCAUCCGGCAAUUCUUCUAAUUGUUCACCAGCUUCAACAAUGGCUUGAGAGUUCUCUUGCAGCUUUUGGAUGGCCAUGUCCCUAAUCAAGUCAUGCAUCUUAACAAAAUCACCACCAUGCAAUCUUUCUAAUAGACAGACAUUUUCAAGUCUAUUAAGCAUUGUGUGGCCUUUGUUAAUUCCUGCCUCCCUACUCUUUUGCCCCUUUACCACUCCCUCAUCAAUCAAAUAACGUAUCAAUUGCAGUCUAUUGAUAGCAGAGUCUUCUGGAAAUAAUGCACAAUACAAGAAACAUCGUUGCAGAGCUCUAUCACUUAAGUGGGUGUAACUAAAUCUCAAUAUAUGAAAUACCUCCUCUUCCACUUUAUCUUGCAUAACUCUUGAUUGUCUGAGGUCCUCCAAAGCAUCGCUCCAUUCGUGGAUGUCAUCUACGCCCUUCAUGGUUCCAGCAAUUGUUUUAAUUCCCAGCGGCAAACCAUCACACUCCCUUGUGAUAAAUUUUGCAAUUUGUUCUACUUCUGGAGAAAGUCGUGUGUCAUGUCCAAGUAUCUCCGUAAACAAAGUCCAAGCUUCUUUAUUAGAGAGAGGAUUCACUCUGAGAUUGUUUCUGCUAUUCAUCUGUCGACAAACUGUUUCUGAUCGAGUUGUUAUAAUCAGCUUGCAUUCUUUUAAUGAGACAGGAAUUCCCACUUUGUAUAGCUCAAAGGAAUUCCACAAAUCAUCUAAAAUUAAAAUCCAUCUUUGUUUCUUUUUUAGUUCUAGUGACAAUUUCACAGCUAUGUGCAACUCCUCCUCUUCGAUGGAAAGAGAUAAAUUUAUACAUUUUGCGAUCUUCUUCUGCAAUGUAUGAAUGCUGAAAUCUCGAGACACGGUCACCCAGUAAACAUGAGGAGAAAUAUUUGCAAUUCGUUGAAGCUCGUUAUAGAUAUGUUUCAACAUUGUGGUUUUACCAGCCCCCCCAUCCCGUAAAUACCAAUGGUUGAGACUUCUUCGUCCAUCAACCAAGACCAUAUCACUUUCCUAUUCUCUUCAAAUGCUCGACCCACUAGCUUUGUAGAGCCAGUAGGUAAAGGAGCUCCUCUAGUCUCACUUGUGUUGUGUUUAAGGCCUACAGAAGAGCGUGCCCCUGCACCAGGCUGCAAUGAUCUUCCACUAUUGCUCUCCAUAUCAUCCUUCAUUAAGAAAGUACGCAUCUCCUGCAAGCUUUUUUCAUACAUAUCUGGUGCUUGUAUCCUUGUUGCAUCUCCUGUCAAAUUGUCGACUUCAUUGUUUUGCUCUUGUGGACUGGUUGAAAUGCCAUGAUGAAUCACAUUGCCUCCAGAAGAGCUUGCACCUACGCCAGGCUGCACUAAUCUUUCUAUUGCACCUCUUCUACUAUAAUUUUCAUCAAUCGCGUGUCUCCAAGGAGAGACAAUUCUGUCAACAUGCUGGACAGAUCCUUCACCAGUGUUUUCCAUGCUAUUUUCCAUGUCUAAAUGCGAACAAACUCUCUCUUCCUCCCAACCAUGUUCCAUGCCCUGAACUCCCACUUGUGUCCUUCCAGCAUCCACAGACAAAUUCUCAAGUUCUGCAUUGCUUUGUUCCAACACCUGAACCACUGGUUCUGUCCUCACUCGAAAUACGUUCUGUGCAUCAUUCACGAUGACAUCAUUGUUUACUGAUGGAGAACAGAGUUGAUCAUUUGUUGGUUGGGAUGGAUCACCUCGAGGCUCAUCAGCUUGAUAAAAUGAUGGCCUCUCAUGAAAGCUACCUCUCUCCAGAAGCUCCAUGUCUUCAACAGUGAUGCUAGUCACCAAAUCUUCGAGCCAAAGAUCUUCUCGUUGUCGUGCCAUCAUCAUUUCAUUGUUCUGUUGUUGUGCUGAAGGUGAAAUUUCAUUAGUGACAUCAUUAUUGCUAGAGCCUGCUAAAGUUUUAAGUUUCUUUUCUUGAGGGCCAUCAAUUGCUGCAAGGGCUGCGUCUUGGACAUCUGGAGGCACUUGUCCACAAGUUUUAACACCACGGCCUGUCACUCCUGCUAAAUGCAAUUUGAUCCUCGAAAUGGAAGUACGUUCGGCAAAACAAUGCCCACAAAACUUACACCUCAUGCGACCAUCAUCCAUCUUUUCAACAUAUUCCCAAAAAGAUCUGUCAACAUGAUGCAAAACUGGAUCAUUCUGUCGAAGCAUUUUGAUCAGUGGCCCUGUAGAAAAGAAAAAAGAUUUGUCAACAUGAUGCCAAAAUGGAUCGAUCGGGGUCAAAAUAUUGAAUGAAAAUUAAUGGAAGUUACAUUAAUUGUAAAAGGGAAGGUUGAAACUGAAAUAAAAAAUUAAGAACAGUAAAGAAAUGAAUAGGAAAAAAUAAUGAAUUCAAGGAUUAUAGAAACUGAGAAAGACAAAUUUAUUUAGUUUUGGAACUAUAGAAAAUGAUCCUAACUCCAAAGUUUCUCAAUAAAAUUUCUACAACUUGUUUUUGCACUUAAAAGAUCCAAAAAAUAAUAUACCUGGAUUCAGCUAUUGAUCGAUGUUCUUCAAGUGCUGGUUUGCUGAGGCAGUAUUCAGAAGAAGAAGAAGAAGAAGAAGAUCAGAGAAGAGUAUAGGUUAAGCUAGUUCAUUGAUGAGGAAAGGAGAAUAGUUGUAUUGUUUGACAAGAAAGAAGUUGCUAGGAAGGUAGGAAGGAAGGCAGCAACAACUUUACUGAUAGUUCAUAGUUCCUUUUUAUUUAAUUAAUUAAUUAAUUAAUUAAUUUCGAUUAGUGCUGCAUAUAAUAAAAAACUUCAACAAAAGAAGCCAAUUAUUGGACUUGGGUUAGGUGAGUUAACGUGUGGACCCACCCCAGUGUUCAAGCUUUGAAAAAGCUCAUUAGUACACUGUAACUUGUUUUUAGUCUGUCAAUAACAGCUCACCUGUGCAAAUCCCUUGUGAUCCCUCCAGCACCUAUGAGCAAUUUUCUUAUGAGCAAAGUUUUCAUCAGAGAGAGCUUAAUUCCUGGAGAAUAUGAAUGUCGAUUGAGGGUUAAAGCAAUAAAAAAAAGAAGUAUAUAUUCUCCAUGCAUGCAUGCAUGUUGUUCUGAGACUAGACAAUGGAAUGAAUCUCUGUCAGGUCAAGAAGAAAGGGUUAAUUUCCAGUAAUGUUCUUUGCCCAUGAUUGGAAGUUGCUUACGAUCCCUUUAAUAAUGAGAUGUUGUUAUCAAUGGCUCAAGCAAUAUUUUCCCACACAUAAUUACAGAUCCAAACACUCUUUAAUAAGUUUAUAAAAAAUUUAAAAGUUAACUGGUCGGAUUCCGAGUUUAUUUUCUAAAGAUUAUUAGUUCGAAUUUCAUAAACUUUUAAACCACUAGAGAUUUAUAUAAUUGUUAACUUUAGGAUCCGUAAGAUUAAUCGAGAUACACUAGUUCGGACACCCACAUUAAUCUAAAAAUAAAAUUAAAUCAAGUAAAAAAAAAUUAAAGAUGAAUUAUAUUUUUUGGACGUAAUUAGAGAUCCCUCUAAUAAAUAUAAAAACUAAAAAUCAAAUCAAGUAAAAAAAUAUUUUCGAAUCUUAAAUCAUUUUAGAGAUUAUUAGAGAUUUAAAUCAUUUUCAUUGAAUACUCAUCAACGCUGAAACUAAUGUUUUUAUCACUGGAAUAUGGCGGGUCCAAAACAUCACUCUCAUUCUCUAUUUAUUUUUUAUCAAAUAUAAUAAAAAUAAAAAUUAAGACUGAAUUAUAUUUUUAUGAUUACAUUUUGAAUGCCUAUAAAUACAAUAAAGUAUAAGAGAUAAAUCAUAAUGAAAUAAAUCAAAGGAAUUGGGCACCCAAACUCAAUUAAUUAAUAGCAAAUGUUAUUUUCAAUUUUGCAACUAUAUAUGUACAUAAAGUAUGUAAAAUUCCAAAACCUUGCUAGCUACAUUAUCUAUCUCAUCUCACCUUCCUAGUGUUCUUGAGGUAUAAUUAUAAAAUUUAAAUUAGUCUGUGAGUUAAUUAGAGAUUUAACUAAAACCAGAUUUAAAUUAACCUAGGCUAAAAAAACAAAUUAAUCCAGUUUAAUCCAAUUAAAAAUAAAAAUUAACUCGUAAGCUUAUAAAAAAAAUUUAUAAUAUUAAGUUAUUAACAAAUUAUUAAUACUUCCAUUUUAUAAAUAAUAUUUUAAUUUUUAUAAAAAAUUAUUAUCAUCACGGAUGAAUUCAACAAUCAUGUCUCCAUUUAAAUCGUUAAUAAUUUAGCUCUUUCAUCAAUUCUAUAUGUUUUCUUUAUUUAUUUCUUGAGAAAUUAGAAAAAAAAAUAGAAGAUUUGAAAUUUUGAUGAGAUUUUGAGAAAAAAUAAUGAUAUUAAAUUGAAGAUGGUCACCAUUGGUCAUUGGCCAAUCAUUGCUUUUAUAAUCUCUUAAAUGAUAAGGACUAAUUAGUUAUUUAUUAUACUAUAAGGAUUAGUUAAUAAUGUGUACAAACUAUAAGGACUAUAAUAUAAUUGCUUUAAGCCUCAAACUUUGGGUGCUUUAUUUAUGUUGUCUCAAAUUCGUUACUGCGAUCAAUACUUCACGCUUUAGGGACUUUCCUCCACUAACCCGACCGAGUCACAACUCAACACUCUGAGUCGCAACCGAUUCCGAUCUCCUCUCACUCUCUCAGCCCAAUUACCACCAUGCUUUACGCUUUAGGGUUCUAAUUUGAGUUUCUUGGACUGAUUAGGGUUUAAUCCGAUCCUGGACAGCGAUGGUGUUGACGUUUAAUGUAGGAGGGAAAGUAGUGGAGAGAGUAGAUUUGAUAAGGAAGAAGAAAUGGCCAUGGAGAUUCGAUAUUUUGCCAUUUGCAAUUCUGUAUGCGGUUUGGAUGGUCACGAUUGUGCCGAGCAUUGACAUUGUUGAUGCUUUAAUUGUUCUUGGUGGACUCGUUUCGAUUCAUGUUCUGGCUUUGCUUUUCACUGCCUGGUCUGUUGAUUUCAAGUGCUUUGUUCAGUAUAGUAAGGUAAGAUAGCUGUUUGCGUGUGUUUGGUUCUGGAUUUUGGGGCUUUGGUUUGGGUUUUGUUUUGUGAUUUGGGGGUUUUGUGUUUAGGUUAAUGAUAUUUAUGCUGCGGAUUCAUGUAAAGUUACGCCGGCGAAGUUUUCUGGUUCUAAAGAAGUUGUGCCCUUGCAUAUUCGUCAACAAGUAAGGGUUUUUUAUUUAUUUAUUUAAGUGGAAAUGAUUUUUUUCUCUCUAUGUUGGUAGAUUGGACUGAUAAUUGAAUGUUCUUAGUUGAUGUGGGAUAAUAAUGGAUUCAUUUUGCAGAUUGUUUUUUCGGGGGAGUGAAAAAUGAGUCAACUAUAGAAUGAUAGAAGAAUUGUAUGCUCAUGGUGGUGAUGGUAUUUGAGCUGCUAGGGAAAUGUAGUUUGUUGUAAGUGGAUUUGAUGAAAGUUGGAUGAUUUUUGAGGUGGUGAGGAUGAAGGUUGGAUGAAAGCUAAAAAUGGAUUCACUUCACGAAUUUUUUUUUCAGGGGAGUUAAGGAUAGAAUUGAAUGCAAUGCAUGUGCUGGUAUGGUGGAAUAUUUUUCAUUUAAUUUCAUAUAUUUUGAAUGGGAACAAAUGCUCAAAUGGGCAAAAAACAUUUUCUGAAAUUUCAUGGUGAGGAAGUGGGUCAUCUGGCUGGAGUUUUUAUUGAUGGGAUCUUGUGAUUUUUCUGAACUUUGGUAGUGGAGGGUUUGUCUACGUUGAUUGGUUGACAUAGUGUCUCAAGUUGAAUUAAAUCAGGACAAUGUCCUAAUCAAAAAGUUUAAAUUAAUAAACUUCUGUUAACCUUUGUAUGUCAUGUUUAAAAAUGCCAUUAUCAUCAUUUUGCAAAUAUGCUUGUUUCUAAUGUCAUAUGACUUUUUCAAAAGUAUUGCAUGAUUUGAAAAAUGAGCUUUGCACUGGAUGGUUGACCUAGAUUCAACUGCAAAAGUUACAACUUACAUUUGGUGAUCCUGUGGAAGUUUGUAGUUGAUUUUUUUUACUGCUGGAGUUGCAGAUUAUAAUGUUUUAGGGCUUUAGAAAUUGAAAACCCAAGUCUGAGAGUAUAUAAAUUAAAGAAAAAAGAAAGAAAACUACUAACACUAAUAGAUCCAAGGAAUCACUUCUAGAAUAAGAACCGAAACAUCACACUGGGGUUUUAAGGAAUUACACUCCCUGAUGAGGAAAGCAUCACACUCUCAAAGUAAAAGGCAGCACAUUAUUCAUAAUAAUUUGGUCAUAUUCCAUUGAAAUACCAGAAGCAUAUUUAUAUCGGCUUGUGUUAUUGCUAACCAGUUGGAUUCCUAUGUAGUAAAGCAUGAGGAUUCCUAUCUAAGAAACAUAAACAAGUCACUUAUUUAAUGACUAAGAAAAGAAAUAAAGCAGGAAAAUAAAUGCCUGACCAUACCACUAAAUUUCCUGUGGUCCAGGAAAUUAUAGAAUUGCCCUUGACCAUACUAACUAGAAACAGCAUCAGUGAAAAUAGCUUGAAAAAACUUAAAACCAACUUGCAUAACCAAUCGUUUAAGCUUUUUUCUCACUGAAUUUAAGCUUGGCUGAAUAUCUCCUUUUGUCCCUUGCUUGAAUAUGCACCCAAAGUCAAAUCUAAAUCCGUAGGCAGCAUUAGGAGUUGAGAGUAAUUUUAUUAACUACGUAAGAUUAAUCAAUACUGAGUUUUCUAGUUUAUAUGGUUAUAACUUCGCUUUAUCACCUACUCUUUGUUUUUCCCUGAAAAUUUCCUUUACUUGCAUGCAUAGUCAGCAGCAUCCUCAACGUCAGGGGAUGUGGAAGAAUUCUACUUUGAUUUCAGAAAGCAGUGUUUCAUCUAUUCAAAGGAGAAUGGGACGUUUCGCAAGCUUCCUUACCCUACCAAGGAAACAUUUGGCUACUAUCUUAAAAGCACUGGCCAUGGCUCUGAGGCUAAGGUAGCUGCUGCUGCUGAGAAAUGGGGACGGAAUGUGUGAGUUUUUCUAUCUGUUUCAUUCAUUUGUAUGUCCAAUAUUUGUGAUCUAUAAAAUUAAGGAUACCAGAGUAUAUCAAUCUUUUCAUGGGAAAAGGUCUCCCAAGUGUCCUUCCAUUUCAUUGUUAACUGGUUCUUUCCUUGUGGGUUGUCAGUUUGUUUCUUGCUUCCAGUGUCUCUGCAGCAGUUCCUUUGAUCCUGCUAUUUUUCUGGAUUUUCAUUUCUAAUAACCUUGCAGUAUUAAUGGCAAUAAAUGAACAGUGGGACUAACUUUUGGUUGAUGCUUGUUAAGGAUAGCAAAACCAAAUUAACUUUUGAGGGAUUUUAUCAUUUGGAAUGACAAUAUUAGAUUCUAGGUUCUAUCAACUUCUGAUCUAACUUUUUUUUUCCACAUUCUCAUUUAAAACUACUACAUCAAAUGCAUUUAAUUUAAUCCCUUGUAUAUGGAACUUAAUUGCUGGACUUUUGAUGUCUUGAAUUGUUUGUCUAUUAGAUUUUCUAUGUAUUAAAUAAGGAUUCGACAUAGCUCUUUCUUGUCCCUGGAAUGAUAUCAUGAAUUUUUCAUCGUGCCUGAACAUUUGAAGCAUUGUUUAUAUGUGUUUUUAUUUUGUUCCACUUCUUGAUGGGGAUUGUUUAUGAUUUUAUAGAUUUGAAUAUCCGCAACCCACAUUCCAAAAAUUAUUGAAAGAGCAGUGCAUGGAGCCUUUUUUUGUAUUUCAGGUUUUGUCCUUAAUCCUCAUCCUUUUUCUCUUUUUCUCUAUUAUUAGGACUCUAUUUCAACUUGUAUUAUUUUUUUAUGCUUUACCCUUUUUAUCUUUUCAUUCUGACAUUCUCCUCUGGCGUUUGCAAUGUGUAUCUGUAUAGGUAUUCUGUGUGGGGCUUUGGUGCUUGGAUGAAUUUUGGUACUACAGCUUGUUCACCCUCUUUAUGCUGUUCAUGUUUGAGUCAACAAUGGCAAAGAGUCGGUUGAAGACUCUAAGCGAGCUAAGACGUGUUAGAGUGGACACCCAGACUGUAAUGGUGCAUCGAUGUGGGAAGUAUGUAUUUUUUAUGUGAUUUGAGUGCUUUUGUAAAUCAUAAUUAUGGUAGAUAUGUGGAAUCAUGCCAUCAACAUGAUUUUAGGUGGGUGAAACUCUCUGGAACUGAUCUUUUACCUGGGGAUGUUGUCUCCAUUGGACGCUCCUCUGGUCAGAAUGGGGAAGACAAGUCUGUACCAGCUGACCUGCUUCUAUUGGCUGGAAGUGCCAUUGUGAAUGAAGCCAUUCUCACAGGCGAGUCUACUCCCCAAUGGAAGGUAGUCUCUUUUCUGUUUUCUAAUAAAUGUUGUUUUAAGAGCUUUUGAAAUGUGAUUAUCUGACACUAGAUUUGGCAUGUGGUUGAGGAUCUGGAUGGAGGUUUUAUGUUUGGGUUGUUGGGCUUUGACAAGUAGGCUAUUUUAUUGUUACAAGCCCUUCUUAAAAAAAAUGUGACAGGCCAUUUGUGAGGUUUGUGUUCAUUUAUUAAUGCUUGUGAUUACAAUGUUCUAAUAUGAAGCCUAAAUUUUUUCAUAUAAAAAUGGUUACUGCAAUUGAAUAAUAUUUUGUCUGCAGCUUUGUUAGACUGACAUGAUGCUCUUUUAUGUUUUGUCUCUAACAAAAGGAUAAAGAAAAGUCUUUUUUAUGCUAGCAAUUAUCUCCAAGGCUGCUGGGUUUUUAUAUUUGGUAUUUGUUUAAAUCCCUUGCUUCUUAGAACUUCCGACAACGGAAUUUUUUUUUUUAGGUUUCAAUCAUGGGUAGGGGAACUGAGGAGAAGUUAUCAGCCAAACGUGAUAAGAACCACGUUUUAUUUGGCGGGACUAAAAUAUUGCAGCAUACUCCAGAUAAGGUUGGUCAUGUUAAUUAGCAACAUUGCUUAUUGAAUUCUUGAGCACUUCUUUUCCUUCCUUGUUUUUUUUAGUGUAUUUACAGUUUCAACUGAUAACCUUAAUUCUUCAUGGACUUAGACCUUUCCCCUAAGGGCUCCCGAUGGCGGCUGUCUAGCUGUUGUUCUACGAACUGGGUUUGAAACGAGUCAAGGGAAACUGAUGAGGACCAUUUUGUUUUCCACAGAAAGGGUACUUAAUUUAAUUCUUAGUUGAGUAAGGUUUGCUGAAACUUUCUUGAAACGUUUUGAUUCUGGUCCUCCUUUAAUUAUCAUUUUAUUGUACUUGCUGAAGGUUACUGCCAACAGUUGGGAAAGUGGUUUGUUCAUACUAUUUCUACUUGUGUUUGCAAUCAUUGCUGCUGGUUAUGUACUUAAAAAGGCAAGUGAUGUUUUUUUUUUUUGAGGUACUAUUAAGCAUACUGUACAAGUUGCCCUAUGCUAAUGGGAUUUCCUUAAUGCAGGGAUUAGAGGAUCCCACAAGGAGCAAGUACAAGCUUUUCCUAAGUUGUUCACUUAUCAUAACAUCUGUGAUUCCACCUGAGCUGCCGAUGGAAUUAUCAAUAGCAGUUAAUACAUCUCUUAUUGCAUUGGCUCGGCGUGGAAUAUUUUGUACCGAACCCUUUCGCAUUCCUUUUGCAGGAAAGGUAAGUUAACUCAGUCAGAUGGUCAUCCUUUCUUUCUCUCACUUGUCAGUCCUUCAAUCACUACUUUUCUCAUUAAAUCAGCAAUGUUGUUUACUUUUCUGAAAUGAAUUGGUUGCCAUGCCUGUUUUAGUUGGGUUGCUAUUCCUUCUUUUGCUUUGAAGAUAUGAUAAAGGUUUUAGAGUUGGUGUGUCUUAACAAGAAACUGCAGCCUAUUAAAAAACUGAACACGUGCCUAUAAAUAUCAACUCAUAGACUCGUACAGUACUUGUUAUGACAAACACUUUUUCUUGUUUGUAUGUUGAAGCUGUUUCCUUAAUGGUGAUCAGGGGCAGUGAAUGUUAGUGUUUGUGCUCCUAUAUUUUAUCUUAUAUUAAUUGCUAUCAUCAUUUUUCUCUGCAGGUUGAUAUAUGUUGUUUUGAUAAAACUGGAACACUCACAUCAGAUGACAUGGUACGCUUCUCACAUAAUGUGAUGUUAUGCGCAUCAGUUUAUUGAUAUUAAAUUCCUUAUUCAAAUUGCUUUCUUCCUGUUGGUUUGCAGGAGUUCUGUGGUGUUGUUGGGCAGACAGAGAGUACAGAUUUAGAAACUGAUAUGACCAAAGUGCCUGCCUGUACAGCUGAGAUUUUGGCCUCUUGUCACGCAUUGGUGUUUGUGGACAACAAGCUGGUAUGCUUACAUAAUUUUUGGCAUACUGUUCCUAGAAUCCCUGAAUUUUUGGUUGUGAGCCACUUUCCAUCAGUUCACCUUUACAUUUGUUUUUCCUUGGAUGAAAGAAAUUUAGUUGAAAUGCAUAAGAUUACAGCAUAUAAACAAACUUAUGGUAUAGUUGAAUCUCCUUAUGUUGUAAUUUUCAUCUAUGAAGAUGUGCACAUUUUACAAAGGCCUGUAUUCCCAUAAUGAGUGUAUCACCUGCUGCCUAUUCCUCCACUGUACUCUGCCAGCUGAUAGAGAAAAAAAUGCCUCUAUCGAUGUAUGGAUGCAAAAAUUAGGUUUUAUUCUAUUAUGAUGGCUCAGAUAAAGUUUAUUUUAAUACACCCUAAACUUCACAGUUAAUAAGGUUUCAUUUUCUUAUAAUCAGAAUUUGAGCUGGCUCCGCUGUGUAAUUUAUGUAGUCAUUUGAUAAAUAAUGAACUUGAUUGGCUUUUUUUUUGCCUCUAGGACUUUAAGGCUUGCAUGAAAUUAACACUCGUAAAGAGAUGUUUGCUUCUUUUUUGCUGAAGGAAAUCGAAGUUUGAAUGAGAUUUGAAUCAUCCUCUUCUUGAUCCUCCUUUGAUUGUCACAACUAGUAACUGGACUCAGAAUCAACUUUGAAGAUCUCUAUAUAGAUACCUUCUGGCUCCUAACCUUUUUGAGAAUCAAUUAGAAGCCAAGGAGGGAGUUCGAUCAGAUUUAUUAUUUCACAUUUCCAUACUAAUUCUGGAUUUUAAAUGGAUGGAAAAUGUAAAAGUAAAAAGGAGGGUAUGGUCAGUCAUCAAUGCUAGGCUUUGUUACACAGCCCUGUAAGAAUUUUGGUGCAUCAGGUUAUUAGGUUUGUAUCCAUUAUCAUCUUAUCAUUUUGUUUUAUUAGCUUCCAAGCCUUUCCUCCUGUAAUGCAGUGUGUGAGCUGUUUCUGCAGAACACAUCUUUGAGAGAAUGAAACAUGAAAUGAUACUGCUUGGAAUUAGUCUCAUUGAGGUCUUUGGAAAUUAGCUGCUAGAUUUUACUGAAAGCACCACAGAAUUCAGCGUUCUUUCUAUUUUCUCCCACUAGAAAAGCCAAAUUGCAUGCUAUUCAUUGUCCUUGAUGCAUCGUGAAGUGCCCUGCUUGUAAUGUUUUCCAGUUAGCAUGAGCAAAUUGUUUUCUGAUAUUAGCAUUUGUGUGACAUGGGCUAAAACCCUCUCAAUAUGUUCAUUGUCCCUUGAUAAUAUUACACUUUCAUAAUUGCUUGCAGGUUGGUGAUCCACUUGAGAAGGCUGCGCUGAAGGGAAUAGACUGGAGUUAUAAAUCUGAUGAAAAGGCCAUGCCCAAGAAGUAAGUUGUGGAAGUGCUCUAUGGAUUCAUUUGUAUUUAUGUAAUGUCCUUCUCUUGUCUGCUUAAUCUCUGACUAUAAUAUAUUUUAGUUGAGAUCUUUUAUGCUCCUGAUCUGUUAAAAAAAUUUCUAUAUUGUAUUGCUAUUAUAAGAAAAUGAAUUGAAGGGAAACAAGUCAUGAAAAAGAAAAGAAAAAGAAAGGAACUUGAUUGCAGGCAAUGACGAGUUUGCACUAUAGUUUGAGUUCAUUUUCAUGUAUUGCUUUUUGUUUGGAACAUUCUAAAUUUUCUAAUUAUGGUCCAAACUAGCUAAUCAGAGAAGAUCACUCAACUAUUAAGUUUCAAACUGGUUUUCAAUUCUCAUAUAAACAGACAAACUAUCAUGUCUAUUGGGAUUCCUCAGAUGAGCAAGUCUGUGAAACAACUAGCUGGUAGCUAGUGGGGAAGACAAAUGGUUUCAUGACAGUCUUUUUUGUAACAAACUCUGGAUCGUAAUCCAAUGAGUCAGUGUACCAGGCUACCAUCUACUCUAAGAGGUCUAUAAGGAGGGAGUUUCAAUGUGUUAGAUAUAUUGGUUUAUUUAUUUUUCUGAGUGCAUGAAAUUUGCAGUUUUCCUCUGAAAAAUUAUAUUUUGACAAGUGAUAAAUGUAUUGAAAAUGCUAUAUGGAGGUAAACCAUGUAGACAUGAAGUAUGUACUAAUGAGGACAUGAAAUGGAGAAAAUGAAAGGACAUUAAAAACAGAUCAAAACAUACUCCAAAUCAUUCUUAUGCUUGAGGGUUUUUUCAUUAUCAAGUUCAAUGCAAUUAUUUACCAUUCUUAUUAAUUGCAGAGGAGGUGGUAAUGCUGUUCAGAUUGUCCAGAGACACCACUUUGCAUCCCAUUUGAAACGAAUGGCAGUUGUUGUUCGCAUACAAGAGGAAUUCUUGGCAUUCGUGAAGGUCAGUUGGUUGCUUAUGGUUUUUGUAUGAGUUGAUGUGCUUGAGCGAAUUUGACUAGCAAUGUGCUGAUUUAGGUUUAUUGACCUGUUUGUGUGCGCAAACGAGUCUGCAAAUAUUUAUUUUGUUUUUAAUUAUUUCAAUCACUUAGUUGGACUACUAUCAUUUAUUUAUUUUUAUUUUUUUCACAAAGGAGCGUAUUGGAAGCUAAUCUAAUUAUGGUCCUAGGCAUCAACUGCUACAUGAUGACAAACAUUUUGCAAAUUCUUUGCCAUCCCAACAUUCUUAUUUGUUGCUUGACUAUUGAUCAUUUUUUUUAUUUCCUUGUCUUGCAAAUACAAUAAUAUGAGAAAUACAGUAGCUGAUUUUAUAGCAGGCUUUAUCUUACUGUCCUUAAGGUAAUAUCAUGAUGUUUUUGGGUGUUUUUAGGGUGCUCCUGAAACAAUCCAGGAUAGACUUGUUGAUCUGCCAUCAUCAUAUGUUGAUACAUAUAAAAAAUACACACGUCAAGGGUCUCGGGUUCUGGCCCUUGCUUUCAAGAACCUUCCGGACAUGACAGUAAGUUUCUGAUACCUUUUGCUUCUUCUCUCCUUGAUGUUUACUUAAAUAGUGAGUAUCUUCCAUUUUGAUUUUGGCUGUUUUAUGUACUUGAUACUUGGUUUUCUGACCUACCCAGGAAAAGGGUUGUUAGAACCUACUCUUCAUGAAAGAAAUUAUUAUGUCUUGCUGCUUGCACAUCUAAUUUGACUAUUGGAUUCCCAAUGUUAUUCAUAAGGCUAGAUGUUGAGGGUACAUUGAGUCUUAACUGGUAAAUACAAUUAUGGGAUAAAACUGUACUAUCGUUCAUGUGAAAGUAUCACAUCUAUUUCCACUCGUGUUUGUUUUCUUUGGAAGGUCACAUUGAAUUACAUGGCUUGUGCAUCCCUGGAGAUUUUAGGAAUGUGAAAUUUACAUAUUUGUUAUCAUCUUUUUAGUUCUCUCUUCUCUUUAUUGCAUCAAUUUAAUUCUCUAUAAUGCCAAUUUUGAAACUUUUGCUUUUACCCUGGCUAAUUCAAGCAGCAAAUUGUCCCAGGUAGUUAAAAUGAAUUUGUCAUUUUUGGAGCAAUAGUUACUGUGCUAAGUUGUAGUCUAGUGUGAAAUGCACAUCACCUAUUUGUUCCUGUGAUGGGCUUACUUUAUUUGGAUUUUCUCAUUAUAUAAAAUUGUUUAAUGUGUAUUCACGUUAAGUUGUUAUAUCCUAUCUUGUUUUGUUUUGUUUUUUUAUUUUCUUUUUUCUUUUUCAUGAAGGUUGGUGAAGCUAGAAGCUUGGAUAGAGAUGUAGUGGAGACUGGUCUUACAUUUGCUGGCUUUGCUGUAAGCAACAAAUCCUUCUAUUUUCUUGCAGUAGUUAUAUCAUACCCCACCCAAGACCAAAAAAAAAAGGCUCUUGUUUAAUUAUUCACUUAUUAGUAGUUACUUUCUGUACUCUUGUCAUCUUACAUGCUGGUAAUAACAGGUAUUUAACUGCCCUAUAAGAGCGGAUUCAGCUGCUGUUUUGUCUGAAUUAAAGAAUUCGUCUCAUGACUUGGUAAGUGGCAACUUCUUACUAUUUUAAGUUGGCUGAAUCUAAACUUGAUGGGAACAAUUUGUUUAUUCAUACAUGUUAGUUCAUGGUUGCUUGAUGCAGUAUAAAAUACUUCCACCAAUUGUUUUGUUAAAUUAUUAAUGUUAAUAUUUUGUUAUUAUUUAGAGAUUUUUAUGUCUUGUAGGAAUAAUUACAGUAAUAAGUUGCAGUUUAGUGUGAAAUGCACGUCAUUCAUUUGUUCUUGUGAUGAGGCAUGGGGCUUACUUUGUCUGGAUUUGCAUGUAUGCUUAAGUUGCUUUAACCUAUCUUUUGUUAGAUGUUAAACUUCUUUUUAAUGGAUUCAAGAAGCAUCCCUUGUGGGUUUAAGGGAUUAGCCUAGUGGAUUAAGCACAAUAUUUCAGUACUCAAUAAAUGGAAUUUGAGUAUCUGCAAUUUUGAAACAUUCCUUAUUUGGUUGAAAAUAGCGCUCUCAUGAUGUUCUCUAUUGUCAGGUGAUGAUCACUGGUGACCAAGCUUUGACAGCUUGCCAUGUUGCUAGCCAAGUGCAUAUCAUAUCAAAACCAGCAUUAAUUCUUUGUCCAUCGAGUGGACAGGGAUAUGAGUGGAUAUCGCCUGAUGAAAUGGAGAAAAUUAGUUAUGGGUAAAGUUAUUAUCUCUUGAAAAGGGGUGGUAGUCUAUUUUGAUGCUUUAUGCUACAUACUGAUAGCCUGCUUGCUCUUUCUAUCAAUUGUAAUUUUUAUUCUUUAGUCUGAGAAAAACAAAAUGCAAUUAAUGUCAGUGACAAAGAGGCUGAAGAAUUGUCAGAGACCCAUGAUCUCUGUAUUGGAGGUGACUGCAUUGAAAUGUUGCAACAGAGUUCUGCUGUUCUACGAGUCAUCCCUUAUGUCAAGGUUUUAAAUCACAUUUUUAUCUGGGUAUCAUUUUCCAUGAUGGUUUCAUCUUGAUGAUGCAUGUCCAUUAUUAUGGUUUCAGGUUUUUGCAAGAGUUGCUCCAGAGCAAAAGGAACUUAUCUUGACCACUUUUAAAACAGUUGGGAGGAUCACUCUGAUGUGCGGGGAUGGAACCAAUGAUGUUGGUGCUCUAAAGCAGGUAAGUACACCACUUUCAUUUUUUGAGUAAAUAAUCUCUCCAAUUUUAUCAUGCACGUAUUGUUUCUGGAUGUGUGGAUAAGAAGUUCAUAGCUAAUUAUUAAUUGAUCUUUGGUUUGAAGUUCGAUGAUAAUAAAUGCAAAAACAUUUGCCAAUUAUUUGUGCACGAAUAAGUUUGGUAAAACACCUUUUAAUUCUUACUGAUCAUAUUCUUGGAUGGUCAUCCCUGUAGUCCACGAAACCAGGGUUCUUCCUUUUUCCUUCUUAAUUACUAUUUUAAUUUUUGGACCAAUUGAAAUUCAUUAUUUCAGCUCAGGUAGGAUAGACCUCCUUUAGGGAUGCAUAUACAAAUGGGAAGAUAAAACAAGAAGUUUGGCAUCUAAAACUCGUUUAGUCUUUAUAAGGAAACAGCAAUAAAGCAUUAUAACUGUUUUCACAGUACCAAAACCAGAAAUUGCAGGAGAAAUAUAAAUAUUUGAUACAUUUUUUUCAGGCCCACGUAGGAGUUGCAUUGUUGAAUGCAGUGCCUCCAACACAAAGUGGAAACAAGUCAUCAGAAACACCUAAAGAUGGAACUCCCAAGCUUUCAAAGUCAAAAAAACCGAAGCCUGAAGUUAGUAAUUUAAAUGGAGAAAGCUCUUCUAGAGGUAAAGCUGUAUCAAGAUCAGAUUCUGCUAGCCAAUCAGCUGGUAACCGUCAUCUGACACCAGCAGAAAUGCAACGACAGAGGUUGAAGAAGCUAAUGGAAGAGAUGAACGAGGAGGGUGAUGGUCGCUCAGCCCCCAUUGUCAAGCUCGGAGAUGCCUCAAUGGCUUCCCCCUUCACAGCAAAGCAUGCAUCGGUUGCCCCCACGACAGACAUAAUUCGUCAGGGUCGAAGUACUUUAGUGACUACCCUCCAGAUGUUUAAAAUACUUGGUCUUAACUGCCUUGCUACAGCAUAUGUGUUGAGCGUCAUGUAUCUGGAUGGCGUCAAGCUUGGUGAUGUGCAGGCCACAAUCAGUGGCGUCUUCACUGCUGCCUUUUUCCUUUUCAUCUCCCAAGCACGGCCCCUUCCCACACUUUCAGCUGAAAGACCCCACCCUAAUAUUUUCUGCUUCUACGUCUUCCUUUCUCUCAUGGGACAGUUUGCUAUCCACCUGUUUUUCUUGAUGUCGUCUGUGAAAAGUGCUGAGAAAUACAUGCCUGAUGAAUGCAUCGAGCCUGACUCUAAUUUUCAUCCGAAUCUUGUCAACACCGUUUCAUACAUGGUGAGCAUGAUGCUUCAGCUAGCCACUUUUGCUGUGAACUAUAUCGGUCAUCCUUUCAACCAGAGCAUCACAGAAAGCAAACCGUUCCUAUACGCCCUCUUGGCUGCUUCAGGUUUCUUCACGGUGAUCACCUCUGAUCUAUUCAGGAACUUGAAUGACUGGUUGAAAUUGGUGCCCUUGCCACCAGAAUUGAGGAACAAGCUUUUGAUCUGGGCUGUUCUCAUGUUUCUGAGCUGCUAUACGUGGGAGAGGCUGCUGAAAUGGGCUUUCCCGGGUAGGAUUCCAGCUUGGAAGAAACGUCAACGGUUGGCUGUGGCCAACGUAGAGAAGAAGAAACAUGUCUGAACCCUGAACUGGUACACAAGUAACUGAAUUUAGAGAAUAGCAUGGAUAGGAGAAUCAAGAUGAUCUAGAUUCAUCUUUCCCUUGAUAUGUGACAAAUAUAUAUAUCCCAUUAAUUUUGAUUACAUGGUGGGAAUUUUGUCUGAAGAUGACCCAAUUUUACCAUGGAGAAGGAUGAAGGUUUUUUCCUUGAUUUUUGCUUCUUGAGCAAAACAUGAUAUAGGGUAAGGAGGCAUGGAAUAGGAGGUGAGAGUCUGUGCACUGUCUCGUAAAUUCGAACUUCAAACUAUGUUUGCAUUCUUACAAGUUGAUUUGAUAUAGAGACUGCUGCUUUCUUCUUUCUUCAAAUAUUUUAUACCUGUACUUUCUUAAACAUAUUUGCAAUUGUAAAGAUAUUUUAAUGAAAAGAUGCAUAUGGGCGUUUGAUGCCUGAUGACGAUCAUUGGUGCUCGUAGUCUGCAGAAUUUGUCUUGGUAAAAAAAAAAAAAAAAAUAUUUGGCAAAUUAGUUAAGUUUUUUUUUUUUAAAAAAAAAAAAAACAAAUAAUACAAUCCUUGGGUUUUGUUGCCAGGAAUGGUAUUAAAUAUUAAUUGGGGAUGUUUGUUUUUGUGGUUUAAUUUAUUUUUCAAAGGUUUUUAAAAUUGUUUUUUUUCCCUCAAAAAGUAUAAAAUUGAUGCUUUCGAGGGGUUUUUUUUUAUGAUUUUAUUGUAUUGAUGUAAAAAAUAAAAAUAUAAGAAAUAUUAUUUUAAUAUAUUUUUAAUAAAAAAUAAUUUUACAAAAACGUUAUAUAUUAUAUUUACCAAAACACACUUUUCGUGAGUGUUUAGCUAAGCUGUUAAAACCAUGUUUCACUAAUUAAAAAAAACAUGAAAUUAAUGUUUUUUAAACUGUUGAAUAAGAAUUUCAAUUGAAAAUAGCACAAUUCAAUUUUAUUAGAAAAAUGUAUAAAUUGGAUUGUUUGAAAUACAAUUAGGGAACUAAGUAUAUAUCUAAUUGAACGGCUCGUGAAGCUUGGACAAUGAGAAGAAGCCAGGUAAAAAAGCCUACAAAUUUCUCCUACCCAGAAAUUCCCAUCAAAACGUCUCUCUCCUACAGGCUUCUGCAAAUCCGUUCUUUUUUUAUAUCAAUGGACAGAGCCUCACAAUAGUUGAUAACAUGAUAGUGAUUAUUUUUGUUUUUUAAAAUUAUUUUUUAAAAAAGUUAAUUUUUUAAUGUUUUUUAAUAAAAAAUAAUUUUUUAAAAAUAAAAAAUAUUUUGAUAUAUUUUUAAAUAAAAAAAUACUUUAAAAACCAAUUAUUUUUAUACUUUUAAACCUAGCUUCCUGCCGCUAAUGACGUUAAAAAAAUCACCCCAGAGAUGAAAUUUAAUUUAAUUAUUUAAUUUUUAUUCAAAACAAUAUUAUACUCAACAUAAAUUAAUAUAAAUUAACUUAUAAAAAAAAUUAACCCGGAUCUUGGACUCCGCUUAAGUUUAAAAACUAUGGAUAAAAAUGUAGUAUUUUGACUAAACUAUUAUUUGGUCCGUAAUUUCUCAGCAAACUAAUCAAUAGAUCCACUUGGUUUAAAAAAAUCCAUGCAUGUUCUUAUCCUCUUAUAAGUUAGUCCAAGUAAUAUCAUCUUAGGGCAUGUUUGGGAACGCGGCUCCGGCUGCGUUCCCAAAAAAUUUGAAUUUUUUUUUUAUUAAAAUUUAAUAUGAUUUGUAUGUUUUGGAUCGUUUUGAUGUACUGAUGUCAAAAAUGAUUUUUAAAAAAUGAAAAAACAUCAUUGACAUACAUUUUGGCAUGAAAAGUUAUUUGAAAAGCACCCGCAACCAAACUGACAAACACGCUCUUAAUCUCAACCUAACUUCCCACAAUACAAUUGAACAUAAUUGUUGAGGAACACACCAAAUUGGCAGUCACAAUCAAAUUAUUUUUUAAUCUCAACAUCAGCAAUAAAAAGAUGAUUGUGAAAGGAAGAAGAAGAAGAAGAAUAAUGUUGCAGUAAUAAAUUUGUAAAAGGAAACAAAAAGAAAAGAAAAAAUUUAAAUAUUUUGAGUUAACUGUUCUUAAUCCCUAUGGUUAAGCAAAAUAAUCAAUUAAUCACUUUAGUCUAAAAAUUCCAAUAUUAAUUCUCUAUAUUGUUCGUGCUCAUCGAUGACCUGGCUCUUUAAUUAAUUGUACAUUGCAAUUAUUUCUUGCUUCAAUACCCUUAUUUUCACUCAAAAUUACCAUUUUUUCACCUAUAGCAAACAAAUUGUUUGUUCCGCCACGCUCUGUGUGAUUUUGAAAAAAAUUAUUAUUUUUUUGAUAUUUUUAAAUUAUUUUAAUUUAUUAAAAUUGAAAUUAAAUUUUUUUAAUAUUUUUAAGUAAAAAUUAUUUUAAAAAAUAAUUAUUAUUACAAUACCAAAUAUACUUAAAAUUUAAAUGCUUUUAAAAAGGACCCAUCCAAAUAAUUAAAAAAUAAUUUAAAUCAAAAUUAUUAAAUUAGAGUUAGAUUCGUGAUUCAGUUUAAGUCUAGGUCACCAGUUGAUUUAUUAAUGUUAAUCUAUUGAAACAACCAAGUCACAAGUGAAAUUACGUUAAUUUUUUAUUAUUUUUUUUAAAACUUUGAUCUCGAUUAGGAUCUAAAUCUGACUCGAUAGGCCGAAAUAAAUUUAAUAAUAAAGAAUAACAUAUGAUUUUUAUUAUUUAAAGGCCCAAAAUAAUAAACUCAGAUUUGUUUUACGGGAGGAGAAAUUGGCGGUUGGUUUGGCUAGGGUUUUAGUAUUAUUUUAUUAUUUCGAUAUUUUUAUAUUUAUUUUUCUUGAAAAAACAUUUUUCGUUAAGGCUACAGUGUCGGCCCUAACACAAACAAACAAACACCUUCCAGACUCUCUUCGAAAUCUCCAUAAACCCAUCAAUCAGACAACAAAUUCUCAACAACACACUAAGGUAAGCAAGCCCUAACUGUUUCUUUCUAUGAUCCUUUUCUUUUCCUUUUUUUUUUUCUGCGAUCCCCCCCCCCUCCUUUUCGUGUUCUUUUUAGGAUUUCUUUUAACAAUGUCUUGAUGAAUGUUUAAGGAAGAAACCCUUUAAUUUUGAGGUAAAACCCUAAACCCUGAUUUUUUUUAUGGCUUCUUCGUGUUUUGGUUUCUGAGACGGUGUGAUGGGGAUAAGGGCAUGGGGUUUCUGGUGGCUUGGUUGUGAGGAAAAGAGGAAAGUAGAGGGGAAUGGGUGUGGAGAUCAUGAAUUUUUUUUUUCUAAGAAACAAACAGGUAAAGAAAAAUAAACGGUGGUUUUUGUUUUUAUAGUUUUUUGAAGGAGGGUUUGUUGGAGGGUGGGAUCAUGAUGCUUAUGGAAGUAUGUGAAUGAUUUUGAAAAUGCUGAUGGCAAGGUGUUUUGGAAAGCUGUUUUAUUAGUUUGCACUGGUUGAGAACUUGAAGGAAUCUUAGUUUGAUGUGUUAAGUGAUGUUAUUGUUGGACUUAAAAGCAUUUGCUUUUUGUUUUGGAUUUCUUGUUCUCUGCGUUGUUUUGUGAUGCAUUUAAUUGUUUUUUUAUCAGUAUAUAUGUACACACGUGUGUAUGUAUGUAUAUAAGUUUGGAAGAAAACUGUUUUGUCGAAGAAUGUGGACACUGAAAAGUUUUGAAUGCAAUUACUGAUGUGUUUAUUGUUCGUUUUUCUUUCCUUUGGGUUUCCUUGCUCAAUGCAUACUUACAAAGUGCAACAUAUUUUAAUGUUUUGAUUGCUGCUUUUCUCUUUUUGUUUGGGGUAUGUUUACCAUGUAUAUGACAUAUGAUUGGACCUGAUGGUUUCUGCAUGGUGAAAACUCGCAAGAUUUCAUUACUGAUGCAUGGUGUAUGCUGCAUUAUAUAUUGUAGGAACCAGCGUAAUCAUGUUUGUUUUCAAAGUUUUUGAUGGGGGGCAUUGUGUGCAUGCUUGUGCAUCUAUAUGAAGAGUAGUUGAUUUUUAAUCUAACAAAGUUUUUUCAUGGCUGUGUUUUUCAUUCAUUGAGGGGGGGGGGGGGGGGCAAGGGGUAAAAGUGCUUACACUGUAUUUUUUUCUUGUGUUUUGUAGGUAGUUUGAAGGGAAGCUUUAACUAUAACGUGUGCUUCUGGACUAUGGGAUCGUGUGCUUUUUGAUGUCGCAGUCAUACAAAGGUAGUGGAAAUUAAAAGCCUGUUCUGUUGGACAACGGGAUCAUAUGCAUGGAGUCAGUUGUGUUUUUGAGGUUUUCAUUGUGCUUCAUUUUCUGCAGGUGCUUCAGAAUCGCCUGAAAGUUGUGGCAGUGGAGAAGAAAGUACAAGGAAAGGGGCGUGUUUGUUGGAGAUCAAACGCACUGGAAUGGUACAAUGGGGAAUCAGCAGGCAUAUUGAGUCCAUUGACAACAAUCCUCCUCCAGGGGAAAAUAACCCUCAACUUCCAUCUCCCAUUAUCAAGCAUGGACAGAAGAACCCUCAACUUCCAUCUGCCAUCACCGGGCAUGGGAAUAACCCUCAAUUUCCAUCUGCCAUUGUCAAAGAAGAAGUAAAAGAUGAUGAAGCUAGGACAACUGAGUCUCUUGUGUUGCCAGAAGCUAAGAAGAGGAAGCAUCAUGCCCUUCAGGAACCCAGAGAAGCACGAGCUGUGAGAUGUUCUAAAGCAAAGCAAACUAGCCUUGUUUAUAAAUGUAAGCAAAUAAAGCGUGAGAAUCCCAUAUCAGUAAAAAAGGAGAAUGUCAUGGAUAGAUGGUCAGUAGACAGGUACAUGGUAAACCAUUUUUCUUUUUCCUCCUAUCAGUUGGGUUGACACAUCAUAUGGUGCUUUUUGAAGUGAAUGGUGUUUCUGUUUUGAAGGUAUAAUCAGGCGGAGAAAAGUAUGUUGGAGGUCAUGAAGGCUGAGGGGGCAGUGUUUGAGAAACCCAUUUCCCGGUCAGCACUGCGAAUGGUAGCUCGUAAACACAUUGGUGACACUGGACUCUUAGACCACCUACUGAAGCACAUUGAUGGUAAGGUGGCACCAGGUGGCACUGAGCGGUUCUGUCGGUGUUAUAACACUCAAGGGAAAAUGGAGUAUUGGCUGGAGAGUGCUGACCUGGUUAAAAUUAAGCAGGAGGCUGGAGUACCAGAUCCAAACUAUGUUCCCCCAUCCUGGUUGAGGCCUGGUAGUGUUGCGCCACUGGAUUCUGUUUCUGCUGAAGAAUUGACUCUGCUUAGAAAGGAAGUAGCAAAAAUGACGAGGUAAAUAAAGACAGUACUAGAAUAAAAAUCUUAAUUAUUUAAGCUUAGGUGUGCUGUCUUCCUUGAAUAAUCAAGUCUUCCUCUUAUAGGGAUAUGGAGGAGCUGGUAUCCAAGAAUCAAGAGCAACAUCAAGCUAACCAUGUUGGGGUAAAUAUUGAGUUACAAUCUGGAGUAAAUGAACAUAAUUAUUAGGAUUGCUUUAUAGGGCUCCAUUUGAAGUCUUUGUCCUUUCAACAGGAUAUUUACAAGGAAUUUGUGGAAUGGAGAGGUAAGACAGACCAGCGCCUGAUGGAGAUUUCAAGUUCUUUGGGUGGUUUGCAGGUACCACAGGAAUACCUUAUCUUCUGUUUAUUCUUUCUUCAACUUCUGAUGUACUUUUUGCACCUGUCAGUGUACCUCAAUCAAUUGCCCUUGAAUUUUCCUUUGGACAGGGAAAGUAUAAGGAGAUGAUGGCAUGGAAGUCGAAGAUUGAACAACAACUCAAGGAAAUGUCAAAUUCACUAAGCAGCUUGCAAUCAUCAAAGCAAUGCAAUACCCUGAGUCCAGUUUCUGAAAGAUGGGAGGACUGGUUGGAGAGCACCAACUUGGAUAAUAUUCAAGGGGAAGACUUUGCACCUUGGCUAGAGAACAUGGAUUUGGUUAAUGUUGGGUAUAAUGCCUCAUUGAAAGAACCCUACAAUGCCUCUCAACUGUGGUUGAAACCCUGUGAUAGCCCCUCUCAGGAGCCUGUUUGUGCAAGAGAGCUGGAGCUGCUCAAGGAAGAAAUGGCCAAAAUGAAAAGGUGAUAAUUUUUUUUUCUUCUUGUUUAUUUAUUUAUUUUUGUAAGUAGAGGACAUAAAAUUCCAAUGCAUAAUUUUGAGAAAAGGUACAGAAGGCUUUGUGUUUGAACUAUAUCUAUCAAAACACCCCUCCCUCCACAAAGGAAAAAGGAUCUUUAUUAAUGAUCUGAGGUUUGUUGUGCCUUUCUGUGGUAUAAACAGAGAUAUGCAGGGGGUGGUACCCAAUAGGAUGGAGGAAGAUAAAGCUAAUAUGACCUCAGAUUCAUCUGCCACGGCCAAUUCCAAGACAGAACUUGACAAUUCAUUUUUUCAGGUGACGUUUGAUAAUAGCCGGUGCAAAAUAAAUUGCUCGCUAUCUCCUAUCAUGGUGUAGGAGCUCAAUUAAACACACGGUUCAUAUAAUGUCUUUGCAGGAAAUGUUCAAGGACUUCGGAAAAUGGAGAAAGAAGAUGGAGCAACAGAUGCUUGAGAUUUCCAAUGCUGUCAAUACUUUACAGGCAUCAAAGUAAUACCUCUCCUGAAGCCUUGACAUGAAGAUAGAAAAGAUAGGAUGUUAGUGAUCUUUUGUUCCAUUUUGAAGAAACCCAGUUACCCAUAGAGUAGCAGGAUUAGAUAUUUAGAUACUGUACAGGCUUUACAAGCUAAAACAAGAGCUCUUGCUGAUUCCAAAUCAUCCAAAGCAAUAGGACCGGCAUCUGACCUUUUGACCACCAAAUGAACCAGCUUACAUGAACCAUAUCUUAUAUAUGAGAUGCUAAUUGUAGAGAUCCCGCUUUACUGUUCUUGGGAUAUAGAUGAAGUUGGACACCUUGGAGUGGAUCCUUUUUACCGGCUACUUAGUUAUAGAAGUUUAUUUUGUUUAGGAUAUGGGAUUGUAAUGGAUUAAUGACUAUUGCUCUCCUUUAUUUUCAUGUUAAUCUACUGGCAGCUCAUGUUUAUCCUCUUCUGUGUCGGCCAAACUUGUAUUAUUAGCUAUUACAAUUUGUUAGAAAAGAAGUCAUCAUUGUGGGAUCUUUUGGUCAGUUUGCCCGAUGCUGCAUUAUCACACAUCGGUGCCUGUUAGCUUUAUUGGCUGUAAAGUAAACCAAAAGGCCAAGAGAAGGGGCAAUCUGGUCGAUGCGUGCGCUUCUUGUAUGUAAUUGAACUUUUGUAUGAUUUGAGUGGAGAAAACAGGUCAUAAAGUUGGCCUUGGUUCACGUUCAUCGGGACUAGGUUUGUAUCUGCGGGUCCCUGGAUGAGAGACCCUGAGUACCUCCUGUCUUGUGAAUUUAUAUUGUUGCAGAACAACUCAAGCUUCUAAUACGGAGGAGCUUAUUGUGUGGCUUAAAAUCAAUUUGGAUCGCAUUUCAGGCAUGUGUUCAAGUUUUUAAGUUUUGGAAUCAAGUGAAAUUUAUAAAAAGGAAUCAUUUGGUCUCUGCAUAAUAAUAAACUUUCUACAAUUACUUACCAUUGCGAAUAUGAGGUUUGAACUCGAAAUUAUUUUAACCACUAUAUACGUUGAACUAUAAGCUUAUUGACAAAUGAUGCUGAGGAGAAUUUGAAUCUAAACUUUACUCUUUCAUAAUUUUUUACAAUCAUGUAAGAAUUAUUUAUGUAGCAAAGAAAGUGAACAUGGGAUCUCAAACUUCUUUUAUAUUUUUUACAACUAGGUUGUUUAUGAUCAUUUUUUAUAUGAAAUACAAUAUUAAAGAAUUAUCUCAAUCUAAAAUUAAAACUAUUAAGUAAGAUUUCAAGAAUAGUUUUAUAUCUCUCUAACAUAUAUUUUCAAGUGAAAACUUUUUAAACUUUAAACUUGUAUAAACUCACACCACAUUGUACUUAAUUUUAUUAUUUGUAAUGAGAGUGAUGAGAUUUAAACUCGUGAUUAUUUGAUUAUCAAAGCUCUAAUACCAUAUUAAAGAACCAUAUGAUGCAACCGAGCUUGUUGAAAUCAAAGGUUCUAAGUAUUCGAGUGAAGAUCUGACAUUACCAUAUGAGAAUCUGAUCUAAGCAGACUUUGUGGAUAACCUAGCAGAGAUAGGUCUAUACCCAAGAGGAAGAUGUUUGGUCAUGCCAAACUAAGUUAGCACCUUAAAAUUGAAAUAACAUGAUAUCCAACUAUUAUAUAUGACUCAAAUUUUUCCAGGAAAUUUUAUAGGCAUUUGUCUUUUAUUAAGCUUCUCCAUUGCUUAUUAAACCAUUAGAUCUCUCAAAAUAAGGCCUAAAAGUUGCUAGUUGGGGCUAGUUUUGUUAUUUUCCUAGGACUUUUUGGAUUUAUUAUUUUAUUUUGGAUUCUAUUUUAAUUUCCUUGAUGUUUUGGGACUUUAGGUUAUUUCCUUGUAGAGAUAGGUUUUCCUAGCCUAUUUAAAGGUUCUGUAAACCUCUUAAAAAGAUAGCUACCAUAUAUUUAAUUUUUAGAGAAUCAAAUUAUGAAUUUAGAGUUCACAUCUGCAAUUCUUUUCGCUCAUUAACAUUCUAGUGGUUUUUAUGCUAUUGUUGUCUUAUUAGCUUCUUAUUGCAUCACUAUCUCAACUCAAAAAACUUAAACUAUUAGGUGAGGUCUCAAAAACAGUUUUAUAUUACUCUUUAAUAGGGAAAACAUUACAUGGUUUCCAGAAAUGGAAGAAAUUGAAGCCAUUACCAAUUGGGAAUCUUUUGUGAAGUCUUUGCAGAUUCAAUUUAUGACAUCUGCUUAUGAUGACCUCAUGAAAGCACUUAUCAACCUAAGGUAGAUUACUACGAUAGAAAACUAUAAAUCCCAAUUCAAACUCAUUUCAAACAAAGUUCGAGGAUUAUUUGAUUCUCAGUAUUUAAUUUUUUUCUUAGGAAGACUGAAAAAGAAAAUCAAAAUUAGGGUUAGGAUGAUAAAUCCUCAUAAUCUUGUUGUGGCCUAUAGGCUAGCUCUAAUGUAGGAGGAAAACCUAACGGUGGUUUAUUGAAGUUGGAAGCCUAUUAUCGAUAAGAUUCAAGGGAAACCCACUUUCUUAGACCAAUCUAGAGUUGAUCUAAAAUCUAGCCUAUUAGUUCAAAAACUAACAUUGGAAAGGCCUAUAUUUUGAAUGCAAUGAAAAGUGGAGUAUGAGCCAUAAGUGUUCUUAAUUAAAGAUGUAUAAGAACAAGAAGAUGUAGGUUUUGCAGCGGUCAGAGACUUGAUUGAUUUAGAGGAGCCUUUAUCGGUUAAUAAAAGAGAAUAGAUAUUCAUAUAUGCUAUGAUAGGGAUUCCUAACCAAGGUUGUCAAUUAUGUUUUGUUUGAUAUUCUGUUUCUCUUAUUGUAAUAAUAAAUUUUAGGGGUGAGCAAAUCCGGUUCGGUUCAGUUUUUACCUAAAAAACUAACCAAAAUCAAAUUUUAAAAAACUUAAAAAUUCAAACCGGAACCGAACCGGAACCGGUUCAAACCGACCGGUUUCGGUUCGGUCCGGUUCGGUUUUCUUGUUAAAAAAUCGGAAAAACCUAUAUUUGUUGUUUGGGCUUUUUUUUAGGCUUUCUAAUGGGUUUUCUGAUGGGCUUUUUGAUGGGCUUAUAAUUGAUGUUAAUAUUAUCUAAUUUUAUUAGAAGAUUCUAUAAUAUAUUUAAUUUUUUUAUCACUCAAUAUUCAUUAUAUUAAAUUAUUAGUGUUAAUAUUUUGUUCAAGUCUUUUUAAUAUUUGUGUUUUGGACUUAUCCUGCAUCAAAUAAUCCACACACACUAAGUUAAAAUCUAAAUUACAAAGCAUUGCCUUCAAAAGGGCUUAAAAAAAAACAAUAAAACACCUUACAUAAAAAAUAAAACACUUAAUGCAAAAAAAUAUAAAUCUUCAUUGUGCACAUCAUCCCAAUCAAAAAGCUCACGAAGAUGACAAGAUAAUUGCACUUUGAUUCCUUAAUACCAUUGACAUCAAAACCUGGAAUUCAAGAUCAAAACUGAAGAAAAAAUUGAUUAGAUGACACUGAAGAAAAAAUUGAACAAGAAAAAAACUUCAAAACUAGCAAAACCAGGACCAUUAAAAAGACAAAAAUGAAAAACAAGCAUAAAGGAUUCAAGGACCGCAAAAAAAGAGAGUAAAGAAUAAACCAAUCAAGUCUGCAACUGACAUAAUGCAUUCUCAAAUCAGUAAAGAAUAAAUUCUAGGGUAUCAAACGGCUAAAAAAAUGAUGAACAAGAGCAGUAUUAAUUAGAGACUAAUAAGAGACCUAUGCAAUAUAAAACAAGAUCACAAUCACGAUAUGCAGGUCAACUAAACUAGGUUACAGACUCGAUAGUUUCUUCCUCCUCAAUCGAAAUGAAAAAACCCAUUAAAGAAUCAUAAAGGAUUCAAGGACCGUAAAAAGAGAGAGUAAAGAAUAAACCAAUCAAGUCAGCAACUAACAUAAUGCAUUCUCAAACAAACCCAGUAAAACAGCAUGAUCAAAUGUUAUUUAAGCAAAGUUCAGAUCUUGAUCACAAAAUCACUGCUUUUAGCCAAACCCCACAAUAGAUCCAAGCCAACAACGAAACCCAGAUGAAAAAAAGAGUAAAAACAAUAAAUGAAAAACCCAUUAAAGAAAAUGAGAGAUGAGCAGUGGAAGAAAGUACUUAGCUUGAAAGAUCGAGAAAGCUGAAAGAAGAUUUGAACUUUAGCAACAAAAACAUUGUAGACAGAGAGCUCCUUGUAAUGAAAUACUGGGGAAGCUUGGCAGCCUCAGAAUCUGAGCAUGGAUUUCACAGAACAUUAAUAUAAUGCAAAUGCAAAUUUGCUUCUAAUAAUUCCCGAGAAAAUAACCAGUAGCAGUGGGUGCAUAUAUUCUUACUGUUGGAACUUCUUCAGGCUUCUUAUCCAACAAAACAGCACGAACAUGAAGAUUGAAGAUGAAGAAAUCAUACCUCGUGUCCCUGGGUUGUUAGAUUUGAAGAUGAAUAUUGAAACUUUGUUGAAGUUUUGUUAGACGACUAGAAGUCUAGAUCUGGCCAUGAAGUUUUAUAAAGUGAUGGAGAAUUCAAUUUUUAUCAAGCCGAGAGUGUGAGAGAUUGAGAUUUGAGAGGUUGUGGCUUGUGAGGGCUUUGGGGAAGGGGGGGUGGCUGCGUGGAUGCAGAAGGAUGGGGAAUGCUAGGGUUAAAAAAAGAGGGCUUUUAUAGUAUUUUUUUUUAAAACUGAACCGGUUCGGUUCGGUUUAUUCGGUUUUUUGCUUAUCAAACCGAAACCAAACCGAACCGGCCGAUUUUUUUUUAAAUUUUAAUCGGUUUAAAUCGGUUUUUUUUUUCGGUUCGGUUUUUUCAGUUAUUUUUUUCCGGUUUUCUCGGUUUAAUCGGGUUUUCGGUUUUUUUGCUCACCCCUAAUAAAUUUGAGUUUCAGAGUAUUUUGGCAUUUCAUUCUGAGGUCUUGCACUUUACAUUUUAUAUAUAAAUUUCAAAACAUUAAUUCAGCAUACAUGAUUUCAAUUUAAAUUCAAAUAAAAAUUAACUUUAAAUUAUACAAUACAAACACAACAUCAAUUAUCUAAAUAUAAUUUUAAAAUUUAACACAUUUUUAAAUUGUUAUGAAUCAAAACUAAAAAGAAUUUUAACUUAAAAUAAUUCACUUUCACCAAAUACAUUUCUAAGUAUUUGCUCAAGUAAGUUAGGGAGGUGAGCCACACUUGCUUUUAAAUACUCCAACUCUUCUUAGAAAUAAACAUAACGGUGUGCACGUUAUUCAUGUUCCAUAUUUUUUAGUCAAAGUUAGGUGUUGUAGAUUCUUUGAGGACCUAUAUUUCAACCUGAUGCAUAUGUAUAUAUGCUAUUUACAAUGAAUGUAUAUAUGUGUAUGGAUGCAAAUGUAUGUACAUACACAUUGGGUAUGGAUGACGAAAACCCAUGCAAAAUGAAUAUUUAGGAAGUUCAUGUUCUAAAGGAAGAUUCUAGGGUCAUUAUAUGAGGGUAAACUUUUUAUCUGGUCCCAAAAGAUCUAUAAACUGUCCAGUGAUUACCUUACAUAAAAGCAAUAUAAGAGUUUACAAGAAAUGGUUGGGCACAAUGUCACUGCUGACAAUAUAUUUAUUGGUGUAAGCCGCAGGACUGUGGCUGUGGCUGUGGCCGCUGACACUGUCCCUUUACAAAAGGAUGUUGCCACCUUCCUCCCUAGCGAUAUUUCUCCACCUACUGAGAAGUAUUGGUACUCAAGGUUGCCCAACACUCCGUUGCCAAGAGCCCUAGGAUAUCUUCUAUAACCUGGUCAUUAUCCUUCAAUCUCCACAGAAUUCGCUAAUGAAAACGUAAGUGCUGCAGCUUCUCAAAGAACCUAUAAACAAGGAUAUAGAUCUGUCAAGCAUAAAACAGCCAUAAAGUCUGCCCUCCCCGACUCAACGAUAUUCUACCUGUACAACGAUCUCCAACCAGGUAAAAGGAUGAGAAUUCAUUUUACUAAUAGUGGGACCAAGGUUAGUUUCCUGCCUCGUCAGGUUGCAGAGUCUAUACCAUUUUCGAGUGACAAAGUACCAGAGAUUUUGAACUACUUUGCACUACAAGUCAACUCAAAAGAGGCUCAGGUUAUUAGAGAUGAAAUAGGAGGAUGUGAGGAGCCAAACAUGGAAGGAGAAGAAAAAUUCUGUGCUACAUCUCUGGAGUCAUUAAUUGAUUUUAGUGUUGAAAGGCUUGGCCGAAAUGUUCGCGUACUCUCCACUGACGCAGGCAAGAAGCAAGAAUAUACUGUUUCGGCCAAAGCGACAAUGAUUGGAGAUCAUAAAGCAGCAGUGUGUCACAAGAUGAGAUAUCCCUAUGCAGUGCACUAUGCCAUGUAAUCGUAGACACAGAGGUUUAUGAGGUUCCUUUAGUGGGUGCUGAUGGCACAAAAGUGAAAGCUGUGACAGUUUGCCACCUCAACACAUCAGCUUGGAGUCCAGACCAUAUGGCGUUUCAAGUUCUCAAAAUUAAGCCAGGACCAGCUGUUUGUCACUUUCUCGAUAGCGAUCGAUACUCUCGUUUGGGUGCCAAAGAAGGAUUAAAAAAUGACUCCAUGAUCAUUGGUAGAAGCUUGGUAUUGAUCAGCAAAGGUCCUUAAUAAGUUUGCUGCCCAGUCGUCAUAAGUGUUUAUAAUAUGCAUUUAUUUCCGGUCCCUUCCCCGUCGUCGUUGCUGCUUGUGUUUGUCAUAUACAUGUACGUAGCCCCCCACCUUGUUUUCUUGGAAGUCCUGUUGUCCAAGAUGUUAGCAAUUAAUUUGCUUAAUAAGAAGGUUAUCCUAAUUAAGAAACCCGCCUUAUCUAUUCAAAGUUUGAAUUUGUAAUCCUCGACUCUACGUUUGUUACUCAAUACAUUGAAGUGAAGUUCCCUUAUGAAUGGUAAAGCUACUGGACAUGUCAAGCUUUUUCUGGAGAGACUCUCUGUAUGUGUUUUAGGUGUUUUCAUUAACAUUGCUGUCAAGCUAGGAGCUUCAUAUAGCCAAGAUCUUCUUAAUUCACGAUUGCAGGCAUGUGUUCUGGUUCUUAAGUUUUGGAAUCAAGUGAAAUUUAGAAAAAAGAAUCAUUUGGUCUCUGCAUAUAAUAAACUUUCUACAACUGGUUACCAUUGCGAAUACGAGGUUUGAAGUCGAAAUUAUUUUAACACUGUUCACGUUGAACUAUAAGCUUAUAUAUUCACAAAUGAUGUUGAGGUGAAUCUAAACUUUACUCUUUCAUAUAUUUUUGACUAUCAUGUAAGAAUUAUUAAUUAAGAAGCAAAGAAAGUGAAUAUGGGAUCUCAAAGUUCUUUAUAUUUUUUACAACACAGGUUUUUUAUGGCCAUUAUUUUGCAUAUGAAAUAGAAUAUCAAAGAAAUAUUUUAAUCUAAACUUUAAACUAUUAAGUAUGGUUUCAAAAAUAAUUUUAUUUUUUUAAAUAUAUAUUUUUAAGUGAAAGUUUUUUAAACUUUAAAUUUACGUAAAUCUAUACUAUUGUAUAUAUACUUAAUUUAAACUCAUAGCUUUUUAGUUAUAAAAAUUUUAAUACUACAUAAAAUAACCACGUCAAGCAACUGAGUUUAUAAAAAUCAAAAGUUUUAACAAUUAGCGUGAGAAUCUAACACUAUUAGAUAGAGUGAGGAUUAAAUAGGGAUAGGAUAUAAACACACUAAGUAUUAGAGAUUCUUCCCCCAUGCACUACUUUUGUCUUUAAUUUCUCCCAUUGAAAUAUGAAAGGAGUGAUUAAGACAGUGUGCACUUGAAGCCACAUCCUUCCAAAGUCUAGUGUCUGGGUUACUAUACCUCCACAGCCACUUGAAUGAUUUGAUGAGUUGAGAAACUAGGACUUCAAGCCGGCCUUGUUUCCUAUUCAUCAGCACUGGAUUUGUCUCUGCGGGUCCCUGGAUGAGAGACUCUGAGUACCAAAAUUUAAAAGAACAUUUUUUUUAUAUAUUAAGACUCAAAAUCUAAACUUAACAUAACAAGAGAGGGAGGAAACUCUUUAAGAUGUAUUAGGCAUGACAUCCAUUUCAAGAUUAGGACAUUAAUUCGCAUAAAAUUUCUCUCUCUGUAUCUUCUAUGGUGCAAUUGGCUCUGUAUAUUUAUUAUAAAAGUCAUCAAUAAUCAUGUCCGUUGUGGCUUUUGUGGAAGCAUCACAAAAGUUUGAAGUCCAGACCAUUUGGCGUUUGAAGUUCUCAAAAUUAAGCCAGGACCGGCUGCUUGUCACUUUCUUGCAAGUGAUACUCUAAAAUGGGUGGCCAGCAAAUGAUCAAAACACGACUCCAUGACCAUAUGGUGUUGCUAUUUGUGUUCGACACUUACUCUACAUGCAAGCAUGCAAUUUAGAUUCAUAUAUCACAACAAAUACACUUAUAUAUGACAUGUCUGUAAUAAAUGCAUGAAUUUACGAGUGUAAAACACAUCAUCCUUGGUAUAACACGUUCCAAACUUAACUAAGUGUCGGUUAUUAUAGAGAUCACCAUUAGCAAUGUAGGUUUUCUUGGCAGAAGUAGAGGAAAAGAGUAUCUAGGUUAGUACUUUACAAUAUAUAGAACAACAGAUGCUGGAGAUUCCCAAUGCUGUUAAUACUUUACAGACAUCAAAGCGAUGCAUCUCCAGAAGCCUUUACAAGAAGAUAGGAUGUUAGUGAUCUUUCGUUCCAUUUUGAAGAAACCCAGUUACCCAUAGAGUAGUGGGAAUUUGAUCUUUAGAUACUGUACAGGUUUUACAAGCUAAAACAAGAGCUCCUGCUGAUUCCAAAGCAAUAGGACCGGCAUCUGACCUUUUGGCCACCUAAUGAACCAACUUACACGAGCCAUACCUUAUAUAUAAGAUGCUAAUUGUAGAGAUCACGCUUUACUGUUCUUGGGAUAUCGAUGAAGUUCGACACCUUGGAGUGGAUCCUUUUAACGCCUGCCUAGCUAUACAAGUUUAUUUUGUUUAGGAUCUGGGAUUGUAAUGGGUCUAUGACUAAUGCUGGUCUCCUUUACGGUUAAGUUAAUUUACUUGCAGUUCUUUAUGGUUAUCAUUCUGUGUCGGCCAAACUUGUAUAAUUAAUUACUGCAAUUUGCUAGAAAAUCAGUUGAUGUCAUCAUUGUGGGAUGUUUUUGCGAGUUUCCGGCUGCUGCAUCACCACAUCUGUGCCUAUCAGCUUUAUUGGCAGUUUGUUUGAUGUGUGUGAUUCCAUUAGGAUCAGAUUGCAUAUAAAGCGACAUCUUCAAGUUGACAUAAUAUGACAUCUUCAAGGCGGCUCUGGUUCCUGUUCAUCAGUACUGUAUUUGUCCCUGGAUGAGACACCCUGAGUGCUCAAGUUUUUAAGUUUUGGAAUCAAGUGAAAUUUAGAAAAAUAGACUGAUUUGGUUUAUGCAUUCAAUAAACUUACUCUCUACUAUUGCUUUCCUUCUGUCUUACAUAAUAAGCUUAUUUACAAAUGAUGUUGAGUGGAUGUGAAUCUAAACUUCACUCUUUCAUAUCGUUUUGGCAAUUAUGUAAGAUUUAAUUAAGUAGCCAUAAAAUAUACUUCAAUCAUAAAUUAUGGUAAAAAACUCAUCAACAUUAAAAAAAAAAAAAAAGAAGAAGAAGAAGCAAAUCAAAUGGGCUCUUUUGGGCUUUUCCAUUUUGAGAUACGGCUAGCAAACCAUCAAAAAAAGAUAACAUGGGAUCCAUGGACAAAUUUACUUCUUUUUUUUAUUAUUAUUAUUAUUAUUAUUAUUAUCUUUUUAAUAAUGUUUUAUUUUAUUAUUCAUUUUACUUUUUAAAUUUUUAAUCAACAUCCGGAAUAUAAAGCCUAAGUGUAACAAUUGUAAUUUUAGAAAUAAUAUUAUAUUUCAGCAAAACAUUUGUCGACCAAAUUGGUGAAUCUAUUUUUUUUUUUUUUUUCAUUUGUGUGAAACUUUGGAAAAGUUUUCUCUGUUAUUGUUCUCCUGGAAAGACUCCAAUGUUGCAGGACAACAAUACCUCCUUUUAUUACGACGCCACUGUGUAUAUAUAAGUUGGGAAUAAUGGGCUCUCUUUGGGCCAAUGGUUGCUCUACUAUUCCCUGAACAUCCCAUGCUUUCUUGUUUGAGCUAUCAUGCUCGAGGAGGCUAUGUCUUUAAAACUUUUACCACAUUGGUCCGAACCAAGAGUUCUGGGAAUGCACUGCUGAGACCCCAACUCCCUAGCAACCAUGGGUGGAUCAUAACUGAUAUACCCGAUAAUUCCAAGCAAAGGAACCCAUAGAUAUUUCCCACAAUAAGGCUUUGAUCUCAAUAUCCAAAUUGCUCUCCAGCUGAAAAUAGUUAUGGCACUGUAUCAAUUUCAUUGAAAGAAUCAACUUCAAGCAUCUUACUCAAAAAAUUUGUCUCCUAAUCAUUUUGUUUUCUUUUAGUGUAGCUUGAAUUUUCAUAUUUCUGGUUCAAAUUUCUCUACUCAAAGAUCUUCUGGUGUGCGAUAACCUGUCAUCGCCAUCUGGUCCCUCUGUUUCAGUCAAGCAUCAUGCUAGUAAUUUAUGUUUUCAGACUGUCAUUAAGCUUUUUCAAAAUUAUGAUUCUUUAAACCGCCUUGUAGGGUCACCAUAUCUAUUCUCUUAUAUGGCAGAUACAACACUAUAAGACUAUAUUUUUCAUGACCAGUUCAUGGACGGCAGAGAGUGCUGCAGUGCAAUCAUAAUAUGGAAGUUUUUUUUACUUGAAACUUAUACAGAAUCAUUAUUAUUUUAUAUUUAGUUUUAUUAAUUUAAGUAAAGAAAACGAGCGUGCCAAGAUUCGAUUUAAACUCUUAACUACUUAGUUAAUAAGAAUUUGAUACUAUGUUAAAAACAUAUAAAUCUUAAAACUUAAUCUAAAUGGUUUAUAUUAAUCUCUCACAGUCCAAAUUCCUUCCACUAUAUAUGUAUACAUAUGUUUGUUUGUUUUUUCUUUUAGUUAUUGGCCGAGGUUUCUUCCAUUGAUUAUGGGAUCACAUUUUCUAAGCAUAUAUACCAAAUUGCAACUGUACUUCUGAAUGUGUAUACCUGAUAAGGCUGGUUUUUGAGGAUCACCUUCUUAAGGAAACCAGGGCUUCCACACUAAAACAGGGUGAGGAGGUGCGUGUAUAUGACAAACAUAAACAGCUACGACAACAGGUAAGGGACCGGAGAACAUAGAUAUUAAUUAUAAGCAGGGAAGAGACCGGGAGUACAUAGAUAUUAUAAACAGCUACGACAACAGGGAAGGGACCGGAGUACAUAGAUAUUAUAAACAGCUACGACAACAGGGAAGGGACCGGAGUACAUACAUAUUAUAAACAGCUACGACAGCAAGGCAGCAAACUUAUUAAAGUCCUGAUCUGCUGAUCAAUACCGAGCUUUUACCAAUGGUCAUGGAGUCAUUUCUUUAUCCUUAUUUGGCACCCAAACGAGAGUAUCACUAUCUAUAAAGUGACAAACAGCAGGUCCUGGCUUAAUUUUGAGAACUUCAAACGCCAUAUGGUCUGGACUCCAAGCUGACGUGUUCAGGUGGCAAACCGUUACAGCCUUCACUCUUGUGCCAUCAGCACCCACUAAUGGAACCUCAUCAACCUCUGUGUCUGCGAUUACAUGGCAAUAGUGCACUGCAUAAGGAUAUCUCAUCUUGUGACACACUGCUGCUUUAUGAUCUCCAAUCAUUCUCACUUCGGCUGAAACCGUAUACUCUUGCUUCUUGCCUGCUCCAGUCGAGAGUACCCGAACAUUUUGGCCAAGCCUUUCAACACUAUAAUCAAUUAAUGACUCUAGAGAUGUAGCACAAUAUUUGUCUUCUCCUUCCAUGUUUGGCUCCUCGCAUCCUCCUAUUUCUUCUCUGAUGACCUGAGCCUCUUUUGAGUUGACUUCUAGUGUAAAGUACUUCAAAAUCUCUGGUAUUUUGUCACUGGAAAAUGGUAUAGACUCUGCGAUUUGACGAGGCAAGAAACUAACCUUGGUUCCACUAUCCGUAAAAAGAAUUUUCAAUUUUUUACCUGGAUGGAGAUCGUUGUACUGGUAGAAUAUCGUUGAGUCAGGGAGGGCAGACUUUAGGGAUUUUUUAUCGCCUCUUUUAUAGCCUCGUUUGUAAACUCUUCUAUAGAUUCUUUGGAUAACAGUAGCACUUACGUUUUCAUUAGCGAAUUCUCUGGUGAUUGAAGGAUAAUGACCAGGUUGUAGAAGAUAUUCCAGGGCUUUUGGCAAUGGAGUGUUGGGCAACCUUGAGUACCAAUACUUCUCAGUAGGUGGAGAAAUAUCGCUAGGGAGGAAGGUGGCAACUUUCUUUGGUAAAGGGACAUUGUCAGCAGCCACAGCCACUGUCGUGUGGGAUACACCGAUGGUAUUGGCAGCGGUGGAGAAGGUAAUGUAGAGGGAGAGAGUAAGAAAGAAGAGGAGGAGCAGUGCACAAGAAUUGGCUAUAGACAUUUUUUGAAGAUAAUGAAGAAGUGAGCAAGUGACAUUAUUUAUGGAGGUAAAUUUGUUUAUAUCCUGCAAGGCAACACGCGUGUGAAGUGAGAAGUUGACAAGUCAAAGGUAGAGACAAGCUCAAAGACACAAGGUCUGCUUGGUAGCCAAUAGGGUUUGAGAGAGAGAGAGAGAAAUGGGGUUGCUCAAGGAAUGAGGCAUAUCAUUUUGCAAUCGACUCCUUCCAUUUUUGACGCUCGCUGACAGAGCUGUCAGCGCUGCUUGCUCGAGGCAGUGAGGGCAGCUAUGUCCUUGCGCUCUCUCUCACGGGCGGUGCAAGUGUGUGGGGUUGAUAGUGACCACGCCUUCCCUCACUCCUGUCUUUGUCUGCCCGGCAUUCAAGACGCGAUAAUUGAUCAAAUAGUAUACUUUGUAUAUUAGCGAGGAAAAUUAGAAAUAUUGACAAAAAAUUGUAUAGUUUAAAAAUAAUUAGUCAUAUAGUAUACUUUGUAUACGUGAUAAUUCACAAUUAUAAUAUUUAAAAAUAUCACGUUUAGAUAUGGUGAUUUUAUCCAUUGAAUGUUAUAAUUUUAAAUUGUAUUUUAACCUGGUUUGUUUUUCUCUACCACCAUUGUAGCUUUUCUCUUUAUAAAAAACUUGCUGUUUAUAUUCUUUCUUUCUAAAAAACUUAUUGAUACUGCCGUCCUGGCUUUAUAGUGUGUUUGUUGUCCGCUAGUUUAACCUCGUUUGUUUUUCAUGUUAGUGGUGAAACAAAUACAAUAAUUUAUUUAGUAACAAGGAAAGUGUAUUUUAUGCUGUGAGAGUCAUUAAAAAAUUAAAUAUAAAAUAUAAGUUUUGUGUAGUAGUUUUUAUAUAUGUUUUAAUUGAGUUUUGUAAAUAUUUUUAUUUUAUUUAAAUAUUUUAUAUGUUUUUUUGUUACAUAUAAACUUCAACCAUAAUUUUUACUAAACACAUAUUUAAAUCCAACUAAUAAUAAUUAAAAAUAUUUUUUUAAAAUUUAUUUUUUUCAAAUCACAACCAUAAAAAUUACCUAAAAAACAAACACAACUUUAUACGCUCAAAAAUCCAUAAAGUAUAAACCCUACACCACUUUUCAAGUCACGAGCGUAGACUUCCACCACUCCCUAGUGGAAAAAUACUAUGUAAACAAACUACAUUUGUAUUAAUUAAGUGUUUUUCAUAGUUAAUUUAUGUCAAAAUCACUCUUCCCAUCUCACCAAGUUUAGUGUCAAAAUCACCAUCCAUAAAGUAUAAACCCUACACCACUUUUCAAGUCACGAGCGUAGACUUCCACCACUCCCUAGUGGAAAAAUACUAUGUAAACAAACUACAUUUGUAUUAAUUAAGUGUUUUUCAUAGUUAAUUUAUGUCAAAAUCACUCUUCCCAUCUCACCAAGUUUAGUGUCAAAAUCACCAUCCAUAAAGUAUAAACCCUACACCACUUUACAAGUCACGAGCAUAGACUUCCACCACUCCCUAGUGGAAAAAUAGUAUGUAACAAACUACAUUUGUAUUAGUUAAGUGUUUUUCAUAGUUAAUUUAUGUUUAAUUUGUGCUUGCUUGAAAUUAAGGUUUAAUUUACAAAUUAGGUUGGUUUAAAAUUACAGUUUGAUUGAAUUGUGUUAAUAUCUAUUAAUUUAUAAAAAUAGGGUUGAUUUUUAAUAAUGAGCAUGGAAAUAGCAUGAAUUAUGUUUCAUUUUAAUCAAUUAUGCUUGCGGUGAUUUGUCAACUAAGUUGUUGAAAUUAAGGUUUUUGAUUGGUUUAUGAUAAAUUACCAUGAAUUUAUAUAAUUAGAGUUGAUUUCAUGCAAAUAAACAUGAAAAUAACAUGAAUUAGAAUGAGUUUUGAUCAAUUAUGUUUUUCGUUGAUUUGUCAGAUAGGUUGGAUUUUAAUGAAUUUUGCGUGGCGUUGAAUGUUUGGAUAAAUUAUUGAAUUUAAGGAUUUUGUAUGAAUUAGUAGAAAUUAAUUAUGAAUUCAAGCAAUUAGUGUUUUUUAGUACAAACAAGAAGUUCUUAAAGAAGAUGACUUAGUCAUUUGGUUAUAUCUUCUUCUUUUUAUUAGGGUCUUAGAUGUAGUUGAGUUUGUGAUAACAAAUGAUUCUGAGUAGUCAUGUAUAGUUUUGCCAUAACUAAAUAAGGAUAUGCUCCAAACAUACCAAACAUAUUAUGCUCUAAAUAAGGAUAACUAAAUUAUGACCUAGAAGAUGCAUUUAUAAAUUAGUGGGACAUGUUUAGGACUAAGAAAAGGUCUAGUCGCACCAAACUAGAAUAAGGGAUCAAAGGGACUAUAAUUUUUUAUUCCAACAUUAGAUCAAGUUGAAAUUUUUACAGGAGUUUUUGGAGACUGUUUAUUUUCUAUAAUAGCCACUACAUCACUACAUGUACUGUUGGUUUUUAAAAAAUCUCGCUCAAAACCCAUGGAUUUGGUAAUUUUGUUAUUUUCCUUGUGUUUUUUUUUCAUGUUUUAUUUUAAAUUUUAUGCUUCUUUCAUUGGCUCUUUGACAUGCCUCACAUUAUCUAAUAUAGUCCUUUACUUUAAAUUUCAUUACCACCUAACAAAAAUCCCUCAUUGGUUGGCUUAGGGGUAUCUCUGAAUGACCUACUGUUGGAUUGUCAUAUAUAUGCUACAUGAUUGUUGACUUGAGGGGAAAUUUUUUAUAGAUAUAAAUUCCUUCCUUGUACAGCAGCACCCCACCAUUUAUUUGGUACCUCAGGUCACCUAUAGUGUCACCAUUCAUCUACUAAAAGAUUUGUUGUAUUUCCUUCACCUAGUACAGCUUUCUUUGAGGUUUUCUACUCACCAUUACUAUCCACCUUAAUCCGACUCUAAUAAUGAAUAUAGUAAUAUUUAAACUUGUAAUCAUUUAAUUAUUAAAUUUUAAUAUCAUAUUUCAAUUCAAAAAUUUAAUUUAUCAAUUGAAGUACGAAGAAUGGUUUUAUAUAUCACUCUCUUACGGUCCAAAUUCCUUCUUCUUUUUAUGUUUACAAAUUUUUGUUUUUUUAUUUUAUUUCUUGACCGAGGUUCCUUCCAUUGAUUAUGGGAUCUCACAUUUUCUAAAGCAUACCAAGUUGCCGUGGUGAUUCGUAAUUUUUGUAAGUGUCCUGUUUCUUUAUUAUUCUUAAGGGAUCAACACAAUAGGGCUGGGGAGUGCAUAUGCAUUACAAACACAAACAGGUAAGACAUGCAACAGGGGAGGGAACGGGAGUACAUACAUAUUACAAAUAGCUAUGACAACAAGGCAGCAAAUUUUAUUAAGGCCUUUUAUCAAGACCAAGCUUUGACAUAUUUUCAUGGAGUCAUCUCUUUAUCCCUUCGUUGGCACCCAAACGAGAGUAUCACUAUCGAGAAAGUGACAAACAGCUGGUCCUGGCUUAAUUUUGAGAACUUCAAACGCCAUAUGGUCUGGAGUCCAAGCUGAUUGAUGUGAUUUAUUAUAAGAGUUUUCAAAAUAUAUUUAUUAUUUUUAAAUUAUAUCGAGUAUUAGCUGAAACAAAUAAGUCGCAUUACUAUCAUUUAAUUGACAGGUUGAUUUGUUUUAUUUUGAUUUUGCCUGUUUUCACUACUACUAUAGACUUGAUAUUUUCGGCUAUGAAACAUGUUAAAACUGUACUUCUUAAUAAAAUGAAAGAGGAGUUUUUAGCAGAUUUUAUGAUGAUUUACAUUGAACGAAAACUUGUUGAAGAUAUUAAUUCGGAUUCAAUUAUAAAUGAAUUAUAUUCUAUAAAAUAUCAAAUGGUGCAACUUUAAUAGUGUAAUUUAUUUUUAUUUUGAAUUUUAUGUACUUAAAAUUUUAUUUUUUAUAUAUUUUAUGUUAUGUAUUUGAAUUAAAAUUUUAUUAUUAACUUAACAAAUUUAUAUAUCCAAGUUGACUAUUAAUUUUAAAAAGUAAUUUAUAUGCAUUUAUAUCAUACUCUAGAAUAAAAAAAAAAUUCUGACUCCGCCCCUGACUCCAAGCUGAUGUGUUGAGGUUGCAAACUGUCACGGCUUUCACUUUUGUGCCAUCAGCACCCACUAAGGGUACCUCAUAAAUUUCUGUGUCUGCGAUUACAUGGCAAUAGUGUGCUGCAUAGGGAUAUCUCAUCUUGUGACACACUGCUGCUUUGUGAUCUCCAAUCAUCGUCGCUUUGGCCGAAACAGUAUACUCUUGCUUCUUGCCUGCGUCAGUGGGAAGUACCCGAACAUUUUGGCCAAGCCUUUCAACACUAAAAUCAAUUAAUGACUCCAGAGAUGUAGCACAUAAUUUUUCUUCUCUUUCCAGUCAAAACGUACGCAGAGUUUUCAAAUGGAUUCAAUUGUUUAUUUUCACUUAGUAACUUCCUCUGUUACAAGCAGAAUAUAUAUAGCUACUCUACAUAAGAAUCCCUACGUUUCAGAUCCUAUAGUUUAGGACUGAUUUGCUAAUUACAUGGAAACCUAUUUCUACUAGGAUACAAUCACGUAUUUACCGGGAUGCUGGAAUAUAUCUUUCCAGCUAAUAUCAGAGACAAUGUAGGACUUGAAUGCUGCAAAUCCAACUUGGAGAUAAUUACCGCAAUUGUUAACACUCCCCCUCAAGUUGGUGCGUAGAUGUCACUCAUUCCAAUUUCGCUGAGAAUUGUACUAAACGCGUGGUUUGACAAUGCCUUGGUUAGUAUAUCAGCGAGCUGGUCUUGAGAUCGAACAUGAGGAACUUCAAUUAGCUUUUCUUCUAGCUUUUCCUUGAUAAAAUGCCUAUCAACUUCAACAUGUUUAGUACGAUCAUGUUGAACAGGAUUAUGAACAAUAUCACAUGCUGCCUUGUUGUCACAAUACAACUUCAUAGGAUUGACUGGCUUAAUAUGUAAAUCUAUCAUCAGAUUUCUAAUCCACAACAAUUCGCAUAUAGCUUUAGUCAUCCCUCUAUAUUCAGCCUCAGCACUUGAUCUAGCAACUACCUCCUGUUUUUUUACUUCGCCAUGUAACCAAGUUUCCUCCUACAAACGUGAAAUAACCAGAAGUAGAACGUCGAUCUUGAAUAGAACCAGCCCAAUCAGCAUCUGUAUAACCAUUAACAUCCAAAUUGUGUCUUUUUGUGAACAAAAUUCCUUUUCCUGGAGACGACUUCAAGUAGCGUAAGAUACGGGUGACAGCAUUCAUAUGUUCUUCGCUUGGAGAGUGCAUAAAUUGACUGACCACACUCAAUGAAUAAGCUAAAUCAGGUCGAGUAUGUGCAAGAUACAUUAACCUUCCAACCAACCUCUAAUAGCGUUCUUUGUUAGUCGGAACUUGAUUGGAAUCACCAUGUAGUUUCAAGUUCUCUUCCAUAGGAGUGCUAGCUGGACUGCAUGUUGUCAUACCUGUUUCACUUAGUAAGUCUAAGGCAUAUUUUCUUUGUGAAAGAAAAAUACCUUUAUCUGACCGUGACACUUCAAUGCCCAAGAAAUACUUCAACUCUCCAAGGUCUUUCAUCUCAAACUCACGGGCAAGGUGCUCGUGUAAUCUUUUCCUCUCUCCUGAAUCAUCUCCGGUUACUAUUAUAUCAUCAACAUACACAAUGAGAAUUGUAAUGUGUUUUUCAUUAUGCUUCAAGAAUAAAGUGUGAUCCGAGUUACUCUGUGUGUAACCAACUGUCUUCAUAAAAUUUGUGAACCUUCCGAACCACGCUCUGGGAGACUGCUUUAAACCAUAUAGGGAUUUUCUCAACCUGCAGACCUGUUUAUUACCUUCCGUUUGCUGUUUACAGCUAGGAGGUAAUUCCAUAUAUACUUCUUCUUGGAGAGUUCCAUGUAGAAAUGCAUUCUUUACGUCAAAUUGAUGUAGCGGCCAGUCAAGAUUAACUGCUAGAGAUAGUAUAAUACGAACAGUAUUAAGUUUGGCCACCGGUGAAAAAGUCUCCAUAUAAUCAAUUCCAUAUGUUUGAGUAUAUCCCUUGGCUACCAGCCUUGCUUUGCACCGUUCAAUAGUUCCAUCAGCUUUGUAUUUAAUGGUGAAGACCCACCUACACCCAACAGGUUUCUUUCCUUUCGGCAAGUCAACAAUGUCCCAUGUUGAGUUUUUUUUGAAGGGCUUUCAUUUCUUCAUUCAUUGCCUCCCUCCAUCUAGGAUCAGCCAAGGCUUCCUGCACAUUGUUAGGAAUAGAUACAACGGAUAAUUGAUGUACAAAUGCCAUUUUUUCGUUUGACAAUCUAUGAUAGGAUACAUAGUUAUUCAUAGGGUAUUUGAGUUUUGAGUGAAGGGUUGGUUCAUAGUUCACCUUGGGUUUACCUCUUGUGACUCGAUUAGGUAGUUCUUUUAGGGACUCAACUGGAUGAAUAUCAUGAGACUCAAGUCUGGAAUCAACCGGGGAAGACAAUUGGUUAACUGGUACACUGUGGGAAGCUGUCGGCCCCUCCAAGGUAUCCUGGUUACCAUCAACGAUUUCUGGACCAUUUUCACUGGUAUACUCUUCCCUGUCCUGGUGUUCCUCUGUGUUCUCAUUAACUGGACAUUCUUCAUUAGUCUCCAAGCUAUCCAAAGUAUCAAUCAGUUGGUUACCAUGUGCAAUGAUAUCCACAUUGUCUGUAGGCUUAGUUGCUAUCUGCACUUCAUCGUUCUCCUUAGUUUGAGAAGAAUAAUACAUAGUAGUUUCAUGGAAGACCACAUCCAGAGUAACAUAAAGUUGGCGAGAAGGAGGGUGAUAACAUCGAUAGCCUUUUUGGUGCAGAGCAUAGCCAACAAACACACAUCGAAGUCCCCGAGGUUCCAACUUAGUUCUCAAACCUUUAUGAAGAUGUACAUAAGCUACACAUCCAAAAACUUUAGGAGGUAAGUUUGGCAUUGUAGGAGCACUUACAAGGCGAUGGAGAACCUCGAAGGGGGUUUGGAAUUGCAGAGAACUAGAAGGUACCCUGUUGAUAAUGUAUGCUCCGGCAGUAACAGCUUCUCCCCAGUAACUAGUAGGCAUGUGAGCUUCAAAUAAGGAGGCACGAACUACCUCAAGGAUAUGACGAUUUUUCCGUUCAGCCACCCCAUUCUGUUGAGGGGUGUAAGGGCAAGUUGUUUGAUGAAUAAUGCCAUGUGUGUUCAAGUAAUCUUUCAAGCUGUGAUUGAUAAACUCUCCCCCAUUAUCAGUCCUGAUCACCUGAAUAUUGGUCUGAUACUGUGUUGCUAUCAUUUUGUGGAAUUGCUGGAAUAAAGAACUCACUUCACUCUUUGAUUUCAUUAAGCAAAUCCAAGUCAUGCGGGUGUGAUCAUCAAUGAAUGAAACAAACCAACGUGAUUCAUUUAGAGAAGGAGUGUUUGUUGGUCCCCAUACAUCUGAGUGAACAACCAUAAAAGGUGCAGGGCUUUUAUUCAUACUAAUAGGAAAUGAAACACGAUGACUUUUAGCACGUUCACAUACAUCACACUUAAAAUCUGAAACAAUCAAUUGUGAAAAUAAUUGUGGGAAUAAUUUCUGUAAAUAUCCAAAGGAUGCAUGGCCUAAACGCCUAUGCCAUAACCAAAUUUCAGACUUCUGGUGUUCAUUAGUUGUAUUAGUUGAGAAGACUUGUGCCAACUGAUUUGAGCUUGCCGGAAUCAGAUCCAUGUAGUAGAGCUUCCCUCUCCUAGUACCAUAACCAAUUGUCUUCCGAGUUUGAAUGUCCUUGAAUAUGCAAAGGUUCGGCCAAAAAAUUACAACACACAUCAAGGCACAAGUUAUUUGAGCAACAGAUAAUAAAUUAUGAUUGAGACUCGGAACAAUAAGAACUGACUCUAAAAUCAGAUUUUUUGUAAGAGUAACCGUGCCUUCUCCUGACACAGAAGAAGGAGUUCCAUUGGCUGUGAAAAUUUCAUGGUGGUUUGAGGGUUGUAUGGUCUGAAUAUUAUUGUUAAACGUCAUAUGAUUUGUGGCACCUGAAUCAAUUAUCCAUUCACUAUUUCUAACAGAAGUGGAGGUAUGAAGAGCCUUACCUGCAUUUACAGCAUCAGCACCUGUGUUCUCAGCAGUGUCGCGUGCAUUCCCAGUAAUAGCACCAGAAGAGGAGUCUUUCCCAGAUUUCUUGCCAAACAUAUGAUUUGGUUCUGCCACAGCAACAGACACAUGAGGAUUUGCCUUUAAGUUUCUCUUACGAGGUGCUUUGGAAAAAUCCCACCAUUCUGGAUAUCCAAUUAAUUCAUAGCAGCGUAGCUUAGUGUGCCCAGUUUCACCACAGUGAGUGCACAUGCGUUCUGGUCGUGCAGCUCCUAUUUCAUAGCUGCAAUUUUGCGAUCCAAUUGAAUGAUUAUGAUUCAGUGAACCAGAAGCUCGAUCUGGUUUCAGGUUCUGUGGUCGUUGAUACUUACUUCGGCGAGCUAUCAUAGCAGAUGGCUCUGAGUGUCCAGGUUCCCCAUUCAGUGUGUUUCGACGGAUAGAGUCACGACGAACAUAAGCAUAUGUUUCUUUAAGGUCUAGUGCAGAAUCUCUCCUUAGGAUCUCACCACGAAUUUGCUCAAAUUCUUCAUCAAGGCCAUUCAGAAAAAUAUGCACCCGCAGUCUCUCAACUGAUUUUUUGUAGGCAAUGACAUCAUCGGGAUCUUUCAUAACAAUCUUGUCACGAUGAUCUAGUUCUUGAAAUAUUUCUACCAAAUCACCAUAAUAGGUAGAGAUAGGACGACCAACCUGUUUGGUGGAGAACGCACGUUGGUUCAAGGUAAAUAGCUGUGAUUCAUCUGCCCCAUCAUAGAAUGCUUUGGCUAGAGCAUUCCAGAUUUCAUGUGCAGUAGGCAGUCUAAGAUAGCGUUUCAUAAUUUCUGGUGACAUGGAGGUCAACAACCAUCCUUUAAUCUUUUGAUUCUCAGCAUACCAUUUAGCAUAGGAUGGAUCAGUUUUUUCUGGGAUUGUGUUGCUUACAAGAUAUUCAAGUUUCUCUCGUCCUGCAAUUUGCAUCUCCAUGAUUUGAGACCAGACAUCAUAGUUGCUUUCAGUAAGGGUGACAUUGGUUGAGAAACUGGAAUUCUCUGAUUGAACCUGGAUAACUGGAACAGAUGAUGAUUCGGUUUUGUCACUGGCCAUGGUACGAGAAGGAGGAUUCGUAAGAUUUAUAAGGUUUGUGUGGUGAUAUAAAGAGCAGAUAAUAAACCUGCUCUGAUACCAAGUCAAAACGUAUGCAGAGUUUUCAAAGGGAUUCAAUUGUUUAUUUUCACUUAGUAACUUCCUCUGUUACAAGCAGAAUAUAUAUAGCUACUCUACAUAAGAAUCCCUACGUUUCAGAUCCUAUAGUUUAGGACUGAUUUGCUAAUUACAUGGAAACCUAUUUCUACUAGGAUACAAUCACGUAUUUACCGGGAUGCUGGAAUAUAUCUUUCCAGCUAAUAUCAGAGACAAUGUAGGACUUGAAUGCUGCAAAUCCAACUUGGAGAUAAUUACCGCAAUUGUUAACACUUCCAUGUUUGGCUCGUCACAUCCUCCUAUUUCAUAUCUGAUGACCUGAGCCUCUUUUGAGUUGACUUGUAGUGCAAAGUAGUUCAAAAUCUCUGGUAUAUAUUUUGUCACUCGAAAAUGGUAUAGACUCCGCCACCAGACGAGGCAGGAAACUAACCUUGGUCCCACUACUAGUAAAAUGAAUUCUCAUCCUUUUACCUGGAUGGAGAUCGUUGUACAGGUAGAAUAUCGUUGAGUCGGGGAGGGCAGACUUUAUGGCUGUUUUAUGCUUGAUAUAUCCUUGUUUAUAGGUUCUUUGAGUAGCUCCAGCACUUAAUUUUUCAUUAGCGAAUUCUGUGGAGAUUGAAGGAUAAUGACCAGGUUGUAGAAGAUAUCCUAGGGCUCUUGGCAAUGGAGUGUUGGGCAACCUUGAGUACCAAUACUUCUCAGUAGGUGGAGAAAUAUCGCCAAGGAGGAAGGUGGCCACUUUCUUUGGUGAAGGGACAGUGUCAGCAGCCACUGUCCUGCCGCUUAAACCGAUGGUAUUGACAGCGAUUGAAAAGGUAAUGUGAACGGAGAGAGUAAGAAAGAGUAGGAGCAGGGCAGAAGAACUUGCUGGAGACAUUUUUUGAAAUAAGUGGGUUGAAGAUAGAGAGCUAAGUGACAUUAUCUAUAUAGGGGUGAGGAGGCUCCGAUCAAGAAGAACUAACAGCCAUGUUGCAUUGACACUUAAUUACAUUAUCGUAGGAAAAAAUUGAUUAUUCUGAAACGUGUUGUAGCAAGAGUAAGAUAUGCUAACACAUAUGUGAAUACAUGCAUCUCGUAAAAGACGUCAUCUAAGUGUAUUUUCUGUGCGGUGUGCAUUAUACAUUAGAUGCUUUGAUGGCUUGCCUGCACGUAGAGUUAUGGCGUUUGAAGUUCUCAAAAUUAAGCUAGGACCGGCUGCUGGAGAUUCCCAAUGCUGUUAAUAUACUUUACAGACAUCAAAGCGAUACAUCUCCAGAAGCAUUUACAUGAAGAUAGAAUGUUAGUGAUCUUUCGUUCCAUUUGAAGAAACCCAGUUAUCCUUAGAGGAGUGGGAAUUAGAUCUUUAGAUACUGUACAGGUUUUACAAGCUAAAACAAGAGCUCCGGCUGAUUCCAAAACAUCCAAAGCAAUAGGACCGGCAUCUGACCUUUUGGCCACCUAAUGAACCAACUUACACGAACCAUACCUUAUAUAUAAGAUGCUAAUUGUAGAGAUCACGCUUUACUGUUCUUGGGAUAUCGAAGUUCGACACCUUGGAGUGGAUCCUUUUAACGCCUGCCUAGCUAUACAAGUUUAUUUUGUUUAGGAUCUGGGAUUGUAAUGGGUCUACGACUAAUGCUCUCCUUUACGGUUAAGUUAAUUUACUUGCAGCUCUUUAUGGCUGUCAUUCUGUGGCGGCCAAACUUGUAUAAUUAGUUACUGCAAUUUGCUAAAAAAUCAGUUGAUGUCAUCAUUGUGGGAUGUUUCGGCGAGUUUCCGGCUGCUGCAUGACCACAUCUGUGCCUAUCAGCUUUACUGGCAGUUUGUUUGAUGUGUGUGAUUCCAUGCAUUAGGAUCAGAUUGCAUAUAAUGCGACAUCUUCAAGUUGACAUAAUAUGACAUCUUCAAGGUGGCCCUAGUUCCAGUUCAUCAGUACUGUAUUUGUCCGGAUGAGACACCCUGCGUGCCUUCUUUCUUGUGAAAUUAUAUUGUGUGGCUAAAAAUCCAUUCGGAUCACAGUGCAGGCAUGUGCUCUAGUUUUUAAGUUUUGGAAUCAAGUGAAAUUUAGAAAAAUAGACUGAUUUGGUUUAUGCAUAUAAUAAACUUACUGUAUUUGUUUUACAGAAUAAGCUUAUUUACAAAUGAUGUUGAGGUGGAUGUGAAUCUAAACUUUACUCUUUCAUAUUGUUUCGACAAUUAUUUAAGAUUUAAUUAAGUAGCCAUAAAAUAUACUUCAAUCAUAAAUUAUGGUAAAAAAAAGAAAAAAAACUCAUCAACAUCCAAAAAAAAAAAAACGCAAAUCAAAUGGGCUCUUCUGGGAUUUUCCAUUUUGAGAUAUGGCUAGCAAACCAACAAAGAAAAGAUAAGAUGGGAUCCAUGGUCAAAUUUACUUCUUUCUUUUUUAUUAUUAUUAUUAUUAUUAUCUUUUUAAUAAUGUUUUAUUUUAUUAUUCAUUUUAAUUUUUAAAUUUUUAAUCAACAUCCUAGGGCCUAAAUGUAACAACUGUAAUUUUUAAAUUUUAUUAGAUGAUGUGAAUCUUUCUUUAUAGAUUUGCUAUAUAAAUAGCAAAAUUAUAUAGAAAAUAACUAGGAUGACUAAAUGAAAGAGAGAGAUAGUACCUUGAUAGCAUAAACUUGAAUGACUAUAUCCUUGAAUUUUACUGUUGGAUUGGGCUGGGUUUUAGAUAUAUUAUGCUUCUUAUUACUUUUUGACAUUUAAUUGUUAGAUCUAAAGGCUUUGGUUUUGUGUUAUAAAUUUAAAAAAUUAUCAUCUUGAAUUAUUUUGAGUUAAAUUACAAUUCUUUUUCAGUUCACACCUUUUAUUUUUUUUAUUUUUUAAAUUUAUUUCUCAUUCUUUUGAUUAUUAUUUGUUAUGUUUGGGAGUAUUUUUUAGAUUUUUUUUCACAAUUUCAUCUUUAUUGAGUUUUUUUCCUAUCAAAUUUGAUCCAUAUUAUUUUGAUUGUUACUUUUUUAAUUUGAAGAGUUUUUUUAAUUUAUUUUUUUAUUAUUUCAUGAUUCAACAUUAAAUUGGUUGAAAAUUAAAUUUUUUGAUUGAACUCAGAUCUAGGAUUUAAAGGGUUAUAAAUUUGAGACCUUAGCUCAGAUUUAGAAUGUUCGUCUGUUUUUGCUUGGUUUAUUUUUUUCCUUUUCUCAUUAUUUUUUUAUAGAUAUAAUUUUAUCAUUUAAACAUUAUAUCAUUAGAAAUUAGGCACAAUUUUUCUUUAUUUAUCUUCCAUAUGAUUUUUCAUGAAUUUUUAAAACUACUCGGGUUUUCUUAUAUCUUUUUAUUUGCUGUUUUUUGCAGGUUCUCAAUUCUUUUUUUCUUGGUUAAUUAUAUGCUUCAAAUCUUAUUUUUAAAAAACUUUUUUAAAACACGAUUGCAUUACUAAUAAAAAAAACAUUUGGGCUCAUGGUGUAACCCUACUCACAAUUCUAGUAAUAUCUAUAAAUAUUAUUACUCUUAAAAAAAAAUUUGCGUGUUUAUUUUUAAAUUCAAUUGUACAUGUGGGUUAAAGAUGGAGGGGAUUUAUUGGACACUGUUAGACAAAAUAAUGCAGGAUGGAUUUUGACAUGUUCAAGUUUGAUAAGACAUCUACAUGCAUCAAACUAGAUAUAUUUAUGACAAAAACGAGCAUAAUUUUUUUUCCCCAUCGUUGCAUCGCGAUGAAAUUUGUUAUGUGAAGUUUUUCCGAAGAAUUUAACACUCCAAAAUGUAUAUGAUUAGAAAAAACAAAGCAAUAGAAAAGCGUCGAAUAUCAAAGUAGAAUAGUGUAGACAGAAAUAAAGCAAAAAAAAAAAAAUGAUGAAGAGAAAACAAGUUCCAAAAGAGAAGAUAGAAAUUAAAAGGCAACAGUAUGUGGGGGAAAAUGUAGCUGAAAUAGAAAAAAUGAGUAAACUGAAAUAGAAAAAAUUGAUUUAUGCUAACUAUGUAGCAGAGAAAGCAAGACAGGGAGAAAAAAUUGAUUAGUUAUUGAAGAACAUGUACAGUAAUUUCAUAGGAUGCGAUUACAGAAUACACCGUUAAUUUAUAGAAAACAACUGAAAUAGCAUAAUCAAACAACUUGAAUGAUUGAACACACUGUUUGCGUGAUAGUGAGUAUGAGAAGAACAGUAGCUGCUACAAGAGAGAUUAUUGUCCAUGGAUUGUCAAAAUACUUCUGUUUCAAGGUUGCCUUCCAUUUGUGUCUCCGUUUUCCGCAGUACUUGUUCAGAUCUUCAACUAAACCAGAAUAGUAGAAAGUGUCAAUGGCGAGAGUAUUUUCCUUGGAAAGAUUGCGGAAAAGGCUUGCAACUGCUUCAUUAUCAGGGAGACAAUUUUCUAGGAUUCCAUUCUUAACGAGUAUUUCCACAUCCUUAGCUGAGGGGACAAGGAAAGAGAGCAUUGUAAUGUAGUCACAUACAUAUAUAUUUACACCGCAAUGGCAUUGCUCAAAGGCUUGGAGAUUUCUUAAUAGGAUUUCUGUAUGAUCGUCUAUAAUUUUAUGUGGAAUCUCCAACGUCCCUUUAUUGUCAUCAAAUUUUAUGUCGAGUAGGUUUAUGCUGGACCCUAACUUGAACUUCAUUCCAGCUUGAUGGAGCUCUGCUACACUCGGAGCUGUUAAAUUUGUAAGUUUAGUUGGCUGCAUAUGCUGUGAUGGCCGCUGACAGAUUGCUAGAUAGCCAACAAAAUGCUCUGCUUUAGACAACUUGAAGUGCUUCGAAAUGUCCUCUGGCACCCAUGAAUACCAUUUAUCUGACAAGAGAUCAUGAGUAAGUUCAAUCAUGGAAUGCUCCUCACAAUGGUGCUGUAUUUUGGAUAGAUUGAACAAGUCCUCAACAAUGAAGAAUGGAAGCUGAUUUUCAAGCAAGCACAAAUCAAACUGUAUUUCUUCUCUCAUCCAUAGUUUAUUGAAUAUGCGGUCAAUAUUUGCUUCUUGGAUAUCAAAGGAAAAUGCUUUCAGCAAGAACAUGAUGAGAAAGGAGCAAUCCAGCAACACCAUUUCCACAAAUUCCUCUUUACUUAGAUUAUCAGUGGUUUCUGCAUAACAAUUACGCAAUCUACUCUCUCUCUCUGCAAUAGCUGUAAUAAAAUCCUUCACACUUACCUUGCACAAUCCAAGAAACUCCCUCAGGUACAGUCUCUUUUGCUCUUCCAUUUCUUGUAGCUCUUUUUUUCCGUGGUGAUAUGGGCCAAUGGAAAUUACUUGAGGUGUGUAAGCCUUUUCAUUUAACUCACGUAGUCGUUUUGGAACUCUGUAGAUGAAACACAGAUCUGAAAAGGAACGCAAGCUUUUCAACUUUCGUUCCACGGACUCUGCUAAUUUGGCAAUGUCAAGAGAAACAUGAUCGGGACUAACCUUUGGCACUCUUGGUGUUCCAGAAACGUUCAUCCUGUGCCUACACAAUUAUCAAAUCGUUAGAUAAAUGCUAAGAAAAGAAAAAUCAAGAAAAAAAGUUAAAGGAGAUGAAAAUAUCAUAAUCAAGCACAGGAUUCCCAGUUAACCAUAAGAAUAUUUGUAAGGAAUCAAACAUGAUUAUUAAAUUUUUCUAAUUCCGGCUUCACAUAAAAGCAUGUCGUUGACUACUUGAAAGCGGGAUAAAUUAAAAAUCCAUAGCUUCUCUAAAUUAAAACUUACAAGCUCUCUUCUGAACAAAAACAAGAUAAUUCUGAAAUUUUUCUGAAGGCUUUCCUUGAAAAAUGCUUUCAACUAUUUUGGCACAGGAGAUAGCAAUUAAAAAGGCAACACUAAGCGGGGGGAAAUGGAGCGCCUUUGGUGACCCGUAAUUUGUUCGGCAGUGGUCAAUUAAAACGGCAAAACUAUGUGAGGGGAAUGGAGCGCCUUUCAUGACCAAUAAUUUGUUCGGCACUGGUCAAUUCUACUUCGAUUGGUGGUUUUAGAGUAUUUCAGGAUCCGGGCAAAAAUAAUAUUUAAUUAAAAAAAUUUAAAACAAUAUUUUAAAAAAAAAAUAUUAAAAUAUGGAACCAUCCUGCACACCCUUGUCGCCCGUGACAGCCAUCCUGCACGCCCUUGUCAUGAAAGAGUUUUGGAUUUUCGGUGAUUCUUCCAUGAACUUUCAUGUGUUCGUAUCAAUGCAUCUAGAAAGUACCUGCAGUCAAGUUUUUCUCAAAACAGCUGAAAAAAUAAUUUCCAAACUAAAUAGUAGCUAAUACCCACAUUUAGUAUUUGCGGAAUAAGGUGUGCUGCGCAUGUCACUAACAAAUUUCAUUUUAAGUUUUUACUCUCUUAAAUAAAUUACUUAUUCAGGAAUCAACAUGUUUUUUUUUUUUAAUAAAGAUUCAAUGGCAUGAAAUAAAUAAAAUAAUAUAAUAGCUAGAAAGAAAAAAUAACAUGGCAAAAAAAAAGAUAGGAAAAAGAAAAAAAAGAAAAAAAAUAAGGCAUCAAAGACACACCAAAACUCUGACGAUGAAACACCAAGUACCACAAAAAAGAUAUAUUUGCAUGGUGUUGAAUCCAUAGACACCAUGAAAAGCCAACUUCAAAGUCAAUAGUGAGUAGUCUCAAGGUAGGGACAUGCUUCCUUGCUAGACUCUCUUCACUACCUCCAAUGUUGAAUUUGAAUAGUACAUACUAGUUAUAUAAUCCGCGUGAUGCCGCCGGUCAAUUUUUUUGUAUAAAAAAUAUUAAAAAAAGCCAAGAUUUAAAAGUAUUAGGUUUUUUUACAAAACUAUAUCAAAGAAUCUUAGGUUUGACUGUAACGCCUGAUCCAAGAGUAAUAUUUAUAAUAAUAUUAAACUUGAAAGACCCAAGUUUAAAUGGGUCUGACUGCAAUACCAAACCCAAUGGUCUUGGAUAUGGGUUUAGCUGCAAGGUUGUGUCAUAAAAGUGUGAUACUUAAAUAGAUUAAUUAAAAAGAAAAAAAAAACAAAAAAAAAACCAACAUGAAGAAAAAAACUAGUGAAAAAAAAGAAAAAAAAAUCUAAAUUAACUGAGUUAACAUGUCAAACCUGAGAUCCGUGUCAUGAAAGUCUAAUAACUAAAUAGAAAAAAAAUUUAAUAUCAACAAACUAAAUAAAAAAAUUUAAUUAAAAAGAAAAAAAAGAAGGCAUCAACCUUUUCACUGUGGACUGUAUUGUGCAGUUCACAGUAAAAGGCAUAAAAACAAAAGCAAAAAAAAAAAACUCAAGGCAUCAGCCUUUUCACCGUGGACUGCAUACAAUAUUAAAAGAUGAAAUCGGAAGAACAAAACUAAUGAGGAAAAAGAAAAACAAUCUGAAUCAACUGGAUUAACCCGUCAAACCUGAGAUCUGUGUCAUAAAAGUCUAAUAAUUAAACAAAAAAAUUUAAUAUUAAGAAACUAAAUUAAAAGAAUAAUUACAAAAAAAAUAACUAAAGGCAUCAGCUUUUUCACUGUGAACUGCACUGUGCAGUCUACAGUAAAAGGCUUAAAAAGGAAAAAGAAAAAAAAACAAAACAAAACAAAGGCAUACGCCACGGGUUAUUUAUUUUCUUACAUAAAAAGAUCUAAGAGUGUUAUGUCUUUCUGCAAAGAUAUACCCAAGAGUCUUUGGUCUAGCUGCAACGCUUGACCCAAAAGUAAUAUUUAUAAUAAUAUUAAACUUACAUGACUCAAGUUUAAGUGAGUUUGAUAGCAACAUUGGACCCAAGAGCCUUGAAUGUGGGUCUAGCUGCAAGAUUGUGUCAUAAAAGUGUGAUAAUUAAAAAGAUUAAUUAAAAAGAAAAAAGCAAAGAAAAAAACCAACAGGAAGAAAAAAACUAAUGAAGAAAAAGAAAAAAAAAAUCUGAAUUAACUUGGUUAACCCUUUAAACCAAGUUAACCCGUCAAACCUUAGAUUCACGUCAUGAAAGUUUGAUAACUAAAUAGAAAAAAAAUUUGACAGCUGGGUUAACCUAUCAAGCUUGGGAUACGUGUCAUGAAAGUUUGAUAAUUAAAUAGAAAGAAAUUUAACAUUAACAAACUAAACUAAAUGAAAAAAAUUAAUUAAAAAUAAAAAAAUAAAAUUCCGGGUUAACUCGUCAAACCAGGUUAACCCGUCAAACUCGGGAUCCGUGUCAUGAAAGUCUGAUAACUAAAAAAAAAAAUUACCAUUAACAAACUAAAUUAAACAAAAAAAAAUUAUAAAAGGAAUGAAAACAAAGAAAAAAGCAAAAAAAAAACACUCAUAAAGGCAUAAAAAACAAAAAAAAAACAGAAAAACAGAAAAAUUGAAAAAACAAAUAUUAUAAUAUAAUAUAAUAAUUAUAAUAAUAAUAAUAAUUAUUAUUAUUAUUAUUAUAUAUAAGUAUAAUUAAAAGGCGUGGGGAAGCUACAGUGCUUUCCCCACGCCUUUUAGUAUAUUGUUAAUAGAUUCAUUUCAUAAAAUCUUUCUAGUGAUACUAUAAGUUUCAUCAUUGAAACUUCAAUGUUUCUUCGAUAUCUAAUUUUUUUCUUACAUUCUCUUCUUUCUCAUAUUUUUUUUUUGCCAUGCCAUCUUUUUAUUUUCUAGCCAUUACAUUAUUUUGAUUUAUUUCAUUCCAUAGGAUCUUUAUAAAAAAAACAUGUUGACUCUUGUAUGAAUGAAUUAUUUGAGAGAGCAAACACUUGAAAUGAAAAUUGUUAGCUAUGUGCAACACACCUAGUUGUGCAUAUACUACAUGUGUACUACUAAAAAAUUAGCAAAUACAAACAGAAACACUAAUGGAAAAAUUAUGUUACUAUAUUAUGGUGAAUUUUACUGACAAAAUAGUCCCUCGCUGUAUCUAUCGAUGAACAAUAAAAGAAAUAUUAUCUUAGUAUAUACCAAGGGAAUUACAGUAAGAAAAGAAAGAAUAAAAAAAAGUAGAAAUGUGCAAUGACAUGUCAUUUUUACAUACAAAAUUAUUAAAGAAAUUAACCCAUCAAUAAAUAUAUUUGUAAUAUUAAAUUUAUGACCUAAUAAGCAACCCUCCUCUCCUAUUCAUCCAUUUCUCCUUCUUCUUCCCAUAUCUGUAAUAAACAAACAACAUAUCUCCUAUUUUAUCAUAAAUCAACCUUCCACCACAAAUCCGACCACCUCAACACUCAGUUUAUCAACAUCCCUAUUCUGAUUCAAAUUUUAUUAAGGAUGAUUCCCACAUCAAGUAAGCAAAAAUUCUCAAAUUUUUGUUUGAAUGAUGCAUCUUUUUUUAUAUUUUGUAAUUAAAUAAAACAUGACUUAUUUAACGGUUUUUUUUCAUAUUUUGUUAAUUUUAUUAUUGAGUCGAAACCACACUUGGGAUCUUAUUGAACAACUUUAUGAUGUUAAUAUAAUAGGUUGUAAGUGGGUGUACAAGCUAAAACACAAGUCAUAUGGGAGCAUAGAAAGGUAUAAAGCCAGGCUUGUAGCUAAAAGGUAUAACCAAACUCAUGGUCUCGAUUAUUUUAAGAACCUUUAGUUCAAUUAUUAAGGUUGUAACUAUUCAAAUCAUAUUGUUGUUGCUCUCAGUUUUAAGUGUGAAAUUCGACAGCUUAAUGUUCAUAAUGCUUUCCUAAAUGGUGAGUUAGAAAAGCAGGUAUACAUGUCUCAACCUUCUGGAUAUGUGAACAGUAAAUUCCCAACCAAAGUGUGUAGAUUGAAAAAGGUUUUAUAUGGUGUGAAAUAAACAUCAGGAGCUUGGUUUCAAAGACUCGGUUCUGCUAUUCUAUAGUGGGGAUUCAGCAAUUCUAGGACUAAUAGUUUUAUGUUUCUACACUUUGGUGAAUCCACAACUUUGAUAGUCCUUGUAUAUGUUGAUGAUAUAAUCAACACAGAUUUCUUCACUCAUUGUUAAGCUUGACUUUGUUUUUGCCUUAAGAGACUUGGGGUAGUUAUCCUACUUUCUAGGUAUAGAGGUCUCUUACAAUGAAGGCUCUAUGAAUUUGAGCCAAACCAAAUAUGUUUCAAAUCUGCUGCAUAGAACUGAAAUGUUUGAUACCAAACCAGUAAAAACACCUGAUGUUGUUGGGCAGAAUUUGUCAAAGUUUGAUGGUAAUUCUAUAGAAAAGGUUACUCAAUAUUGAAGUGUAGUAGGGACACUUCAGUAUCUUACAAUAAUAAGGCCUCACAUAGCUUUUGUUGUUAGUAAGGCAUGCCAAUUCAUGCAACAGCCAACCUUAGCUCACUGGCUUUUAGUCAAAAGGAUCUUGUGGUAUCUAAGAGGAACAAUGCAAGUGGGUUAUUGUUAAGUCCCUCAAGCCACUUGACAAUAAAAGGAUUCAUAGAUGUAGACUAGGGUGCUCAACCUGAUGAUAGGUGAAAUUUAAGUGAGUAUCUGGUUUAUCUAGGGGGUAACUUAGUCUCUUGAUCCUCUACCAAAUAAAAAGUUGUGUCUCGCAGUAGUCUAGAAUCUAAGUAUCGAAGCCUUGCCUUAGCUACUGCUGAAAUUGUUUGGAUGUGAAAGUAUUUAAAAGAGAAAUGUUUAUGAGAAGAAAUAAAGAUAGGAAGAAGAGAAGAGGCAGCAAAGAUUGUAAUGUUUUGAAUAUUAAUGAGUUGGAAAAUACAAUAAAGCCCUUGAAGGCUUAAAAGUUGGAAUAAAUGAAUGAGGGGUAUAGUAGUAAUUGUAUAAAGAGAUGAUAAGUAUAAAUAGAAAGAAAAAAAAAAGAAGAGAUCUGAAUAUUUGAGAGAGCAAACCGUGAGAGAGAAAGGAGAAAGAAAAAGAAGAGAAAAUAGGGGAAAAUAAGGGAAAAAGAAAAGAAGUUGGAGGAAAUAAGUAAAAAGGGGUAAGAUUAUGCUUUAAUGUGUAUAAUAUGUUUUCUUUAGCUUUAAUUUCGGUUUUGAUAAAUGUUAGGGUUAUGAAAUUUGUGUUUUGAGUUUAAUUGAUGAAUUAAAUUGAAUGUUAGGGGCUGAUUGUUGUGGUUAAUUGAUGAUUUAGUUGAUUAUGGAAGAUUGUGAUGAUUUUGAGUUAUAGUUUUGUUUGAAUGGUGAUUUUUAAGUUAAAAAUCAGGGGAGAACAGUAGGUUUCUGUUAAAAUUCUGGGUUGGAGGUUGAAGAUGACAAAAUUUUGGUUUGGUCCCUCAAUUUUGGAAAAUUACAGUUUAGUCCCCAAACUUUGGAAAAUUUGCAGAAUGGUCCCUGAAGCAUAUUCCGAGAUUCUGAAUAGAAUAACAUAUGAAUUAUGGACAGAAUUACUGUAUAGAUAAGAGAAUUUAACACUUUCAAUUUAGUCCUCCAAUUUGACAAAAAUUACAAUUUGACCCUAAAAAUUUGGUAAAAUUCCAGAAUGGUCCUUGGAGUAUAAUGAGAUGAUCUAGACAGAAAUGAGGACUAAUUAUGGUCAGAAUUUCUGUAUAUUCAUGGAUUUAUGAUAAAUUUUAGUUUGGUCCUCCAAAUGGACAAAGUUACAAUUUGACCCUUAAAAAUAGGAUAAAUUACAAAUUGGUCCCUAGCUGUAAUAUUAACUUUUGCAGAUUGGUUUGAUAAAUAAUUGAGGGUUAUUUAGUGAAUUAUUAUCAAUUUUAUUAGUUGUUUUAUAAUGGAUUAGAUUUCGGAAAAACCGUUAGAUUUUUGGGUUUUUGGGAAAAUAACUAGUUUAAGCUAAAAACAUAUAGGGUUAUGGAAUAUACCCUUAGAUAAGUGUAUUAAAUAGGUUAUAUAUUCUUUCGAGUCGUUCUUGAAUAUGCCUCCUUUGUAUUCAGAUAAUCCUGAUAUUCUACCGGCGGGACGUCAGUAGGAUUUUCUUCGAUAUCAGCUUUGAGUUUUGUUGCUUUCGAGUCAGGUGAGUGGAUAAUUUUUCAUAUGCAUGAGAAAUAUUAUAAAUAUUUGAUUUGUUAAUAUGAAUUGGAUCAUGCUUCUUGAUAAUAUAUAUGUUGAUUAUUAUCCUUGUUAUGAUAAACAUGAUCAAUUGUUGAAUCCGAAUUAUUGAUAUGAACCAGUAUAUAUAUUCUGAAUUGACUCUGAAUUGAUAGCUCCUCAUUUGAUUGAUGUCAUGAGUUGAGCCUUGAGAUAUGAAUAUGUCUGUUUGAUUAUGAUUAUGAACCUAUGAUAUGUCAGUCAGAAUACCCAUGCUAACAGGGUAGUGUUAAUCUUUGUGCACAUCGUAUCUGAACCCUAGUUGGUCGGGGGAGUCACCAACCUGUGUGGACUGAUCAUCCCACAGUACGGAGCCUCAUGCUCAUUGCAUUUUGAUUUUCUGACGAGUUUUACCAUAUGACAUUCUUGUUAUGGCCAAUUUGAGAACACUUCCAUAAGAACCUAAAGCCAUACUUGUAUAUAUAUUUCUCAUUGUUGUAUUACCUCAUGUGCGUAUAUUGAACGUUAUCUACUCACUGAGUUGUUGAACUCACCCUCUCAUUAUUAUUCUUUUCAGACUUAUAGCUUGAUAGCAGGUUACUUUUGUUGAACCUUCCGAACCUGCUUUUUGGUUGUACUUUGUACCUUUCCUUUAUGUUUAGUUAGUGCUCCAAAACUCUGAACUUAUAUAAACUCUUGUAUUAAGACAAUUCAAUUAUAUUAUGAAGUUGAUUUUGUUGUUAAUGCUGCGUUGAACUCUGAUUGAGUUAGGAUAAGUUUGUGUGUAAGUUUGGGUUCGCAUAGGUAUGGAACCUUGGAGGGGAACCUUGCCUAUGUGCCGGUCAUGGAUCCGGGAUUCAGGUCGUGACAAAGAUUGUAUUUGGAUUUAUUUCAAAUUGAAUGAAUAAUCUGAUUGCAUACUUUCAUUGCAAUCGUUACACAUAUAUAUUCAAACUAAGAAAAACAGAACUGCAAACUUCUAGCAUUAAAUCAUGCUGUGAUCUGUUAAAAUGAUAACAUAUUAACUAACUCCUAGAGACUAGGACAGUAGCUCAUUAUUUGCAUGAAAAUUAGAAAUAACAGAAACAGAAAAAUCUUUGACAGCUCCUUCUUUGACAGCCCUUGAAGCAAUCUUCAACAGGAUGCAACCCUUGCUGCAAGAACUAUGUGUUUCAUGUUAGAACGAAGCACAUAGAAAUCGAUCUUCACUUCAUCUGAGAUCAAGUUACAAGAGGAAAGAUACAACUGCAUUUUGUUAUUACUGAAGAGCAGCUAGCAGAUCUAUUGACUAAGCACCUCACAAGUUCAAGGUUUUUGUUCCUCAAAACUCAGCUUUGUAUAGUUUCCAAACCCUUUCACUUGAGAGGGGAUGAUAAACCAAGGCUAGAAGAGUCUGUUACGUGAUUUACUUAACUUGUCAUAGCUGUUUUACAGUUAUACCAGCAGUCAUUACAGCUGGUUUUCCUGCCUUCUGUAACCACCUUCUAAGGAACAAUAUAUAUAUGAUUUAUUCUUUGGCUUCAAGCGAUAAGAGAACAGAGAGAUUUACUUUCUCAAAUUCUAUAUGGAAUAUACAUCUUUUCUUUCUUUAUUCAUUUAUAAAGACACUAGUGGGUGCGACAUCAGCACCCACUAAUGGGAUUUACUUUCCACUAGUGGGUGCUGAUGGCGCAAAAGUGAAAGCUGCAACAGUUUGCCACUCAACUCAUCAGCUUGGACUCCAGAGCAUCUGGCGUUUGAACUUCUCUGAACUAAGCCAGGACCGGGAGUUUGACAUUUUUGUGGUUACUGACAGUCUUUCUCGGGUUCCAACAAAGGAUCAAGAAAAGACUCCAUGACCAUAGAUCAAAGCUUGGUAUUUAUAGGCAAGGGACCUUGAUUAAUAUUUAGUUUGUAGUGAUUUGUACUUCCUAACCUGUUGUCACCCCCACUCUAUUGUCGUAGUUGUUUGUGUUUGCAACGUUUAGCUUAACAAAAAGAUCCUGAAAAGGCUAAAAAAGUUGCCUUAACAGGCUUUGAAUCAUCUAUUGAAAACCUUGCUAGUGCUAUUUUCUAGGUACUGGUAGCUCCCUCACCAGAACACAAAACAUGCAAAUCAAAUGAAUUAUUUUGGAAAAUUUACAUUUUCAAUCUAUGUUUGGCAGAAAAGCCAAGAAAAGGUGGGAUCCAUCGGCAGAAUUGCUUGAUCUUCCCGCAUAUACUCACAUGCCUAAAAACACAUUUGUAAAAGAUAAUUAUUACAUUAUUGGUGUAUAGAACAAGCGACGGCAUCACAAGUCCUUGUUUGUUUGUCCCACCAAGCAACUUGCAAGAUGGCAAGUACUUGUUAUAGUAUUUGCUCACUUCUUCAUUAUCUUCAAAAAAAUGUCUCUCGCCAAUUCUUGUGCACUGCUCCUCCCCUUCUUUCUUACUCUCUCCCUCUACAUCACCUUCUCCACCGCUGCUAAUACCAUCGGUGUAACCCACACGACAGUGGCUGUGGCUGCUGACAAUGUCCCCUUACCAAAGAAAGUUGCCACCUUCCUCCCUAGCGAUAUUUCUCCACCUACUGAGAAGUAUUGGUACUCAAGGUUGCCCAACACUCCAUUGCCAAAAGCCCUGAGAUAUCUUCUACAACCUGGUCAUUAUCCUUCAAUCACCAGAGAAUUCGCUAAUGAAAACGUAAGUGCUGCUGUUAUCCUAAGAAGAUAUAGAAUAACUUAUAGCAAACGAGGCUACAAAAGAGGCGAUAAAAAAUCCCUAAACUCUGCCCUCCCUGACUCAACGAUAUUCUACCAGUACGACGAUCUCCAUCCAGGUAAAAAAAUGAAAGUUCUUUUUACGGAUAGUGGAACCAAGGUUAGUUUCUUGCCCCGUCAAGUCGCAGAGUCUAUACCAUUUUCGAGUGACAAAAUACCAGAGAUUUUGAAGUACUUUGCACUAGAAGUCAACUCAAAAGAGGCUCAGGUUAUCAGAGAAGAAAUAGGAGGAUGCGAGGAGCCAAAGAUGGAAGGAGAAGACAAAUAUUGUGCUACAUCUCUAGAGUCAUUAAUUGAUUUUACUGUUGAAAGGCUUGGCCAAAAUGUUCGGGUACUCUCGACUGAAGCAGGCAAGAAGCAAGAGUAUACGGUUUCAGCCGAAGUGAGAAUGAUUGGAGAUCAUAAAGCAGCAGUGUGUCACAAGAUGAGAUAUCCUUAUGCAGUGCACUAUUGCCAUGUAAUCGCAGACACAGAGGUUGAUGAGGUUCCAUUAGUGGGUGCUGAUGGCACAAAAGUGAAAGCUGUAACGGUUUGCCACCUCAACACAUCAGCUUGGAGUCCAGACCAUAUGGCGUUUCAAGUUCUCAAAAUUAAACCAGGACCUGCUGUUUGUCACUUUCUAGAUAGUGAUACUCUCGUUUGGGUGCCAAAGAAGGAUAAAAAAAUGACUCCAUGACCAUAGGUAAAAGCUUGGUAUUGAUCAGCAGAGGGCUUUAAUAAGUUUGCUGCCUUGCUGUCGUUGCUGUUUAUAAUAUGCAUGUACUUCCGUCCCUUUCCCUGUUGUCGUUGCUGGUUAUAAUAUGUAUGUACUUCCGUCCCUUCCCUGUUGUCGUAGCUGUUUAUGUUUGUCAUACACACGCACCCCCUCACCCUGUUUUAGUGUGGAAGCCCUGGUUUUCUUAAGAAGAAGGUGAUCCUGAAAAACCAGCCUUAUCAGGUAUUCACAUUCAGAAGUACAGUUGCAAUUGGGUAUUACGCUUAGAAAAUGUGCUCCCAUAAUCAAUGGAAGAAACCUCGGUCAAUAAAUAUAAGAAAAAAAAAACAUGUAUACAUAUAUAGUAGAAAAAACAUGGCAACCACAAAAUAUUUGAUUAUAUUGUUUCACAGGGGACUGCCAUCAACUUCAUCCUGAUACAAGAUAACCAUUAAAAAAAACCCAGCCUCAACGAUAUUCUACCAGUACAACGACCUCCACCCUGGCAAAAAGAUGACAUUUCUUUUUACUAAUAGUGGAACCAAAGUUAGUUUCCUGCCUCGUCAAGUCGCAGAGUCCAUACCAUUUUCGAGUGACAAAAAUACCAGAGAUUUUGAAGUAGUUCCACUAGAAGUCACCUCAAAAGAAGCUCAGGUUAUCAGAGAUGAAAUAGGAGGAGCCGAACAUGGAAUGAGAAGACAAAUAUUGUGCAAAAUCUCUUGAGUCAUUGAUUGAUUUAGUGUUGAAAGUCUUGGCCAUAAUGAUCGGGUGCUAUCGACUGAACCAAGCAAGAAGCAAGAGUAUACUAUUUCAGAAAAAAAGGGAAAAUGAUUGGAAAACAUAAAGCAAUUGUGUUUCAUUAGAUGAGAUACCCAUACGCAGUGCACUAAUGCCAUUUACUCGAAACAAAAAGAUCCAUGACGUCCCCACUAGCAUGGGUGCUGAUGUCGCAAAAGUGAAAGCUGCAACAGUUUCCCCUCAAAUCAUCAGCUUGGAUUCCAGAGCAUCUGGCGUUUGAAGUUCUCUAAACUAAUCCAGGACCGGGUGUUUGACAUUUUCGUGGUUACUGACAGUCUUUUCCGGGUUCCAACAAAGGAUCAAGAAAAGACUCCAUGACCAUAGAUCAAAGCUUGGUAUUUAUAGGCAAGGGACCUUGAUUAAUAUUUAGUUUGUAGUGAUUUGUACUUCCUAACCUGUUGUCACCCCCCUUCUAUUGUCGUAGUUGUUUGUGUUUGCAACGUUUAGCUUAACAAAAAGAUCCUGAAAAGGCUGAAAAUCCUGCCUUGACAGGCUUUGAAUCAUCUAUUGAAAACCUUGCUAGUGCUAUUUUGUAGGUACUAGCUCCUUCACCAGAACAUUCUUCUGUGUUUUUGCCAGUUGCUGGCUUGCUGCGUUUUCCCAUCUGUGUCUAUAAGCUUCUUCUUCUUUUUUUGCUGUGAAGUAACUAAAAUUCUAAGAGAUGGGACAUUUUGGAUGAUGUGUGUGCUUCUUGCAUGUGAUCCAACUUUUGUAUGAAUUGAGGGGGUAAAACAGGACUUCAAAGCUGGCCUUUGUUCCUGUUCAUCAGGACUGGGUUUGUUUCUGCGGGUUCCCGGAGGAGACCCUGAGAACCUAUCUUGUGUACUCUCAGGUUUUAUGUUAUUUUUCUAUUCGAAUUAGGAUUUUGAUUAUUAUUAUCCUGUAAAAUUCGAUUUAAUAGUUAUUUAAAAAGUUACAAUCUCUAUUCUGAGAGCAAACUAUUAGAAAAGAAUUACUUACUAAUAAAACUCUCUGCGUGAUCCAUUUUGUAAACAAUCUAGUUUUUCUUCUUCUUUCAUUCAUAUUUUUCAAGGUAAAUUCCAUCAUAGUUAAAAUCACUUCAAAAUUCAAACCAACGUUAAUUUAUGUCAUAUCAAAUCAUCAACAAACUAGAAAACAAAACAUGCAAAUCAAAUGAAUUAUUUUGGAAAAUUCCCAUUUUCUGAAUCUAUGUUUGGCAGAAAAGCCAAGAAAAGGUGGGAUCCAUCGGCAGAAUUGCUUGAUUCUUCCCGCAUACACUCACAUGCCUGAAGACACAUAUGUAAAAGAUAAUUAUUGGUGCAUAGAACAAGCGACGACAUCACAAGUCCUUGUUUGUUUGUCCCACCAAGCAACUUGCAAGAUGGAAAGUACUUGUGAUGGCAUUUGGUUAUUCAAGGGCCAUACUAUAAAUAUACUGUUCCCUUUUGUGCUUCCCAUCCUGGUGGUUCUCAGUAAAAAAAAACACUAAAACAACGAUGAAUACAAAAGGUUUAAUUUUACCCAUCGUUUUAAAUAUUAUUUUCCAUGCUUGGAAUGAUGGAUGCAUCUGUAUCUUACACAUGAAUUUGUUAUAAUUUAGUUAAGAUAUUUAUAAUUAUUUUCCUUGAACAUUUUAUUAGGUUCGGUUAGUAAUAUAAAAUUAUAAUUUUAAGGUGAAAAAUAGUUUUUUUAUUAUAUAAUAUCAAAACCUUGAUGAUCAAGUGAUCACGAGUUUUCAUUUCACUAUAUUUUUAUUUUUUCUGAUAAAAUAUAAGAUAAUAUGAAACUUUACAAGUUUCAGGUCAAAAGAAUUUUCUCUUGAAUUAGGGUGUUACAAAAUAAUAUAAAAUCAAAUAUAUUUAAGUGGUUAAAAACACAAAUAUAUUUAAUUGUAGAUUGUUUGAAAUCAAUUCGCUAGUAUAAUUAAAUUUAAUUAUAAUAUUUAAUUUAAAUUACAUUGAUAAAUAAAUUAUAUUUACAUAUUUAAAAAAGAUAAAAAUUGAAUUCAUUUUAUUUUUUAUAUUACUCUCAUUACCUCUGUCUUAUUCUUUCAAAGGUUUCUUAAAAAAAAAAAAGGUAGACGUUUAUUUUGAGAAGCUAGUUUUAAUGUAAAGUUCUUCUUUUUAGUAUUGUCAAUUAAAUGAGUUGAUCUCUAAUUUAUUUUAUAUUAUUUUUUAAAAUUAAAUUUCUUUUAAAACUAUAUUAUUGACCCUCAAAAUGAUGCUAAACAUGAAAUUAUAUUAAAAUCUUUGAAUUCAAUUCAAUUUAAAGGAUUCCUUAAAAAAACAUAAACAAAAGCAUAAGAUAAAAUAAAUUUGUUUUUGAAAUAAUUUUAAAGUUAAUUUUUAUAUUUUUAAAACAAAAUAUAUAAAAAAAAUAUUUUCUUGUCUCUAUUUUUUUUCAUUCCAAAAUAGUAACAAAGUUUUUAUUUUUAUUAUUUAUUGUCCAGGUAAGUUUUCUCUUGAGACACGUCCCAGCAUCUACCGUAUCAUAUGUAUCCCCAAUAAAAAUAGGUAUAGAACCACACCAUAGAUGUAUAGAGAAAUUGGAUCGCUCUUCAAUUAUAUAAUUUUUUUGUUUAUCAAUUCAAACGCAUUACUGUUACUGCUAUAUAUAUAACUAUAUACUAAAAAUGUAUAAACUUUUACGAUGAACAUUAAUGCACAAUAAAUACCUUUUUUCUGUUUUAAUAAUUAAACUUUAUUUUAUAACUUUACAGUUUCUUAAAGAGUAAUUUAUUAUUCACUUAAAAGUUAAUAGAUGUGUUCUUUUCAUAUCAACUAUAAAUUCUCUAAUUUUAAUUAGAGUUACAGAACCAUUUUAACAAGUAAACCAAAAAUUUAAUUGAUACAAGAUUUAAACUGGUUUAAGUUUUUUUUAAAAAAUAAAUUAGAGAAGGAAGUGGUCGCGUGUUUGGGAAUGUGGUUGCGGUUACUUUUGAAAGUGUUUUUCACUCAGAAAAGUAUGUCAAGAAUAUUUUUUUAUUUUUUAAAAAUUAUUUUUGAGAUCAACACAUAAAAAUGAUUUGAAAACAUCAAAAACAUAUUAAUUCAAAGAAAAAAAUUAAAUUUUUUUCAAAAGCGUUUUUGAAACGCAGUGCCAAACACAGGUUAAAAUUCACAGAUAUUUUCUUACAAAAUUUAUUUUUAUAUGGAAUUGUUUAUUGUUUUUUUAAAAUACAAAACUUUGAAUAAACUUGAAUCAUCUUGAUCUAAUUAAUAUAACAUUUGAAUUGGUAUAAGAUUUUUUUAAAAAAAAAUAAACUAGAGAAGGAAGUGGUGUAAUUUAAUUAGGUUAAAAUUCGCUGAUUUUUAUUACAAAAUUUAUUUUAUACGGAUUGUUUUAAUAUAUUUUUUAAAAAUAAAACUUGAAUUAAUUUUUUUAUUUGAAUUCAUAGUUUAUAUAAAUCAAGUUUUAAAAUUAUAAAUCCAAUUUGAAUACUCUAUUUUUAUAACAUUAAAAAGACGAACUAAAAUCCAAUCCAAAAUAUCUUUUAUUAAAAAAAAAUCAUGAAUCAUUCGAACAGAAAAAGAAUUAUUUUUUGAGUUAUGAAAGUUGUUCUUAAUUCUGGACAAUCAAAGCCCAAGUUGUAGGUUUUGCUCCUAAAAUAAUGAAAGACUGUGGCCACUUGAUCGCAAACCACAAGCCAAAGCAGCCCAUAGAAAAGGGAGAAAGGUAUCUCAGACAGACAAGAGAAUUUGUCUAGAUCUCAGUUAGGGAAAAAGUUAGAUACACAGUCAGCUAGAGAGAGAGAGAGAAAGAAAGAAGCUCUAAUCGAAAUCUAGAUAGAUAGAGAGAGAGACUCGUGUCCAUGUCCUAAAAGAGAAUCUAGUCUACUCAUCAUAGAUUUAAUUGCAACUUAGUCCCUAUAGUUUAUUAAGACUAAUUGAUUAAACCUUGUAGUAUAUAAAAAUACUUAAAUAGUCCUUGGUUAAUCCAUUGGGUUUUUUUUUUUUCAUAAAAUCCUUCUUUUCUCGUUAAAUUUCUUCAGCUUACCUACUUCUACUUUUCUAUUUAUCAAGAAACAAAUAAAUUAAAUAAUAACAUAAAUUCAACUAAGGACCUAGAUAAUCUAGGACCUAGGAUGGAUUUAAAAAAAAAAUAGAAGAAAGUUGACUUGACGAGAAACUUUGUCAAAAUCCAAUUUAACUUUUUUAAUUUCUUUUUAUAAAAUGAUGUAGUUUUUACUUUAAAAAUAUUAAGAAAACAUUAUUUUAAUUAACUUGAAUCAACAUAAAUUAACCUAUUAAACUUGUAAAACAUUUCUUGGACUGGAUCAUAGGUAAACGGUCAACAGGGUUUAAUAACUUUGAUUUUAAAAAAAUUUGUAUUAGUAUAUAAUUUAUGAAACUACAAAUACUAAUGAAUGAGUUGUUUCAGACUAUAAGGAGUAAGCUAUAGUUUACCCAUUUAUCAGACAGCGCAAAAAGUCUUCUGUCUCAGUUCUCAUCACUAGAGAGAGAGAGAAAAGGAGAGAGGGAUUCAAGACCCAAGACUGAAGCUUUUUCUUGAGUCCUUUUGAACCUGCUCCAGGUUUUGAGUCUCUAACCAUGGAUGAUCAACCAAAACCCUCAUCGUCUAGUGCUCCACCACUGUCAUCAAGGCCUAAAUGGGUGCUUCCUUACAAGACCCAGAACUUAAGAGACCAUUACAGCAUAGGGAGGAAGCUUGGUCAAGGGCAGUUUGGUACGACUUUUCUUUGUACGCAUAAAACCUCAGGAAAAAAGUAUGCUUGCAAGUCAAUACCAAAAAGAAAGCUUCUUUGCAAAGAAGAUUACGAGGAUGUGUGGAGGGAAAUCCAGAUAAUGCACCAUUUGUCUGAGCACCCACAUGUGGUUAGGAUUAGUGGGGCAUACGAAGAUAUUUCUUGUGUUCACUUGGUGAUGGAGCUUUGUGAAGGAGGUGAGCUUUUUGAUAGGAUUGUUAAGAAAGGGCAUUAUAGUGAAAAAGAGGCUGCUAAAUUGAUGAAAACUAUUGUUGGGGUUGUUGAGGCAUGCCAUUCACUUGGUGUCAUGCAUAGAGAUCUUAAGCCUGAGAACUUCUUACUUCAUAGUGUUGAGGAGGAUGCUCCUCUUAAGGCCACUGAUUUUGGGCUUUCUGUGUUCUACAAGCCAGGUCUGGUUCCUUCACUUCUUGGGUGUUACCUUUUUUCCCAAUUUUUUUAAUGUUUUGCUUGUGUUUUCUUUGAUGGGUUUUAUUUUUCUUCAGAUUUAGUGUUUGUUUUGGUGCUAUUGAUUGAAUUUAGAUUUGGGUUGCCUGCUUUCUUGACUGACUUGAUUAAGAUUUUGAUCUGGGAUUAUGUGUGUGUUCAUUCACUGUAUGUCCAAAACCCUCGUUAUCAUUAUAUUUACUACCUUAGUUGGGAUUGAUUUUUGAUAAUUGGGACUUUACUAAUACAAUUGAUCAUCACUAAGACACUAAUGUCUCUGGCUCCAACUUGCACAAUCUCUUGAAAUGCUUUUGAAUUGAACACCAAAUGUUCAAUGAGCUUGUUUCAAGGAGUGAUUGAUCCCUUCAUUCAGAAAUGUGGCCCUUGAAGUCUUGGACAUUGACCAUUCAAAAUGAACCUGCAUCAUUUUUCUGGUCAAGCAUGUCCAUGCAUUUAAUAAGGGCUUUGAAUACUUCCGUGCUUGAAAUAGUUGAUUUUAUCUUGAAGUGGGGGACUCAAUCAGGGCCAUUGCAUUGUUGGACAAAAGAGCCUUUGCCAACUAUCGCAGCGUGCUCCCAGCAGUCAAUGUUUCAAUAAUUAACCAAGAAAUAUAUAACUACAAUGUGGUUGUACUUCAAAGAUUUUGUUUCUUUUCCCUCGACCAAAGUUAUUUGAUGCUCAAUACUCUCCAUUCUAGUGCUCUAAGAUGAGAUAAUUGCUUAGAAUUAGUCACAAGUUGCUUGCCAGUACCUCAUACGAUCCCUUAACAUGUCUGCACGAAGUUGAUUAUUUUUUGGUAGCUAUUUUACUUCGAAUGUGUUAGUCCUUGUGUUGAAUGAAUUAAAUUUGAUUCAUUUUCUAGAGGUUCUAGCAGUGCAUGCUUCACCUCUCUUCUCCCUCAACCAUUUCAGUUAUUCUUCCAGCUUUCCUUUCUUUUCCUCUUGUUGAAAUCCUGAGUGUUCUCAUCUUAAAGUUUUCUCAAACCUGAUUAUUAAAAUCUCUCUCUCACCUCAUCUAUACGUGGACAGUUUGGCCUCGUAUAGGUUAUCAGAUUCUUAUAUAAAUGUCAUUUACACAUUUUCUUUUGGAAAAAAAACUCCUUUGGUUUAUUGUAAGCUUCUGCAUCCUGGGAAACAACUUCUGUCUUAUGAUUUACAGUAUGCGUGUUUGCCUGCAUGUACCUGUAAACUUCAUAACAAUGAUUCUGAAUAAAUAGAAAUCUUCAAACUGGAUUGUAGUCAAUUAUUGCGUCACAUUUCAAAAUUACAACCUUUUGCCCUCAUUGCUCAGAAACCAUUGCUAUUUAACACAACCUUAUCAUCGUUUAAUAUUGUUGUCUGCCUCAGUCUGACGCAUACUUAAUUAUGUGGAUUUUCAGGCGAAACUUUUUGUGAUGUUGUUGGGAGUCCAUACUAUGUUGCGCCAGAGGUAUUGCGCAAACAUUAUGGACCUGAAGCAGAUGUAUGGAGUGCAGGAAUUAUUUUGUACAUACUAUUAAGUGGUGUACCGCCUUUUUGGGCCGGUAAUAAUUCUUUUAUUCCUGUACUGAUGGCAAAUCAAGUUCUGGAUAGGGAUGGUUACUAAGAAUUGAGUUUUUCUGCUACUGACUUGUACUGACAAUAAUUUCUUUCUUCGUUUACUCUGCUAUAAAUGUCAGAAACUGAAAUCGGGAUCUUCAAGCAGAUAUUGCAAGGCAAAUUAGAUUUUGAAUCUGAACCAUGGCCUAGUAUUUCAGACAGUGCCAAGGAUCUGAUUAGAAAAAUGCUUGAACGGAAUCCAAAGAAAAGACUAACUGCUCAUGAAGUACUCUGUAAGACUCUUCAAUUUUCUUUAAACAGGGAUUUAGGAGUAUUAGGCUUAAACAAGUUCCAGCACAGUGAUUAUUGAUGGAUGUUGCUACAUCAUGAUACCUAUGUGACCUGUGGUGCAGGCCACCCAUGGAUCGUGGAUGACAGGAUUGCCCCAGAUAAACCUCUUGAUUCUGCUGUUUUAUCGCGGCUGAAACAGUUCUCUGCAAUGAACAAGCUUAAGAAGAUGGCUUUGCGUGUAAGGUUCUUGCAGAUGUGUAUUAGUUUUCUUGGAUUAUAUUAUUGGUUCCGUUGAAAAAAACUAUGACUAAAUCAACCAUGUUGAUUGUUAAGUAAAGUGUUACCUCUAAAAAACCAGGGCCUAGUGAUGCUUCAACUAUUUGCAUGACAACUACUUUAUUUGGUGGUCCUUUUAUUGACUUCUUUGCUUGCAUACACAGAGAUAAGAAAAGUGCUUGCAUACACAUAGAUUAGAAAAGUCAACAGUCCUUAAUAUCAUAUUUAACAUGGUGUCGGAGUCAUUUUCCAAAAGAUCAUCAACUUAGUUGUCAAACUCAGUAUCUCACUCAUAAUGGAUUCAAUACGAACAUGGAAUGUUAAAGAAACAUGAAGAUAAUAUAAAUAGAGGGAUACUGGAUAUAUAGUACUCUACUUGCUUAAGUUUUAUAUCUUAGUUGUUUAACAUAUUCAAUGAAAUUUUAAUUUUUUUCAUUUGUUUGGUAACUCAGUGCUCAUAAUUAAUUUUGAUACCUGGAACAAACUUAUACAGACUCACUUGCACGCACUUGCUCACAUAUGUGUGUAGCUAUUAGUGUAGCUAUGUUUGUAUGCUGUAAUGCUGACCUCAACUGAACUGAUGCGUAGUGAUUCUUGUAAUGAAUUUUAGGUCAUAGCAGAUAGGCUUUCUGAAGAAGAGAUUGGUGGUUUGAAAGAGUUGUUCAAAAUGAUAGACACAGACAACAGUGGAACAAUAACUUUUGAUGAAUUAAAAGAUGGAUUAAGGCGAGUAGGCUCUGAACUAAUGGAGUCUGAGAUAAAGGAUCUGAUGGAUGCUGUAAGAGAACUUGCUCGAAUCCUCUGUAGUUUCUGUUUUGUUUUUUCGACCAUUCAGUUAACUUGAAAAUGAACAAGUGCAUGCUUUGUGGGUAUGUUUGGCAGGCUGAUAUUGACAACAGUGGAACAAUUGAUUAUGGUGAAUUUCUUGCUGCCACUGUGCACUUGAAUAAAUUGGAGAGAGAGGAAAAUUUAGUGUCUGCUUUCUCAUUCUUCGACAAAGAUAGCAGUGGAUACAUAACCAUUGAUGAGCUUCAACAAGCUUGCAAAGAGUUUGGCCUAAGCGAGCUCCACCUUGAUGAGAUGAUUAAAGAAAUCGAUCAAGAUAAUGUAAGUCCAUUAUGUACUGUCAUUUCAAUCCAUUUUUUCCCUCUUAAAAUAAAGAAUCUUGGAGCUUUACUCGGACAAAUCAUUCAGAAGCACAUUACAUUUGUUUCGGGAGUUGUAGGAGCUUCUGACAACAUGUGAUCAUGGAAAUUGUGUUGCAGGAUGGACAAAUAGACUAUGGUGAAUUUGCUGCAAUGAUGAGGAAGGGCAAUGGAGGAAUCGGGAGGAGAACAAUGAGAAGCACAUUUAACUUGGGAGAUGCCCUAGGACUCACUACCAAUGGAUCUAAAACAUCUGAUUGAUGCUCAGAUAAACUAUGUUUAACUCUCUGCCAUACUUUUUGCAAAUAUUGGCAAAUCUUAAUCUUUAUGAAUGGCCUGGCCAUAAUUUUGCUUCUCUGUUUUAUAUAUCCGACUGGUUUACAUGCGCUUCCGUAAAAGCUGGGGAGCUCAGGUACUUGGGGGUUGGUUAGGCUUCGGGAACCAAAAAUGCUACAAAGUAAAUCCAUGCUGAGCAUGUGGGAUAUAGACAGUGCACUGUUGCACCAUCGUGUGUUAUUGUGGCAGAGAAAACUACAAAUCAAGGAAGUUAUUGAUAGAGUUUUCCUUGGUCUUUUUAGUUUGUUUUGAUAUUUUAAUAUAAAAAUAAAUUUUAAAAACUAAAAAAUAUUAUUUUAAUAUAUUUUAAAAUAAAAAAAAUAUUUUAAAAAAUAAUAGCUCUAAAUAAGUUUUCAACCAUACCACAACGCAUCGCCAAAUAUAUCCUUAGUUUCUGUCUUUCUGAGCAAGUUCUUGGAACCUAAAACUCAUUUAACACUGGAAACUCAAGUAUUAAUUUCUUGUAAGGUUUCCACAACAUAUAUUUUUGAUUAAAUACUAUACAAUAAGAUAUUCUAAAGGUAUAUUAUACGUGGAAGGUAUGAUAUUAAAUAUUAAUUCCAUGGGAUUAUCCCUGAUUACAAGGUAAAGUACAGUAGAUUGAUGUGCCUUUAUCAUUUCAAUUGCUACUGUAAGAAUAUCUUCCACACCUACAAUUGUUUUACAGUAAUUUCCUUUCCCUUACACCUCCAUUUUCUAAACCUUUCUCUUUGUUCUUAUUUUAUUUAUUUUUUUCUGAUUUGAGCAAAACCAUCACGUAGUUGGGGAAUAAUUUUCAGGCACAGGUAAACUAUAUGUUCGUUAUUUUUCUCAUUUUUAUACCAUACUGUUUUCCAUGCUUAAUUGCUUGAUUUUUGCAAGGCGUAUUGGUUAUCCUCAACCUUUUGACUAGCUCUGGAAUUUGUUUUUCAAAAAAAAAAAAAAAAAGGCAAGUUGUAGGUAUUAUAUAAGAAAAGGAGCAAUCUCUUUCAUAUCAUCAUAUAUUCAGAUCUGCUUCUUUCUUUCUUUUUCAUAUAAAUACUUAUAAAAUUGAUCUUUUUAGAUGAAUAUAAAAGAUUUAUAAUAGAUUAAUCCUAGAACAAACUUGAGUCGAUGAGUCAAUCCAGAAACUAUUAACCCAAAGCUUAACUAGGAUUGAGUUUUAUUUUGAAUCGAUUUAUAAAUUGAUAUGAUAAAAUCUAGUUUGACCUAGUCAAAAUAAGUCGAGUUGGUUGACUCAACCGAAUCAAUUUCAAAGAUUUUUUAAUUUUUUUAUUUAAAAUAAGAUAAUAUUUUUGGGUCCAAAACAACAUGAUUUUAUUGUAAAGAAACUAAAAUGUUAUUGUUUUAGAUUAAUCUAACAAACAUAGAACACGGGAUUUGAAUGGGCAACUCUUGACUUAUUAUUUUAGGUUUAGAAUGUUUUUUUAAAAUUAAUUUAACUUCAAUUAAUUACAUUUUUGUGUGAAUAUUUUGACAUCUAUGUAUUUUUUAUACUUUAGGGCCUCGUUACUGAACUUGGAGCAAAAAAAUGGUUCGAUAAAAUGAUCCAUUUUGGAAUGAUGUUGAAGAUAUGAAAGAUGGUAGCAUGAAGUGCAAGUUUUGUGGGCAUUUAUUUGCCAACUACACUUCCAUUUCGAGGAUCAAAUGGCAUUUAUCAGGAGAGAGAGGGCAUGGUGUUUCCAUUUGUGGUCAGGUGCCCAGAGAAGUUCAAGAAGCCGCCUUCCUAGCUAUGCAUGGUGGCAGCAAAAGACAUAAAAUCUUAGCAAGUUCAAGCAACGCUAAUGAUUAUGCCAUGUCAGCCAGCCCAGAAGAACGAAACAAUAAAGUCGACAGUUUGGCUGGAGACCCAGGAAGGAUACAAGCAUUAGAUAUAAUGGGUCAAGCAAUUGAAAUAAACUGGGAUGAGCUCCAUAAUUUGUUAAUGGAGGAUGAUUUAGAGAACGGGACUGGAGAAGUAGCGCAGCCUGGAGCAGGAUCUAGCUCUUUCAGAGGCGUUAAAUACAACACAAGUGAGACCAGAGGAGAUCCAUUACCUACUAGCUCUACAAAGCUAGUGGGUCGAGCAUUUGAAGAGAAUACGAAUAUGAUAUGGUCCUGGUUAAUGAAUGACGACGUAUCAAUCAUUGGCAUUUACGGGAUGGGAGGAGUUGGGAAGACGACAAUGUUGCAACAUAUCUAUAAUGAGCUUCUCAGAAGACCAGACAUUUCUUAUCAUGUUUAUUGGGUUACUGUGUCUCGAGAUUUCAACAUUAAUAAAUUACAGAACAAUAUCUCAAGGCGUAUAGGUUUAAAUCUUUCCAAUGAAGAGGAUGAGCUGCAUAGAGCUAUGGAAUUGUCAAAAGAACUAACGAAGAAGAAAAAAUGGAUUCUCAUUUUAGAUGAUUUGUGGGACUUUUUUGAGCUACACAGAGUGGGGAUUCCUGUCUCAUUGAAAGGAUGCAAGCUGAUUAUGACAACUCGAUCAGAGAGGAUUUGUCAACAGAUAGGUAGCCAACAUAAAAUCAAAGUGAAGCCACUUUCUAAGAGAGAAGCUUGGACUUUGUUCAUGGAGAAACUUGGACAUGACAUAGCAUUCUCUCCAGAAGUGGAACGAAUUGCAAUAGAUGUUGCAAGGGAAUGUGCGGGUUUGCCUUUGGAAAUUAUUACAAUUGCAGGAAGCUUGAGUGGAGUGGAUGACCUGCAUGAGUGGAGGAAUACAUUAAAGAAAUUAAAAGAAUCAAGAUUGAAGGACAUGGAAGAUGAGGUAUACCAAUUAUUGAGGUUUAGUUAUGACCGGUUAGAUGAUUUUGCAUUACAACAAUGUCUCUUAUAUUGUGCAUUAUUUCCUGAAAAUCGUGUUAUUACAAGGGAGGAGUUGAUAGGACAUUUGAUCGACGAGGGAAUAAUGAAAGGAGCAAGGAGCAGACAAUCAGCAUAUGACGAGGGCCACACAAUGCUUAAUAAACUUGAAAAUGUCUGUUUACUGGAAAGAUUUAUCUAUGAUAAUGGUGUUAGAGCUGUCAAGAUGCAUGAUUUGAUUAGGGACAUGGCCAUCCAAAUUCAGCAAGAGAACUCUCAAGGCAUGGUUAAAGCAGGUGCACAAAUAAGAGAAUUGCCGGCUGCAGAGGAGUGGACGGAGAAUUUUACGAGAGUUUCACUAAUAGAAAAUCAAAUUGAAGAAAUUCCCUCAAGCCAUUCACCAAGGUGUCCCACUCUUUCAACUCUAUUGCUAUGUCUUAAUCAAGGGUUGCGAUUUAUUGCAGAUUCAUUUUUCAAGCACUUGCUUGGGCUCAAGGUCCUCGAUCUAUCUUACACAUUUAUUGAAAAGUUGCCUGAUUCUGUCUCUGACUUGAUAAGUCUCACUACAUUAUUGCUCAUUGGCUGCGAGAACUUAAGGGAUGUACCAUCAUUAAAAAAUCUCAGGUCAUGUUCCCAAAUGACAUUCAACAACUGAUCAUUUUUUAUUGUGGUGAAAAGGAGUUUCCUAGUGGGAUAUUACCUAAACUCUCUCAUCUGCAAGUCUUUGCAUUAGAGGAGGAGAUUCCUAGUGCUCCGAUAACAGUCAAAGAAAAGGAAGUAGGGUGCUUAAGAAAGUUGGAAACUUUGGAAUGCCAUUUUGAAGGUUACUCUGAUUUUAUGGAGUAUCUCAAAUCUCGGGAUGAGACCCAAUCACUAAGCACAUACCAAAUUUUUGUAGGACAGUUUGAGGAAUAUGAAAUAAAAAGUUAUUAUAGAGGUAAAACUGUUUGGUUGGGUAACUUGGGUAUCAAUAAAGAUGGAGAUUUUCAGGUCAUGUUCCCAAAUGACAUUCAACAACUGAUCAUUUUUUAUUGUGAUGAUGUUUCCUCUCUUAUAAAUUAUGCAAUUGAUCUGAAGGUCAUGGACAAUUCCUAUUGCAAUAACAUGGAGAGCUUGGUUUCAUCUUCUUGGUUCUGCGGAGCUACACUUCCAUCUCCAUCUUAUAAAGGUAUAUUUUCAUAUCUUAAAAAGUUGCAUUGUUAUGGAUGUAGAAGAACGAAGAAGUUGUUCCCUCUUGUCUUGCUGCCAAACCUCGUAAACCUGGAAUGUAUUAGAGUUGAAGAAUGUGAAGAAAUGGAGGAGAUAAUAGCAACAAGUUCAAAUGAAGAAGGAUAUAUGGGUGAAGAAAGCAGCAGCAACAUCGAAUUCAAACUACCAAAGUUAAGAAUUCUAAAAUUGUAUGAAUUACCAGAACUGAAAAGUUUUUGUAGUGCAAAACUGAUCUGCGACUCUCUCCAACAAAUUGGGAUAGUAAAAUGUCAGAAGCUGAAGAGAAUACCGAUUUAUCUUCCGUUACUUGAAAAUGGCCAGCCAUCUCCUCCCCUUUCUCUUAAAGAAAUCGAGAUAUAUCCAAAAGAAUGGUGGGAGUCAGUGGUGGAGUGGGAGCAACCUAAAGCUAAGGAUAUCCUUCGUCCCUUCGUAGAGUUUUUGGGAGCCGACGAAUACGAGUUAUCCCCCAUAUAGGUAGGCAUAUUGUUCUAAUUCCUCUCUCUCUCUCUCUCUCUCUCUCUAAUUUAAUUUUAGUGAAUUAGCCUCAACCAUAACCAUUUCAUGAUUGAUGUAUGUAUAUUAGUAAGGAAGCAAGACGAAGACAAGUGAAACAUUUGGAGAGCAACACAUUCUGGCCAAUUCAUCUACAAGGUUUUCUCAAGACCAUUACACUCCUUUUUUUGUUGUUAUCAUCCCAACCUUUAAAAAAAAAAUUCUUACUGAUUUACAUGCAUUAGCCUCAUUUUGUUUAUUUUUUUGUAGGCAGAUGGUGAAGGAAGACAACGUUCUGAUUUACAUGCAUUGAAAGAGAGCAUUGAUUCAAAGUCUUUACUGUUGAACAAUAUUUUGCUGGAAAGAGAUUGAAUGCUUUUUAUUCUUUUGAGAUCGAUGAUUAUGAUGGAUUUGGAAUGGUUCCUUUCGGAAGACCUGUGAGUAUCAUGCCUACACUCUACCAUGUUUUAAUUUCUCUCUCUGGCCAUCUCCUACUCCUUCUCUUAAAAGAAAGGAUUAUAUAUCCAAAGGAAUGGUGGGUUUGUUCGGAACUGAUAUCCUUGACAAUGACAGCCAUCUCCUCCCCCUUCCAUCUAUAUGAAACCAGAAGAACGGUGGGAGACAAUAGUGGAGUGGGAGCAUCCUGAUGCUAAGGAUGUUCUUCUAGUCAUCGCUGUUUUAUGUCUUGGUAUGCAUGUUUGAAUUCCUGUCUAUCUGAGUAUCUCUCAACCACUCACGAUUCAUCUUAUAUGAUUUCAGAUACGAUUCGUCCAAAAGGAAGUGAUAUGUUCUACUUGUAUGUGUGCUUCUCAAAAACCCUUUGAUUAUGUUCUCCAUUUUAUAAACUGUUUCUGUUCUGCCACGCAGGUUGGAGUGCAAAAACCAUCAAAGAACUGGCAAGAACCCCGCAAAUUCCAAGAAGCUGACUUCAUGUUUGGCCUUUAUAUCAUACAAGUGAGAGGAUGUCCUGCUAUCCUUUGCGACUCAAAAAUCAUUUUCUUAGUGGUAAGCCUUAAUCCUCAGUCAUUUUCUUUUUUGAGAUUUCUUCUUUCCCAUCUCUCUGCUUCUUUUUUCUUAACUUAUAUCUCCCUACAUGCCCCUUCCUUAUGGUCUAGGAAUCAUGCUAUCUUGGAGCACUGAAAGAUCUAAUCAUCGACUUGUAGGUAAUUUCGUCAAAUUUUCCUAGCCAUGCUUGUUAGACCAGUCUUACUCUUGAUUUGUAACGAUAGGUUCAUUUUUUAAAGGUUUCCAUCUAUGAUUCUUAAUUGUGCAGCAUAUGCUCACACAAUCAAAUUUCCAUGUGGAUUCAGUGUUAUGACAAAUCUGAUUUCUUUCUCUGUUUGGAGUUCAUGAAAUGCCUAUCAAAUUUGAUGUAAGCCUCUCGAUCUUCACUUGAUCAUUUCUUUGGUUUGUACAAGUCUUGUAUCUCUGGUAUCUGUUUCCUUCAGCUUCUGGUUUGUAUAAGUCUUCCCCCUUGCAGAUGUUCUCCUAAGGACUCCCUGUUAUCUUGAUCUUCUGUUUUAUUUUGUCCUUGUGCCUGAUUCAUGAUUGGUACUUGAUAUGACUUCCAAGUUUCUUGGCUAUUUUCUUUUCUAGCCUUUUAUGUUAUAUUGCUGGUCUUCAUCAGAUACUUUUCUUCACAUGCCUUUAUAACUGGUGAAUUAGCUAGCAUACAGUACAGACUGAUCGAAUAUGGAGAUGGAGUUCCUCAAGUAAUAGGCUAAACAUAUUGUAUGGCAGAUUGGUACAUUGAACGAGGCAAUUGAGUUAAUAACAGGAAUGUGACUCAUGUAACCGGACUUUGUAAAAACGGAAGUUUCUGAGUAGUCGAAUGAGCAUCUGUCACAGAGAGACUAUGUGGAUGGCCUAAAAAAUUCAAACAUGGAAUAGCUUAAAAAGACAUAAUAAAAUGCCUAUUUAUUGGAUCAGGCUUAAUUUUUUUAGGUUAUUUUACAAGUAGUUUUUUUAUUAAGAACCUCUGUCUUUCAUUAGGCUGUUGGAUCUCUUGAAAUUAAGCCUAAAUAAUGAUGUUUGGGUUCAUUUUAUUAUUUUUUCUAGAUUUAUUUGGAUAUAUUGUUUUAUUUUGGAUUUUGUGUUAAUUUUCUUUAUGCUUUUGGAUUUUGAUUUGUUUUCUAGUAGAAAUAAGGUUUUUUGACU
rnacentral:lncRNA from 1 species